AUAACAAUAAAAAUUUGUUGCUAAACAUGAUGUGUAUUUUUUUUUCAAGGCAAUUUGGAAACACAGUUGUUACUACAGAUAUUCUCCUCAACUUAGAGAUAAAUACAAAUAUUAAAAUGCAUAUGAUCGCACAUAUUACUUGGAGCUUAGUAAGAUUUCAUAAAGAGAAGAAAUCAAACCACUUAUCAAUUGUUGCAAUCGUUCUAUAAGCUAAAAUAGCAAUAUAAUACAAGAAAAGGAACAUAUAGAUACUUGGCAAGAGUUCAUUAAGAAGUCGCAUCACAUUCGGGUGAGUUUGCUUCUGAUAUCUUGCUAGCGGGGGCUUUUUCUUGUCUUUCUACGUAUGCCGAGGGAAACUAACCAGCUUGGCCCUUGCAUUCACCUUCUGACCAUCCAGUAGGAGCCACCUUGAGAAGUUAUAACUAAAACAGUGAAUUAAACAAAAGUUGACCGUUCAAAGACCUAAGGGGAAAACUAAUUCUUUUACGUAGGAGGAGUGAAUUAGUUGUGAUCACUGAAAUAACAGCAUAACUAUGGAAGCAUAACAAGAUAUAAAUUCACACGUCUAUAAGGGUAAACUGGGUGGUUUAGAACUGAGCUAGCAACCCUACUAUAUUCUGAUUUGCACUUCAAUGUAAAAGGGAAUAUAUGGUAGGAAGAAAGAAAACCAACCAUCAUUUGUUAACUCAUUGCUUUUCAAUCAAAAUUUUAAGAACAAAAUGCCAUGUGCUUUGAACAUCAAAUAAGUAUAAGCAUUAGUUCUAAAUUCCACAUAUCAUAAGUUAGAAGGAUAAGUUAAUAGCAUAGUAGAAAAAUCUCUGUGUUGUUAUUUAGAGGGGAAAGUACCAGGCGAACCACAACAUAAUCAUCAAUUGAAAGACUUAGCUCUCCAUUUGCUUGAGCAUCAAAUGGAUGUAUAACCUGCAAGAUAAUGGGAUAAAUAGAACUUAAAUCUUAAAAAAAGCAUAACAAAAGCAGCAACAGUAGCAGCAGCGUUCAUUGUAACCACUAUGAUCAUGGCCAACAAAGAUAUAUUAGAAACAAAAUUCCAUUUUUACUACGACAUUAAUAUGUACUAUAUGAUAUCAUGACGAUAGGGUUACCAAGAGCUAUCAAAGUCCAAUAAAUUCUGUAUAACUUUAUGUAGUUAUUCAAAUUAUGGAUCAGAUUUUAAAUCUGAAAUUUUGACUGCUCUCCACAAAACAUGGCCUAUGCACAAGAAAGUCAUAGAUAAUGAGGAUUACAAGUGUCUGACAUCUUUUGAGUGAUGGAUUUAACAUGAGAGCUUAUGGUCAGUCAAUUUCCUCUGCCUAGCAAUAUAAGCUUUUUCGGCCAGAUUUAUCAUCAAAUACAUAGAUUGCCCCCAAGUCACAUCCAUAUAAACAUAGUUUUUCUAGGUAAACCAAGUAAGGAAAAUCAUAAUUCAGACAUAAUCAUAAAAAGACCCAUCUAACUUUCUUUGGCAUGCCUAACUCAGCUUUGAUGUUGCUGAGAUAUUGAUAGUAGAGACACAUGAUACUUCUAGCUCAUGCAUUCUAUCUAGCUCAUCUGACAGCUAUCUCUUUUUUAAUUCAUUAGUGUUUGCUAAACCUCAUGCUUAAGAGUCCUGUUCUCCUAAACAAAGUUUUCUAAGAAUGACUUCCUCAGCACCACAUUUGGACACUUUUAAAGCAAUUUUAUUUGGGGGAAAAGAAUUUUCAAGGUGUUAACUAAUAAAUUUUAAAAAAUAAUUACAAUUUGUCCUACGAUUAUAUGACAAUUUAUCUGGGAUGAACGGAUACAGACAAACAUCUUCCACUUUUAAGACUAAUCACUACUUCCGUAGAUGUUUUGCAAUAACACAAAUGCUUGACCAGAUGGUAGUGAUGGUAGAAAAAAAUUUUAUUGCUCUAAAAUUAAAAUAAGAAUGCAAUAUGUUAAGCAAAAGACUGUGCAACAUCAAAUUAAUUGAUAAGUUUGUAAUUCAGUAAAUUAACAACUUUCAUGGUAAAAUACAACAAAUUUCUUUUCAAAAAAAAAUCUUAAAAGACAGCAUUCAAUUUUGUGCGCAUCUUAUUUCUUAAGAUUUUCCAGGAGGGCAAUACAGGGACUUUCACCUACGCAAGAGAGCAAAAGCCUUACUUUCGCUAUAAAGUAGACGUCAUUCUGAUUAAUAUGCGUUUGCAAAUCAGCUCCAUUUGAAUCAGUAUUCUGAUAGACACAUGAGGCAUUUACAUCCAUUUCCAAAGUCACAUGUUGCGAGGAGGACUCAUUUGAUUGCUCCUCUAGGAUCAUCUAAUUCAAGUAGCAAGGGUUGGAAGAGAAUAAAAAGUCACAAUUAUUCUUUUGCAUAAGUGAGACGAAAAUGAUAAAUGCACUAUUAUCAGCAGUAAACAAGAAGAGAACACUCCAAGGAAUAGAUAGAUGCGGACAAGCAAGUUAAAAUGCAAAGUUCCAAACCUCCGCAUACAACUUCUCUAAAAUAGCAAUAAUGUGUUGAUGAUAUGUUUUCUCAGCAUCUACCUGCAAAGGCCCGAGACUAGGAAAACAACAAUAAAACCACUAGCUAAAGGAGAAAGUAAAUAAAGAAAUACACUUGACAUAAAUCUUGACAAGAAGCACAAUUUAAGACAUAACAAACCCCAAUCAUAUUGUUUAGAACUACCAUUCGUUAUUUCGUUAUUGUAGCAUUUCGAACAAGUGUUGACUUAAUUCAACAUUGUUGGAAAGAUAGGCUUUUAGAAGCGGAAGAAAGCCACUCAAACCAAAGUGAUUAUCCUUGUAUUGAUCAAGGGAUGUAAACAUAUUACAUUUGCAGGAUGAGUUUUAAUCACUCCCCUGAUUUAUUUGGGUUGCAGUAAAACUAAGCGAGCAACUGUUUGACUUUCAAGCAACAUCUAAAUCAGCUAUUAAAAUUCAAAUAAAAUCAUAAUAGAAUAAUAACAGGCCAUCUUGCAUCAAAAAUUAAGUUUAAUUUGUGAAUUUUUUUCUAUAGACAUGUUAGUUCCUGCUAUUGAAAUGUUAAAAGCAUUGAAAAAUUAUUCAAUAAAUUAUGCAAACAUUAAAAUAGAGGACAUAUUAAAAAGUUUCUAAUUACAAUGUUAUGAUUUCCUAUAUUUUAGCAUUUGCAUAUUUUAAUUUAUUUAAAAGCUACGUCGAUCAACUUUGGGCGUGAAGAUUUUAGCUUCUACGAGACUUGAUUGGAAUAUGCAUAAGGAAGAGUGUUAAAAUAUGAUGCAUCCAACGAAAGACAAACCACGUGUAGUCUUUUAAUUAAGCCAAGAGUAGUGCUAGAGAGAGAGAAGCACGAGAGAAGGACGAGAGAAUUUUGCCCCUUUCUCUCUACCCACUCAUUCUCUCUCUACCCCUUUUUUCAUUGUUUCUCUCGUCUUUCUCUCGUGUUUCUCUACACCAAGCAUUUUCCUUAAGCCAAAGUAGCAGCUCAAACAAAUGACACUUGGACCAACAUGCAAUCAUGAAGUGGCCGGAAAAAGGACAAAUGCAACUUUGGCUUAAAUAAAAAAUAACAUGUGACUUGACUUUUGCUGGACAUGCAUCAUGUUAUUACAAGACAACAGAAAUCAGUAUGAUAGUACUAAAAGUUGACAAUAACAUGAAGAUAAGAGGCAGAAUGUCAACAAAUGCAUAGGCACACACAAGAAAGUAUUAACUUAUAUACCAUAGCAAAAAGUCUUUGAUAUGUCAUCUGUUGCUGCUGUGAUUCAACUGACAGCAUGGCAGCUGUCGCUUCUCUACCAAGAGCCAUUAUUGUAGAUUUAAGCUCGGUCAAUCUUGCUUCUGCAUUUCGAAGCUUCACAGCACUCUCUGCUGAUAUAUCAGAUUCCCUAAUCUUUGAUCGGCGCCUAAAUACUUCAGCUGCCUGGUGAAAAUAUUCAAUAUAAAUCUAACAUAAUUCUAAUCUUGCCUUAUACAUGCAUAUGUUAACUCAAAGCUUACCUGCGCUUCAACUUCAUGUCGAAGUUUGUCAUAACGAUGAGUCAGGUGUCGAGCAUCUUCCAAAGGUGCUCCAUUGAUUAACGCCCGUAGUGGCUCAGAUACCGACAUGUCCAAAAACCUGUAACAUAGUUAGAAAAAUGAAAAGAAAGAGCAAAACCUCAAUUAAAAAGUUCCUCCAACAUAAUCAUGGAAUUUGGGCCUACUUCAAGGAUAUAUAUAAGGAUAAUUUAUGCAAUUUUGGGUCUAAGGAUGAUUCAUAUUAGGUUAGUGUUCUUCUCUUCUGUAUUUAAGGUUAAAAUAGAAAUAAACCUAUGAAAAUAUCUAAAUUAGGGCUGUAAGACUUCCACAUGCAUCCUUCAGUCUCAUGGAUUUGAUUUUACUAUAGAUGCAAGUGUCUUUAUCGAAAAUGCUUGGAGUCAAUUGAGAGAACUCACGGCCAAUAACUUGUCACACGCUAGUCUUUGCUAGUGAUGUAAGAAGUCACAAGGUCUCUUCAACAUUUGAACCAAUAAAAUUAUUAAGUCAUGGAUGUCACUAGCAAUGAUUUUAAUAUAAAACAUUACAUAUUUCAGAGUUGAAACUUUAAAAUGGAUUCUUUUAUUCAGUAUCUUAGAACUAAGUUUCCUUAUGAGAAGAUAAUAGUUUCAGUAGUAAUUUACAUAUAAUUUUCUAUAUUUGAAUUAUUUUCUAGUUAGGGAUGAACUAACCUGAUCACGAAGAAUCCCAAGCAAAGUUUCCCUCUCAUUUUCCAUCAAAUCAUGUGAAGUGCCAAAUUGAAGAGCAGCUCUUGCAACGCAAGAAUUGUCACUUUGAUUCUCCACUCCAUACUUGCAACAAUCUUCGGCCAACUUUCUCGCUACAAUAUUUGAAUACAAAAAUAUUGUACACGAGAACUAGUCAAGAAAAUUAAAAAAAAAAAAAAUCAAAUAUUAUAACGAGAGCAAGAGCAAACAAACAACCUAUUUCCAUUUGUUUCAAGCUUACUGCAACAAACCCUUCAACGCCACGGACAACAUUCCUCUGAAAAUGCUGCGCUACAGAGCAUAUAUUCCAAAUUAUUGUUCAGAUAAAACCAUACAAACCAUCAUAAUUAUUCAACAUACAUUAAGCUCCGUUUGGUAAAUACUUGCAACUUCAGUCCAGAAAAUACAGUUAAUUUUUAUUUAAAAAACAUCAUAAUUAUCAACAUACAUAUUUGACAAAAUUAUUAUUUAAAAAUCAUAACUAAUUACCAAAAGCCACAAUAAAUCAAUAUCAAACAGUCUUAUUAUUAGCUAAAGGAGGAUAGUACCUUAGCUGCCCUGGUGGAAUUGUAUAGAUUUUGAAGUUGUUGGUGACACUCAAUUUCAGAUUCAUCAACAUUUUCAAUACCAAGAUGGAGCAGAUGCUUCAAUACUGCCUGUACAAACCAUAAAAAACUAAUGAAAAAUAAAUAAAAUCGAGAAAUUUCACUAAAUAAAAGUCUAAAUAUAAUUUUUAAAAAAAGAAAAGAAACGGACUUGCUGCUGCUUGGCGACUUGUUCUCGGAGCUUGAUUGCCUGUUUCUUGAUAGCUUCCAUACUGUUUCUUUCAAAAAGCGACGACGGCUCAGCUCAUGGAGGUGGAAAAAAAAAAGUGUGAUGGAGAAAAAUAAAAAGGCAUGAAUAAUUUUUGACAAAAAGCGAAAAUCAAGGAAAGCCAGCUCUUUCCAGAAAAAUAAAAAAGAAAAAAGAAAAUUAUAAGUUUGAAAGGAGAAGAUGAUAGUGGAAGUGUGCGGUGUGGCUGCCAGCUACUUGGAUUUUACUGUUGGGUAAGGUAAUAGUAGAGAAUUUUUUUUUUUUUUUAAGAAAAAUAGUAGAGAAUUUUUUAAGAAGCUAGAACAGAGCAUGACAUUAGACUUUUGUGGACCAAAUUCAAAAGCCGAAUGGCACGGCCCAGAAGCUUUUGAAUAGAAAAACUUGCAUCAGCCUCAAUCACUUCUUAAUCGCUUGCUUUAACUGCAUCGCUCUCUCUGUGCUCUUCUAUAUAUGUAACGGUUAUGCGGUUGUAGUUCACGACUGAGGCUACGUGUUGGUUUGACGUGGCAGUUACGUUACUAGGGGAUAAAUAAGAUUGGUUUCAACAAACCCACUAAUUUUAUAAAAUUCGAGUAAUAUAGAAUAAAAUAAAAAAAAUAAAUACAAAAUUGGCUUUUAUUUUUUCUGGUUGACUGUAUUUUGUGUUCUCUUCCGGCACUACUACAAUUGUUCCCUAUAUAUUAGUCACACCCAUAUGUCAUUAACACAAGAAAUGAAAUCUAAUGUCACCUAUUUAGUUAAAGAAUCACUUAUGAAAAAAUUUUACCAUUUUGAUUUGAGGAUCCAUAUUUUGAACUGCAAACUAAUGUUCAUCAAGAACAGAGUAUGACUUAUGUGUAGAAAAUUUUAUGAUUUUGGCCCGAAAUAUAAGGAAAUUAAAUUAGAUGAGAAUCUGCCACUUUCUCAUGAAGAAAGGCAUGCGGAGCAUACCAUGGUACCAUACGGAGAAUAUUAGAACCUCCCUAGAAUAUCUUUACCCUGAUGUUUCUAACAAAAAUCUGCAUGUGGCAGCAAUUACUAGAUCUACAAUUUCCCAAAUAAUAUUUUGUGUUUCUUAAAAAAUUUGAAAUACAUAGUUGCACUUGCACACCGUGAGACAGUGCUACAAUCUACUGAGAUCUAAAUUAUAUGAGACUUUAAGCUACUAAUGUUUGCAUAUUUCUACAUGUCAAAUUAACAUUACCAUCUAUAAUCCUAAACGACAGAUGAUAAACGGCUUUUGGCCACUUAUUACUAGCAUCCACAAUUAAUUUUUGUUCAGCAAUCAGCUUAUUUUAUAGAAAUUGAUUUAGUCAGCAACAAACACUAUAAUACUUGAAAUUAGUUCUUGUUCUUUGUAAUUUUCUAUGAUUUUUCAUAUAUCAAUUAAUCUGCAGUGCCAAGAUGAGGUUUAGUUUUCAAACUAAAUAAUCAAGUAAGCAAAAAUACAAAUUCAGAGAUUAGCGGGGUAAACUAGCUGGGUGGUUUAGAACUGGGCUAGCUACCUCCCUGUAUUCCUAUUUGUAAGGUGAAUUAAUUGAAUCAUGAGAAAACAAUGUGACCAUAGCUCAAUAUGAGAUGAUUUCGGAGAGGCAUAUUGUUUUCGAGUGAAUUUGAUCCAUUAAGAGAUGAAGUGGAUUGAAGUGGAAAGUUUAAAUAACAAAUCCUUGUUCUUGAGUUUUACGACGUCGUUACUCCUUCAGGUGGCAGAUUAUGCAAGUGAAUUCAAAAACACAAUGCAUCAAUCACGGGGACAAAAGACGGGAUCACAGUCUAUGCAUUGAACAGUUACAGUUGCUGCUACCAAUUGUUCGGCAAAGAUCAAGAAGACUGAACGGGAAGCUAAUGCCAUCAAUGUCGUCUUCACUAUAUCUGCUGGGAAUGUAGGUGAACUUUCCUCAUUUGCAGCUGUCUAUACAUAGGCUUUUCCCCAGCUUAAGUACAAAUAAAUGAAGCUGCCUUGAAGGCUUUAUUAUUGACCCCAAUAAGGAUUACUAAUUGAAGAAGACUAUACGGAGUUAAUCUCACAUUUUAGUUCUCUCAAUUUCUUUCAGAAGUGCCUCUGAAAAUAGCUGCCAAACCGUUAGUCAGCUUGUAUACUCUGUUUUCUGGAAACAGAGUAGCAUAUUUAAUCGUUUUAAUUGAAUUGUCUUCGUAGCGAUCAUCAACAAACUCAUCAUAAGAUUUUUGAAGCACCCAAGGACUAUCACUGGGUUUCUCUUCUGGUUGAUUUAUUAAUUAAUCAAAGAACGGUUGGAUGAAGUGCAAUGAUGGAGCAAAAUUUACAAUGUCUCCGGUUUCUCCUGACCAUCGGACUUUUGCAGUGAGAACAUAUAACAAAAAGACCUUCAUCAAAAUUUGUAGACUCCGGGUAUGGAUUGGAUCGAGUUUUUUGUUUGAUAUUGAAGAACCACUUUACUAUCGCGAUAUAGAUUAUGUGCAAGGGGUUGUCUACUGUUCUUUGCCUUGUGCUAUGAUCGGUGCUUUUGACGUUGCCCCGAAACAGUGGAAAAUACUUCGAUUUCCUCCGUUUGAUGAUGCAAAGAACUGGUUAAUGUACGAUUACCUAAUUGACUCAGGAUCAAGUAACAACAACAAUUUAUUAAUAGUAGUAUCACAAACGAAGAAGAUUUCGGAGAGGGUGAUGUAUGCCUAUACCGUUUACAGGUUUGAUCCACAGGGGAUGAAGUGGUCUCAAGUGGAAAGUGAUUUAUUAAACAACAAAUCAUUGUUCUUGGGUCAUACCUCAUGAUGUCAUCAAGUGGAAGAUGAAGAUUAUGCAAGACGAAGAUCGUUUGAUAUUGAAGAAUUUGAACAGAAAGCCCAUAGAAAGUACUUAAAUAAGCAUAUUCUUGUUGGGGUAGAAUAUUAAGAAAGGAGUUGUCUACUGUGUGUUGCGUGAUUAGGCUAUGAUCUGUGCUUUGAACAUUGCCCUCAAAACAGUGGAAAAUACUUCAUAUCCUCGACAUGAUGAUGAAAAAUUGGUUACCGAUUACCUAAUUGACUCAGUGACAACAAUCUAUUAAUAGCACAAUUUGGCGUGAUGCCGUUUAGGUAUAUGGUUUUCAAGUUUGAUUCAUCAGUGAUGAAGUGGACUAAAAUAAGAUGUUUAAAUGAUAAGUCAUUGUUCUUGGGCAUAUCGUCAUUACUACUUCUAGUGAUCAAAGAUGAAGAUGAAGAUGAAGAUGAAGAUGAAAAUUGUGCGAGUUCAAGAUUACCAUCAACUCAAUUUUAUGAUUGGAGUGUCUCACCGUGACUCAGACAAAUUCUGAUUCAACCUCCUUCACCAAUGGAUUUUGAUUAGUUAUUUUGUGAUCAAGCAACUUAAUUAAACUCACAGUUUGUUAGUCUAAUUUUAGUUUUACUGUGACCACUAUUCAAGGUAAGCGAAAGUUACAGAUGUGGCAAAAUCAAUAAUUAAAUUCAUAAAAUGUUAAAAAAUAAAACUUAUAAAUUUUGCAUGACUACUUACUAAUAAAUAAAUAAGUUAGAAUGUAGUUAGUUAAUUUUACACCAUAUUAUAUAUUAUUCGAUAAUAAUAUAAAAUAAAAAGAAUUAAAAAAUAAAUAAUUGAAUAAACAAAUAUGACUUUCUAAACAGUAAAAAUUCUAGAGUUAAAAUUUAUAUUAUUAUUUUAUUUUUUAAAAUUGACAUAUUUCUAUUAUCUUACAUGUACACAGAUUUUGAGAGUUGAGAAGAAUAUAUUUAAUGAAGCUUGCUAACAUUUGGUGGGAUAGCAAGUAAGGGUAAAUAAGAUUUUUUUGUUAUUUAUUUGAAUUAUAUCUAUUUUGUUCAAGUUAAAAUACUAAAUAUAAAUUGGAGGUAGACAUUUUAACAGAUCAUCUAAGCUCUCAAAUCUGAAAUUUUGUGUAGAUUUAAAUUCAUAAUUUUAGUUAAUUUUCAUACAUUCAUAUAAACAAAUUUAUGAGAUUUUUCUUUUCAGCAUGUUAUAUUUUGAAACUUUCAAUGUAUUAUUCUAGCUUUAUUUAAAUAAUUAAUUUAUUUAAAAUUUAUUUAAUUUUGAAUUUGAUCAAUAGUAAAAUUAUUUUUAUAUCAAAUUUUUUUAUUUAAAUAGUUCGUGGAUUGGACAAAAUUAAAAAUUUUUAAUCCACAAAAUGGUGGAUUAGAUAUGAAUUGGGUUAAAUACACAUUCGAUCCGCAGUCGUAUGAAUUUGAUUUGGAUUGAAUUUCAUCAAUCCAUGGAUUAGAUUGGAUUGAAAAAUUUAUUAUCCGCAAAAUCGUGGAUCGAAUAUGGACUGAUGUCCAAUCAGCAAAAUCCAAUCCCCGAACACUCCUCUAUCAAAAUUUUCAAGAAUAUUUUUUAUCUUACAAAUUUUUUUUAAAGUCAUAGUCUAAGGGCGGCCCAAUUUCUACUCCAUCCAUAUAAGCGGAGUUCAAAUCUCAUACCUCUUAUCUCCACACAAGAGAUUUAACCAAUUGAAAUAGCUAGCACCCACAAGUAUACUAGUACAGCAUCUCUUAACGUUUAACAUACGUAAAAUUAACGCCAUAGCUAUUGAUAAACACAUUGUUCAAUAUAUAUGAUCAAGAAUCUGAUCCUGCGAGCAACAGCAGUCAGAAGAACCAUUAUAAUGCCUAGCUCUUAUCCUGGUUAAUCCUCUGGCCCGAUGCUUCAUCAUAGUGAUUUAAAAAACCAACAACAGCUCUCUAAAAGAGAUGAAGAUAUCAUCUACGUAAAGAACAUGAGACGGAGAUUCACAACCCAUAAGAACUGAGAUAAAUUGGACCAGACCAGUAAUCUUGAGAUAAGUUAAACUGUGACUUAAGUUGAAAUCAGAGGACAGGAAUUUUAAAAUCUUUCGGCUAAGCCCCUGAGGAAUUUUCUAGAGUACGACUUCUGCUUACCUCUGUUUAAUUUCUCUUUAUAUUUUUCUUUCAUUUCAUUAAUAAAGUCAAAUAAUAAAUCAAAGAACGAGGGAAGAUUUUUCCAAGUCAUGCAUUAUUUGAUUACCAUCAAUCAAGAAACCGACCAAAUUAAUUUCUCUCCGUGAUUUUUAAAAAUUAAAAAAAAAAUAUUUGAGCAUAACAUCAUUAAUUAUAGAGUGGAUCAAACUGCGUUAAUCAUGAACUUUGUUGUGUUAAUUAUUUCAAUCCCCGAUUACGCAAUUUUUAAAUUAUAGCCUAACGGUGGUCUCAUCACCACGUGUGUGAUUUUCUUUUGCCAAUAGGAUCUGUAGAGAGCUUGAUCUCACCCAAUAGCAAAAUAAACUUCCUAAUAAGUGAAGGCAUAGUAUAAAUAAUUCACCCCCAUAUUAUUUAUUAGCAGCUUGAUUAUUUUAUAUGCAUCUUUGAUUUAAAUUUUUUUUUCCCAUAAUUGCUACUAUGUUCGAACUGGUCAUGAAUUAUCUAUAAGAUUUUUCAUGUUGCUUUUAGGUGCAUUGGAUUUUUUUUAGUUUAGUGCAAGAGUAGAGGAAGGCAAAUUAAGAAAAAGGAUAAAGAUCUAUGAUUAGCUAUUUUGGGAUGUCUCAUAACAUAUUGAUGGUAACAUUAUACAUAUGUAUAUCUAAAAAAUGGGGUUGGAUCAAGAGCCCAUUAAUAAUCAUAGAUUAGCUUAUAUAGCAAUUUCACAAGCACAUGUUAGCCUAUGUUGAGCUUUAUUAUCAAUAGUUCAUAGUUCAUCGGUGCACUGCAGGUUUACUAUUUGAAGUAAAUAUUAUGGUGCGUGCAUUUUUUAUAAGGCCAACUGCUGAAUUUAGCAUUGAAACUUACAAAAUGUAAUAGAGAGAGGUAGAUAACAGCCACAAAACACUAAGAUUGGAAAUCAGGGCUACUAAAUACUAUUACAAGCCCUUAGAAAAGACACUGAUCAUCCUAGAAUGUAUAUACUGAAAGUAAGAAAUAUUAAUCGCAAAGUUAUGUGCCAACAAAACUAUUGACUACUUGUCUCUAGCAGAAGGUAUAUAUUUUUAACUUCAGCUCUCUACUUUGUUCUAAGAACUAGGCAAAAGAAUGAAACUUCGGUGUCUAAAGUUUGCCGCUUGAAAUAUUUCACUGUCUAAACAUUCACUCACCACUUAUUUCAUAAAUGAAUUUUGUCUAACUAUAUGUUGAUAAAGAUAUUAGAGGUAAUAUAAUGCAUUUAAGACUUAACGUAUAUUUUUUAUUAGUAGAGUGUAGAAUUUUUAAGAAAUAAAUUAUUAAAUUACUAUAACUAACAUAUUAUUUUAAAGUUAUGUUAAGAAAAGAAUGAAAAUAAAAAAUAAAAAAAUAAGGGUAUUCUAAAACUUUGAUCCUUUUAAAAGUAGUUUUUGACGUAAAUAAAAUAAUUUUUAUUUUUUUUAAAUCACAUACUCUAGUUAAAAUCAAAUUUGUAUUUAUAAAGAUUGUAAAAUUUUUUUUAGCAUUAAUAUUUGAAUACUUUCAAGAUAAGAAAUAGGGUACUAAUUAUGCUACAACAUUAUUAUAGCACAUAAAAAGACAAUACCCUUUAUAUUAUUAUACUAUCGUUUUUGUUAUGAUAGUAUUUUGUUAGUGGUCAAAUAUUACUUUUUUAAAUAAAAAAGUAGACAAAUGUAAAUCAAUUUUUAAUCUCUCCUAAAAUUCUAAUUCCUAGUUACCAAACAAAAUUGUUUGAAAAUAAUUUGGCUAAGUGCAUGGGUUCUUAAAACUAUAGGUGAUAGAAGUUACAAGCACAAGCAAAUUUGACGGUCCAUUUUAUAAAAUUUUUAAUAAUUUUUUAUUUACCAUUUUACCACCUAUAUAAUGAGUGCCACAUCGACAAAUCAAUUCAUUUGCAAAUUAUAUUAAUUUUGUAAAAUUCAUUUGACUUGCUAAACCCUUCUUAUCCCCUUUCUCGACUGUCAUACCCUAACCUUAUUUCCCGUGUCCACACUUGACCACGCUCAAUUCAGGCCAUCAGAUUAUCCUGGACCCACAUUAAUCCAACUGCUCACAAUGACCGACAGCCUCUCCAUCUCCAUUUCAAGCUUCCUCUUCAACUGGCUUCUGCUUCCGUCGUACUCUUUCUUGGAUUCGGAGUCCGUAUUUGCUCGGCCGGUCCCGCACAGCUCCCUCUCACUCCAAUUGUCACCCAACAAGACCAAUUGCUUAACAUUGACCGUAUGGCAAUUGUCCGUAUUUCUUGGAUUCGGAGUCCGUAUGGCACAGAACAAGAAGAGGAUGAGAAAUUGAAACAAGAAUUUGAGAAUUGGAAAUCGAAAACGUACGCAUUGACCGUGCCUUUGAGGGCAAUUACUUUUCUUGAGAAUUGAAGUUUGGUAAUGUAAUUUGUUCUCCAUCUGUGUUCCCUUUGUAGUCAUUUCAUUUAUUUGUUUGUUUGCUUUUAUUUGCACUUACGAAGUCUCAGAUAUAUCUACGCAGGAAUGAUGCAGGAGAAAUUGAUCCUCGAGCUUACAAGAAAAGUAAAUUUCGAAAGCAUAAUUUGGCUCCGAUUGAGGUAAUAAUUGUCUUUAAACUCAUUUAGUUUUAUAUCAAACAAAAUAAAGGCUGCCUUUCUCUUCAAUAUUUUUUAUGAUAAUAUCUUUAGAAGCAUCUCAUUGACGGGUAAUCAUGGUAUCCCUUAAAGAGUCUAUAAACUCAAUGAUAUUUUCUUCUGCAAAUGGUUCAUUAAACUUCUUAGACGUAGUUAAAUGUACACUAAGAACAACGAGAAGCUAUGCCGCUGUAGCAUGUAGUGAGAUCUUGUUUGAAGUUGUUUUCUGAAAUGAACUGCCAAAUGGUAGUUUUUUAUUUCUUGGGUGCAUUUGAUGACUCUUUUCUCCUCAUUUUAAGCAUGUACCUGCUUGGAAUGGGAAGGAAUAGGCUUCCGAGUUGUUAUAUAUGUUGACAUGCUCUGAUCAUUACACAAAAUGUUCAAAUUGGAAAUUAGAAUGAGAUAUUUGUCGAUGCUUUUUGAGAGAUCUGCAUUCUAUGCACCAUAACAUGAUUAAUGAAAACAGGUUUAAGGACUGGAAAGAUCUGUGGCGGCCCAAGCUUGCAGGAAGGAUUUCAAUGGUUAAUUCUCCCAGAGAGGUUAUUGGUACAGUUUUGAAGUAUAUGGGAGCAUCAUACAAUUCAAACGACAUUGAUUAGCAAGUUGCUGCUGGGAGGAUUGCUGUUCAGCAGAAUCUGGCAUUACUGGGAAACCAGGUACUCUUAAAGAAAUGAUAUCUGGUCAAUGCAUAUUACUGCCUGAGCUGAUUUUGUUUGUAAAGUCUGCCUCUUCAUACAUAUGAAUGCAUAUGUUAGUGUUUUCUUCUCCUUUUAAUACACAUGAAUGCAUAUGUUAGUGUUGUCUUCUCCUUUCCAUAAAUAUGAAUGCAUAUGCUCUGGGUGUUGGUUACUACUUCAAGUGGAAGGUGAAGGUGAUGCAAGUGAUUUCAGGAGUACAUAUAUUCCAAGGAUGCUGGACUAUUAUUGCUUCCCCCCAUAUUUCAGAAUUUUUUGUCAACCUCCUCCACUAAGGGAUUCCAAUUGAGUUACAAAUAUAUUUUCUGUAGCUAUGUUUUAAAGUUUUGGUCUCAUGUUAAUUUUUCUAAUUACUAUUCUUCAACAAAUCUCUUUUACUUUAAAAAACUGCUACAGUUUGAUUUUACUGCCUUAUAUCAUUGAACAUUGAUACAUGGAAUUUGAAAUCAGACUUGUAACAACAGAUAUAUAGAUAUAGAACAUGCAUAUAAUCUCCAUUUCGAGCUCCCUCUCCAACUGGCUUCUGCUUCCGUCGUACUCUUUCUGGGAUUCGGAGUCCGUAUUUGCUCGGCCGGUCCUGCACAGCUCCCUCUCACUCCAAUUGUCACCCAACAAGACCAAUUGCUUAAUCAAGGCACAGAACAAGAAGAGGAUGAGAAGUUGAAACAAGAAUUUGAGAAUUGGAAAUCGAAAACGUAUGCAUUGACUGUGCCUCUAAGGGUUGUUUCUCUUCAGAAUUCAGUGCCUCAAUCUUGGGUUAAGGAUUUUAUGCGAAGUCAAGGAAAGAGAUUGAAGUUUCAGAUGAAUUUGUGUGCUAGCAUUGGUGGGAUCUUUAACAAUUUAUCUGUGCCCUUUAACAAAGUUAAGGGUAAGUCAGCUUCGUAUACGGCUGCUGAUUUGGUUAGUGUUGGUGAUUCAUGGCUCAGUUUUGCGAUUAAAAAGAGAUUGAUUGAGCCAAUAGCUGAAGCUGAAGAUCAAGAUUGGUUCAAAUGCUUAUGUCACAAAUGGAAGGUAACAUACUAACAUCUUUAUCUUUGACCCGAUAAUUUUUAUUGUCUUACAUUGAAAUUUGGUAAUGUAAUUUGUUCUCUAUUUGUGUUACCCUUUGUAGUCGUUUUAUUUAUUUGUUUAUUUGCUUUUAUUUGCACUAAUGAAAUCUCAGGUAUAUCUACGCAGGAAUGAUUCAGGAGAAAUUGAUCCUCGAGGUAAAAUAUGGGCGGCACCAUACAGGUGGGGCACAACGGUGAUAGCCCACAAGAAAAGUAAAUUUCGAAAGCAUAAUUUGGCUCCGAUUGAGGUAAUAAUUGUCUUUAAACUCAUUUAUUUUUAUAUCAAACAAAAUCAAGACUGCCUUUCUCUUCAAUAUUUUUUAUGAUAAUAUCUUUAGAAGCAUCUCAUUGACGGGUAACAAUGGUAUCCCUGAAAGAGUCUUUAAACUCAAUGAUAUUAUCUUCUACAAAUGGUUCAUUAAACUUUGUCGUUGUAGUGAAAUGUACACUCAGAGCAAUGAGAAGCUAUGCCACUGUAGCAUGUAGUGAUGGCACUUAAUAAGUGAGUUGCUAGGAUGUGAACUAGAAAAAUUAAAUAUUGUCUCCUUGGGUAUGCUAGCUCAUAAGUCAGGGUUAAUAUUAGAGCUUAAGUUACUAUAACCAUGAGACGCUAUUGACUGCCAAUUAAAAUAUCCAUUAAAUUGUCUAGGAAGUUAUGAAAGUGGAGGUAUCUUCCGAUUUCUAAGGCCAGAUAGUAGACAUCAUCCAGGAUCCUAGGAAAGUGCAGUUAACCUCCUGCUCGAUGCAAUUAAUAAAUUUGGUCAAUGCCACUGAAACCUGCAAACCGACGUCACAAUGCAAGAUGAGCACUUCAAAAUGGGACAGACGGUCAGUAGCACUAAAUUUUUCUUUCCCAAGAUUGAGCAAUUGGUCUAACAACUAACCCCUAUUGUAGGUUGAUCAUUAUUUUUCCAAUUAUGUUCAGUUUGACCCAAAAAGUUACAGAAUCUUGAGCUGAAUAUUGUCACUGAACACUGUCAAUGUCGUUUAGCAUACCCAACUAACUUGAGUUUGGUAAAACAAACACACUGUGUGUCUCAUCUCUCACAAUUCAAAUUAUCAUCUGUAAUGAUGGAGAAUUUUUCCGAUGUAUGAAGUAUGCUUUGAUACGUGUACCUUGGAGAAGAUAUCUCCAAAUAAAGAAUAUGGAGAGAAAACGGUUCAGUAGUUUAUUAUUCUGUAGGCAAUUCUUGUCUCAAAAAUGGUCAAAAUUUAAAUGAAUAAGGACAGGGGAUCUUCAUUCUUUUUUCCCUUUUUUAUACCAAGAUAUCUCUCAACCUUUAUAUAAUCCCCACUGGAUAUCUGCUUCUAAUAAUUAAAAUAAAAAUUUCACCCGCACAAAUAAAUACUGACCAAGCUCUAACAAUAAAAAGUAACAUCUUUACUCAAGUAAUUUACAGUUCCUCAUCAUCUUAGUGUGAGACUAUCAUUACGUUCCAAAAACAUAAUAAAACUGGUUUGAUCCUGUUUAUUGAUGUUUAAAUGUUGUUCAUUGUGACAUGUAGAAAUGAUGAGGCGAAGUUUAUUUGGUCAUCAAUUAGUAAGAUCUUGUUUGAAGUUGUUUUCUGAAAUGAACUGCCAAAUGGUAGUUUUUUUGGGCAUAUGAUGGCUCUUUUUUCCUCAUUUUCAACAUGUGCCUGCUUGGAAUGGGAUGGAUUAGGCUGCAGAGUUGUUAUAUAUUUUGAGAUGCUCUGGCCAUUGCACAAUUUGUUCACACUGGAAAUUAGAAUGAGAAAUUUGUUGAUGCUGUUUUGAGAGAUCUGCAUUCUAUGCACAAUAACAUGAUUAAUGAAAAUGGAUUGUAGGACUGGAAAGAUCUGUGGCAGCCUGAGCUCGCAGGAAGAAUUUCAAUGGUUAAUUCUCCCCGAGAGGUUAUUGGUUCAGUUUUGAAGUAUAUGGGAGCAUCAUACAAUUCAAGCGAUAUUGAUUCGCAAGUUGCGGGUGGGAAGAUUGCUGUUCAGCAGAAUCUGGCAUUACUGGCAAACCAGGUACUCUUAAAGAAAUGAUAUCUGAUCAUGCAUGUUAUUGCCUGACAACUGAUUUUGUUUGUAAAAGUCUGCUUCUUCAUACAUAUGAAUGCAUAUGUUAGUGUUCUCUUCUCCUUUUCAUACAUAUGAAUGCAUAUGUUGGUGUUGUCUUUUCCUUUUCAUACAUAUUAAUACAUAUAUUGGUGCUCUCUCCUGAGAUGGAUGCAAUAAAGGCUUUUGGUCCUAAAUUUAGCUGAAGAAAUGGCAAGGGAUGUGAGAUUCUGUCUCAUUAAAUUAACAAAAACCCAAAACAAUGAAAACCGAUAAUAAUGUGGUGGGGGUAAAUUGGCACCAUUUGGUUUGUUUCCUUAAUGUGAAUACACGAGCAAUAGGGACUAACAAAAUGAAGUGACAACAACAAGUCAGUGUCCUUUGAUGGAUGCAUUUUAGGCAGAAAUAGGUUUGUAAUUGACCAAUUUCAAAAAAUUUAAAUUAUGUGGUUAUUAGCUGUAAUGAAGGGGAUAGUAGGUGCAAUCAGGUGGAUCCAGGAAAGUUCAACAAAGUUCUGGUAUGGCAUAGUGAAAUUGGUUUGUGCAACUCAAGAGUCUUUCAGGUGAACGAUGAUACGUUUUGAUUUAUAAAUGUUAUAAAUCUACCGUCCAUAGUAUUCUAGUAGAGUCAUCUAUAAGUUCUAGUUAUUGAAAUUGUCUACUUUGUCCAGUUUGAGUUAAGGGCACAUGUAAUAGGAAAAAUAGUAUUCACAUCUUUUUGGUUACCUAACAUUUGAUCGAUCCUAUUAUGAGGGCUUCAAGAUGCCUGACAAUAUGUAGAAUGCCCAUGCUCCUCCCCAUUGUUUAUCUUAUACAAUAAUUUGUUUUAGAUGCUAAUAUAUUUGUCGAUACCGGUAACGAUAUUACAAUAUCUGCGUUUAUUGGGUUUUACAUAGGUUCGACUGUUUGACAGUACACACUAUCUGAAGGCAUUUGGAAUUGGAGAUGUAUGGGUUGCUGUUGGGUGGAGUAGUGAUGUUCUUCCUGCUGUCAAACGUAUGUCUAAUGUUGCAGUUGUUGUUCCCAAGUCUGGUGCUAGCUUAUGGGCCGAUCUUUGGGUAUACCCAUGCCUGCCAUUCUACUUCGAUAUUCACAUUGUUAUCUCCUUCAUUUUAGCGAUCAUAAACUUGAUAAUGUGACUAAUAAGUUCGUAUUCUCUAUAUAGGCAAUCCCUGCUGCCUCAAGACUUGAAACAAAAGAAAUUGGAGGGCGAGUCAGAGGUCCAUCUCCAUUAAUCCAUCAAUGGAUAGAAUUCUGCUUGCAAACAGCGAGAACAUUGCCUUUCAAGCAAGAGGUUAUCCCGGGCGCAUCUCCCUCUGCCCUUGAAAGUACUCUGGUUAAGUUGCCUGAAGAACUUCUGAUGGGUAAACCAAGUCUGGAUACUAACUUAAUUGCUGGAGUACCCCCGGCUGAAAUUCUGGCCAGAUGUGAGUUUUUGGAGCCAUUGCCUGAAGCUACAUUGUCAGAUUAUGAGUGGCUGGUUGCUAAUCUGCAAAAACCUGCCCCCGUCUUGAUGAAAAGGCUGCAACAUUACUUGUCAUCAUUAAUCCAAAGCUUUCUAGCAAAAGCUACAUUGAAAAGUUAAUGGCACUGCAUGCCAGUCAUUGUAAUGCUGUCAGGGCUAUUGGGUCAGGGCAAUUAGGUAAGAGCAUAACUUCAUUAGGAAAAGAGGCUUCAGCUACGUUAAAUAUUGCAGGAUGUACUGAGAUGGUUGAAGUUCUUGAGGUUUUACGAGAAACGAAAGAUGAGUGUUUGUUUGAACAAAGUUGUUGCCAUCUUGCAAGAUCACUGAGCGAAUGCCACCGAUUUCUUAAUCAUUGUAGCCUCCAUAGUUGAAGUUUCCUUAUUUGAAGCUGUUUAUGCGUACGCUUUUUCCCUGCUCAAGUACAGGAAAUUGAAGAAUUAACCAGAUGUGAUAUGCUGAAAGAGGGAAGUUUUCUUCCUUGAACGUGGCCUUGUGAUUUGUCUUGAAGGAAUAGGAUGAUCACUGGCAAGAACCCUAUCAAGGUAGAUUUUAUGGUGCUAACGUAUUAUUAAGCAUUUUGUUACAUCAGCAAUGAUGCUUCCAUAGCAUGAAAGUGUUUAAAUUUAACUGAAUGAUCUUGAUUAAUCAAUUAUGAGUUUUAAUCGAGUAAAAACUAAAUACAAUCAUCGUUAGCAAAUACUGAAAUUGGGUAAAUAUGAUCUUGAUAUUGAAGAAUCUGAAAACACAACCCACACAGGGAAUCACCCUUCGCGUGGGGAUGGAGAUGUUUACUGCAGCGAUAUUGAAUAUGUCCACUGCUCUUUGGGUUAUGGUGCGACUUGCCCUGAAACAAUGGAAAAGAUUAACAUACCCUGCAAUGAAUGAAAGCGGCUGGACUAAUUCUGAUUACCUAAUUGACUCAGGAUCGGGUGGCAAUAAUGACAGUUUAUUAACAAUGCACAGUUCCGAGUACUUUUCCAGGAUCAGAUAUUACGUGGUCUAAUGUUGAUAAUAAUAGAUUAUCAAAUGAGAGAUGCUGAGAGAUGCUGGUCUACCUUUGCAAGCCCCCAGAUUUAAGAAUCUUUUGAUGAUAAUUUACCACCUGUACCUGUGCCGGAAGAUUCACCUAGCACUGAAAAAGAUGAUAAUUUAAUUGAUAUGGAUAGUUUUCAUAACACUUUUAAAUCAUCUAUAUGUGAACUAUUAUUGACGCUAUUUUGUUGUAAACAAUCUUAUUCAAUUAAUAUAUAAUUUAAAAUCAUUAUGUAAAUCAAUCUAUUACUUUUCAUGAUAUUUAAUUGAGUUAAAACUAAGUGCACCCAAUAAAUCUCUUUUCCUUUAAAAAACUGUUACGCUUUGAUUUUAGUGCUUAAUAUUUACGGAACUCCGGUACAGGGAAUUCGAAAUCAAACUCGUAACCACAGAUUAUCUAAUUGCAAGUUUUUGUCCAUAGUUGCUGAUUGUAGUGAUUAUCUAAUUGACUGAGGUGACAACAAUUUUUUUUUUUAAUUUUCAAUAGCAUAAUGUGGAAUUCAAUAAUUAAAUUCUCCUUUUUAAUUUGUUUCCAAUUAAAUUAUUAAUUACUUAAACUCUGUUUUAAGUCUUUAAUUUUAUGUCUUGGCGUAUAUGCAGGGUUGGAUUCUUGAGCGUGUUGGACACGACCAACAAUGAAAUUGACAGUAAACAAACAUUACAACGCGUUGAGUGUCGACUCCGCUAGCUGCCCUACAAGUCUACAACUUUACAAACAACAACUGAGUACACACAUUUGAUUCUUGGGACCCUUCAAUGAAUUUCUAGCCCGGUUGACUCCACCGACAAAAGUUUUGGAAAAUAAAAAAGAAAAUUCAUAGAAUUCCACCAAAUGCAAAACGCGUGGAAUUUAAUUUUCGGCCAUGUGGACCAAAACAUAAUUUAAUGAAAAAAAAAGAUAAGAUUUCUAAAAUGUGUGGAAGGUGAUCCAUAUUUUACUGAAAACAACUUGUUAAAUUUUUCAAAGAUUUAGAAUAUUUGGUCAUAAAUUACGCUCAUGUUAAUUUUUCCGCUAUUGACUAUCAUAUUCUAGACUCACUGGUACCUUUCUUGAUGAAGGGUACUUAGUCUCUCUUCUCCUCUUAUAAAAAUUAUAUUAAGUGAUUUCUUAUUAUAAUAAAUAGUCUUUAAGAACGUAUAGAUUUAUUGUUUUCGUGACCAAAUUAUGCCAGCUUAAGGUUGCGACUAUUAAUAAAAUUAAUAUUUAAUGUUUAUGUUAAAAGAUAUAAGAUUUUAUGCAUUCAUUAAUUGUUAUUAGCUAAAGGAUUAAUUAUUUUUUCAACCCAAUCAGUUGAUGCAUCUGCAAAAAAAAUUUCUUUUAUUGACCAUAAUUAUAUUCCGGGUACAAUAAAUUAUCUUUGGUGCUUGGAAAAUUUGACUUCUUACUUCAAGUUUGAUGUGUCUCUCUCCAUAAGCUUACUGGAAAUAUAUCCUUUUGUAUUAUUAAUAAAGUGAAAUUUGUUGCUCCUUCCUUCUAAAUCUAAACAGAGUUUCACAAUUUCACCAACUUGGAAUAUUUGACAUUGGACUUUUCCUCUCUCCAUAUAAGCCUUCUGCAAAGAAUUGCAUCGUUAUUCCCUUCAUUAAAAAAUCUGUCGAUGUCUGGUUGUGAAGUCAAUGGUGUCCUACGCGGUCAAGGUAAAAGAAAAGUGUUGAUUGUGAACUCACUCAAUGGUGUCCUACGUGUUCAACAUUUUUAUUUAUUAAUCUUUCUGCUAGAUUUUCCUCAUUUCAAGAGUUUGGAACAUUUUGACCAGCUUUCUUCAAAUCAUCGGUGAAUCAAUGCCUUCUCUUAAGUACUUAUCACUGUCAGAUUCUACUCUUGGCACUAACAGCAGCAGGAUUCUUGUUCGAGGUUAAUCAGAUGCUCCCACCCUCCCUUCUUAAUCUAUAAUAUUAAUUUUCAAUUAAAUAUUCAAUUACACAAACCAAUCACUUAUUAUAAAAGAACAAUACGCAUUCAUUAAUUUUUAUAUUGUAUUAAUAAUUGAUGAAUUUAAUAAAUUUUCAAAUAUUGUAUUAAUAUUUGACAUCCAUUGAAGAGCUGUAUCUUUCAAACAAUCACUUCCAGAUCCCAAUUUCACUUGAACCAUUUUUCAAUCACUCACGACUCAAGAGUUUCUAUGCUGACAACAAUGAAAUAAAUGCAGAAAUAAUUGAGUCGCAUUCUUUGACUGCCCCAAACUUCCAAUUAAAAUAUCUCUCAUUGUCUUCCGGUUACGGAGAUGGUGUCACAUUCCCCAAAUUCCUUUACCAUCAACAUGAUCUGGAGACUGUUGACCUCUCACAUAUAAAGAUGAGUGGAGAAUUUCCAAAUUGGUUGUUGGAAAACAACACAAACUUAGAAUAUCUUUUUUUGGUUAAUGAUUCUCUUGCAGGACCUUUUCGGUUGCCAAUUCAUUCACACAAGCGGUUAAGACUGUUGGAUAUAUCCAACAACAACAUCCGAGGCCACAUUCCAGUAGAAAUUGGAGAUGUUUUACCAAAUUUAUACGUUUUCAACAAUUCCAUGAAUGCUUUAGACGGUAGCAUUCCCUCUUCAUUUGGUAAUAUGAAAUUCCUCCAAAUUCUAGACUUAUCCAACAAUCACUUGACUGGUAAAAUCCCCGAGCACUUGGCCAUGGGUUGCGUCUACUUGAAUUUUCUUGUCUUGUCAAACAACAACCUACAAGGUCAUUUGUUCUCUAGAAAUUUUAACUUGACAAACUUGAAAUGGUUACAAUUGGAGGGCAAUCGCUUCGUAGGUGAGAUCCCAGAAAGUUUGUCUAAAUGCUCCUCACUAGAAGGAUUGUCUCUUAACAAUAAUAGUCUUUCGGGUAAGAUUCCACGAUGGUUGGGUAAUCUCACAUGGUUAGAAUAUAUUAUAAUGCCCAAUAAUCAUCUUGAAGGCCCUAUUCCAGUGGAGUUUUGUCAGCUUGAUUUGCUUCAGAUUUUGGGCAUUUCAGACAACAACAUAUCUGGAAGUUUACCAUCUUGUUUCCAUCCUCUCUCUAUCAAACAAGUUCAUCUUUCAAAAAAUAUGUUACAUGGACAGCUAAAAAGAGGUACAUUCUUUCAUUGCUCUUCCCUUGUGACAUUAGAUCUUAGCUAUAACCGCUUGAAUGGCAGCAUUCCGGAUUGGGUUGAUGGGCUUUCUCAGUUAAGCCACCUUAUCUUAGGUCACAAUAAUCUUGAAGGUGAAGUGCUAGUUCAAUUAUGCGAAUUGAACCAACUACAAUUGUUAGAUCUUUCUAAUAAUAAUCUUCACGGUCCUAUUCCUCCUUGCUUUGAUAACACCACACUUUAUGAAAGUUACAGCAAUAAUUCUAGUCUUGAUGAGCAAUUUGAAAUAUCUUGUUCCAUCGAAAGCCCUCAGGGAGAUGUAGAAAAGCAAAUCCGUGAAAAUUUUGAGUUCACAACAAAGAACAUUGCGUACAUUUACCAAGGAAAAGUGCUUAGCCUCCUAUCAGGACUUGAUCUUUCUUGCAACAAGCUAAUCGGUCCUAUUCCUCCUCAAAUUGGAAAUUUGACAAGGAUUCAAACAUUGAAUCUAUCACACAACGACUUGACAGGAUCGAUCCCAUCAACAUUUUCAAACUUGAAGCAUGUCGAAAGUUUGGAUCUUUCCAACAACAAAUUGAAUGGGAAAAUCCCUCAUCAACUAGUGGGGUUAAAGACAUUGGAGGUUUUCAGUGUGGCAUACAAUAACUUAUCAGGCGAAAUUCCAGAAUGGACUGCACAAUUUGCAACAUUCAAUGAGAGUAGCUAUGAGGGAAAUACUUUUCUUUGUGGAUUGCCAAUGCCCAUUUGCAGAUCACCAGAAACUAUAUCGGAGGCUUCAAUUGGCAAUGAACGAGAUGAUAAUUUAAUUGACAUGGACAGUUUCUUUAUCACAUUUACAACAUCGUACGUAAUUGUGAUAUUCGCAAUUAUUAUUAUUUUAUAUGUAAAUUCUUAUUGGCGACGUAGAUGGUUUUACUUUGUUGAAAUGUGGAUAACUUCAUCUUACUAUUUUGUUGUAGACAAUCUUAUUCCAACAUGAUUUUGUCAUUGAAAUUAAUUAGUAGCUUAAUUACGAUCCUUUAAGUACUAAUCAAGUUUGCUUAGGAAAUAUUUUUUUAUUAAAAUUGUAGUAGUAUUUAGCAUUAUAUAGCUUCCAACUUCCAAGCACUUCACAUUUGUCUCUACACUUAAAAAACUGAGUGAUCAUGUUUUGCAGAUCUGGAUUUGGAGCAGGAUGGAUCCAAACCCAUAUCUGUCCACCAUAACUUAUAGCUUCCCUAUACUGUGCAGCAUACUUAAAUAAGAGAACCAUCUCCAAUGUUAAAAGCAUUCACUCUAUAACAUUCAUUUAGAAACUAUAUUCAGAAUAAUUUUAUAAUUAAACACAAGAAAUGAAACACACAGAUACACUUGAUCGCCUAUUUUACUCUAAAAAAGAACGAUUACUGUGCUAUCAUCAUCUUCUUCACUAGCAACAUUAACACCAAAUCGAUAGACCCAUACAUUUCAUCAAGAAAGGUAUAUAUCCAAUAAAGUUGAAGCCUAACAAAAAAUUCAAGAAGAUUAAUGCCUCGCCACAACAAGGGGCACAACAACAUCAAAGUAGAGAUUAAGCAGUAUUCUCAAAGCUAAAACUCUCAAAUCCACCCACCAGAAUUUCAUAUCUCCUCAACAAUUUUAAGAAAUAAAGAUAAUUAGGAUUUAACAUUAGUUUUUUAUAUAUUAGUUUCAUAAUUUACAAAUCAAUGAAGAUGAAGAUUAUGCUAAUAAAUUCAAAUUAUACCAUACAUUCUCUAGAUGUUACCAAAAAUUUCUAAGUCAAUCCCACAUAUUUCAUAAUUUUAAGACUAGAAAAUUUCACUAGUUAGAAGUUUCAUUAACUUCAAGUGGAAGAUGAAGAACAUUAUACAAGUGAUUCAGAUUAUAUCAUACAUACUCCAAAUGCAACUAGAAAUUAACAAGUUCAUGCGCACAUAUUUCAUAACAUUAUGAUUGAAACGUUUCACAAAGAGAAAUUCUAAAUUCAAUCUCUUGCAUGAAGGCAGUUUGAUUGAUUUGAGUUACUUUCUUAUCAAGCUACUAAUAUAACAUUCAAGUCAGGGAGAAAAUAAAUUAAAACUGGGAAGAAAUAACAGUAAAAAUUUGUUGCUCAACAUGAUGUGUAUUUUUUUUCAAGGCAAUUUGGAAACACAAUUGUUACUACAGAUAUUCUUCUCAACUUGGAGAUAAAUACAAAUAUUAAAAUGCAUAUGAUCGCACAUAUUACUUCGAGUUUAGUAAGAUUUCAUUAAAAGAAGCAAUCAAACCACUUAUCAAUUGUCGCAGUCGUUCUAUAAACUAAAAUAGCAAUAUAAUACAAGAAAAAGAACAUAUAGAUACUUGGCAAGAGUUCAUUAAGAAGUCGCAUCACAUUCGGGUGAGGAGUUUGCUUCUGAUAUCUUGCUAGCUGGGGCUUUUUCUUGUCUUUCUACGUAUGCCGAGGGAAACCAACCAGCUUGGCCCUUGCAUUCACCUUCCGACCAUCCAAUAGGAGCCACCUUGAGAAGUUAUAACUAAAACGGUGAAUUAAACAAAAGUUGACCGUUCAAAGACCUAAGGGGAAAACUAAUUCUUUUACGUAGGAGGAGUGAAUUAGUUGUGAUCACUGAAAUAACAGCAUAACUAUGGAAGCAUAACAAGAUAUAAAUUCACACGUCUAUAAGGAUAAACUGGGUGGUUUAGAACUGAGCUAGCAACCCUACUAUAUUCUGAUUUGCACUUCAAUGUAAAAGGGAAUAUAUGGUAGGAAGAAAGAAAACCAACCAUCAUUUGUUAACUCAUUGCUUUUCAAUCAAAAUUUUAAGAACAAAAUGCCAUGUGCUUUGAACAUCAAAUAAGUAUAAGCAUUAGUUCUAAAUUCCACAUAUCAUAAGUUGUUAGAAGGAUAAGUUAAUAGCAGAGUAGAAAAAUCAAUGUGUUGGUAUUUAGAGGGGAAAGUACCUGGCGAACCACAACAUAAUCAUCAAUUGAAAGACUUAGCUCUCCAUUUGCUUGAGCAUCAAAUGGAUGUAUAACCUGCAAGAUAAUGGGAUAAAUGGAACUUAAAAAAAGCAUAACAAAAGCAGCAACAGUAGCAGCAACGUUCAUUGUAACCACUAUGAUCAUGGCCAACAAAGAUAUAUUAGAAACAAAAUUCCAUUUUUACUAUGACAUUAAUAUGUACUAUACGAUAUCAUGACGAUUGGGUUACUAAGAGCUAUCAAAGUCUAAUAAGUUCUGUAUAACUUUAUGUAGUUAUUUAAAUUAUGGAUCAGAUUUUAAAUUUGAAAUUUUGACUGCUCUCCACAAAACAUGGCCUAUGCACAAGAAAGUCAUAGAUAAUGAGGAUUACAAGUGUCCGACAUCUUUUGAGUGAUGGAUUUAACAUGAGAGCUUAUGGUCAGUCAAUUUCCUCUGCCUAGCAAUAUAAGCUUUCUCGGCCAGAUUUAUCAUCAAAUACAUAGAUUGCCCCCAAGUCACAUCCAUAUAAACAUAGUUUUUCUAGGUAAACCAAGUAAGGAGCAUCAUAAUUCAGACAUAAUCAUAAAAAGGCCCAUCUAAAUUAAGAGAAAAUCUCAAAAAGAGGGAUGCUGAGCUAUCAGUCUUGUAUCUAUAAGCAAUAUCAAGACUUUACAUCACCUGCUACAUCAUGAGUGGCUACACAACUUUCAGUGGUUUGUCUUUCUUUGGCACGCCUAACUCAGCUUUGAUGUUGCUGAGAUAUUGAUAGUAGAGACACAUGAUACUUCUAGCUCAUGCAUUCUAUCUAACUCAUCCAACAACUAUCUCUUUUUUAAUUCAUUAGUGUUUGCUAAACCUCAUGCUUAAAAGUCCUGUUCUCCUAAAUAAAGUUUCCUAAGAAUGACUUCCUUAGCACCACAGUUGGACACUUGUAGAGCAAUUUUAUUUGGGGGAAAAGAAUUUUCAAGGUGUUAACUAAUAAAUUUUAAAAAAUAAUUACAAUUUGUCCUACGAUCAUAUGACAAUUUAUCUGGGAUGAAAGGAUACAGAUAGACAUCUUCCACUUUCAAGACUAAUCACUACUUCCGUAGAUGUUGUGCAAUAAUACAAAUACUUGACCAGAUGGUAGUGAUGGUAGAAAAAAAAUUUAUUGCUCCAAAAUUAAAAUAAGAAUGCAAUAUGUUAAGCAAAAGGCUGUGCAACAUCAAAUUAAUUGAUAAGAUAGAUGCAGACAAGCAAGUUAAAAUGCAUAGUCCCAAACCUCCGCAUACAACUUCUCUAAAAUAGCAAUAACGUGUUGAUGCUAUGUUUUCUCAGCAUCUACCUGCAAAGGCCCGAGACCAGGAAAACAACAAUAAAACCACUAGCUGAAGGAGAAAGCAAAGAAAGAAAUACACUUGACAUAAAUCUUGACAAGAAGCACAAUUUAAGACAUAACAAACCCCAAUCAUAUUGUUUAGAACUACCAUUCGUUAUUUCGUUAUUGUAACAUUUCGAACAAGUGUUGACUUAAUUCAACAUUGUUGGAAAGAUAGGCUUUUAGAAGCAGAAGAAAGCCUCUCAAACCAAAGUGCUGGUCCUUGUAUUGAUCAAGGGAUGUAAACAUAUUACAUUUGCAGGAUGAGAUUUAAUCACUCCCCUGAUUUAUUUGGGUUGCAGUAAAACUAAGCGAGCAACUGUUUGACUUCCAAGCAACAGCUAAAUCAGCUAUUAAAAUUCAAAUAAAAUCAUAAUAGAAUAAUAACAGGCCCUCUUGCAUCAAAAAUUAAGUUUAAUUUGUGCAUUGUUUUCUAUAGACAUGUCAGUUUCUGCUAUUGAAAUGUUAAAAGCAUUGAAAAAUUAUUCAAUAAAUUAUGCAAGCAUUAAAAUAGAGGACAUAUUAAAAAGUUUCUAAUUACAAUGCUAAUAUUUCCUAUAUUUUAGCAUUUGCAUAUUUUAAUUUAUUUAAAAGCUACGUCGAUCAACUUUGGGCAUGAAGAUUUUAGCUUCUACGAGACUUGAUUGGAAUAUGCAUAAGGAAGAGUGUUAAAAUAUGAUGCAUCCAACGAAAGAAAACCACGUGUAGUCUUUUAAUUAAGCCAAAGUAGCAGCUCAAACAAAUGACACUUGGACCAACAUGCAAUCAUGAAGUGGCCGGAAAAAGGACAAAUGCUACUUUGGCUUAAAUAAAAAAUAACAUGUGACUUGACUUUUGCUGGACAUGCAUCAUGUUAUUACAAGACAACAGAAAUCAGUAUGAUAGUACUAAAAGUUGACAAUAACAUGAAGAUAAGAGGCAGAAUGUCAACACAUGCAUAGGCACACACAAGAAAGUAUUAACAUAUAUACCAUAGCAAAAACUCUUUUAUAUGUCAUCUGUUGCUGCUGUGAUUCAACUGACAGCAAGGCAGCUGUCGCUUCUCUACCAAGAGCCAUUAUUUUAGAUUUAAGCUCGGUCAAUCUUGCUUCUGCAUUUCGAAGCUUCACAGCACUCUCUGCUGAUAUAUCAGAUUCCCUAAUCUUUGAUCGGUGCCUAAAUACUUCAGCUGCCUGGUGAAAAUAUUCAAUAUAAAUCUAAUAUAAUUCUCAUCUUGCCUUAUACAUGCAUAUGUUACGUCAAAGCUUACCUGGGCUUCAACUUCAUGUCGAAGUUUGUCAUAACAAUGAGUCAGGUGUCGAGCAUCUUCCAAAGGUGCUCCGUUGAUUAACGCCCGUAGUGGCUCAGAUACCUACAUGUCCAAAAACCUGUAACAUAGUUAGAAAAAUGAAAAGAAAGAGCGAAACCUCAAUUAAAAAGUUCAUCCAACAUAAUCAUGGAAUUUGGGCCUACUUUAAGAAUAUAUAUAAGGAUAAUUUAUGCAAUUUUGGGUCUUAGGAUGAUUGGUAUUAGGUUAGUGUUCUUCUCUUCUGUAUUUAAGGUUAAAAUAGAAAUAAACCUAUGCAAGUAUCUAAAUUAGGCCUGUAAGACAUCCACAUGCAUCCUUCAGUCUCAUGGAUUUGAUUUUACUAUAGAUGCAAGUGUCUUUAUCGAAAAUGCUUGGAGUCAAUUGAGAGAACUCAUGGCCAAUAACUUGUCACACGCUAGUCUUUGCUAGUGAUCACAAGGUCUCUUCAACAUUUGAACCAAUAAAAUUAUUAAGUCAUGGAUGUCACUAGCAAUGAUUUUAAUAUAAAACAUUAAAUAUUUCAGAGUUGUAACUUUAAAAUGGAUUCUUUUAUUCAAUAUCAUAGAACUAAGUUUCCUUAUGAGAAGAUAAUAGUUUCGAUAAUAAUUUUACAUAUAAUUUUCUAUAUUUGAAUUAUUUUCUAGUUAGGGAUGAACUAACCUGAUCACGAAGAAUCCCGAGCAAAGUUUCCCUCUCAUUUUCCAUCAAAUCAUGUGAAGUGCCAAAUUGAAGAGCAGCUCUUGCAACGCAAGAAUUGUCACUUUGAUUCUCUACUCCAUACUUGCAACAAUCUUCAGCCAACUUUCUCGCUACAAUAUUUGAAUACAAAAAUAUUGUACACAAGAACUAUAAAAAAACUAAUGAAAAAUGCCAAGAUGGAGCAGAUGCUUCAAUACUGCCUAUACAAACCAUAAAAAACUAAUGAAAAAUAAAUAAAAUCGAGAAAUUUUACUAAUUAAAAGUCUAAAUAUAAUUUUGAAAAAAGAAAAGAAACGGACUUGCUGCUGCUUGGCGACUUGUUCUCGGAGCUUGAUUGCCUGUUUCUUGAUAGCUUCCAUACUGUUUCUUUCAAAAAGCGACGACGGCUCUGCUCAUGGAAGUGGAAAAAAAAGUGUGAUCGAGAAAAAUGAAAAGGCGUGAAUAAUUUUUGACAAAAAGCGAAAAUCAAGGAAAGCCGGCUCUUUCCAGAAAAUAAAAAAAAGAAAAAAAGAAAAAAGAAAAUCAUAAGUUUGAAAGGAGAAGAUGAUAUUGGAAGUAUGCAGUGUGGCUGCCAGGUACUUGGAUUGUAUUGUCGGGUAAGGUAAUAGUGGAGAAUUGUAAGUUUGAACGGAGCAUGUUGGACUUUUGUUGACCAAAUUCAAAAGCCAAAUGGCACGGCCCGGAAGCUUUUGAAUAGAAAAACUUGCUAGAAAGCAUCAGUUUAAAUCACUACUUAAACGCUUGCUUUAACUGCACCGCUUUGUACUGUUUUAUGUAUGUAGCGGUUGUGCGGUUGUAAUUCACGGCUGACGCUACGUGUUUGUUUGUACUGUUCUAUUCGGUGACAGAGUAUUAUUAGUUAGGCCAAAACUAUGUUGCAACAGUGGUACAGUAGCACUGUUGCUUUCAGUCAUUAGAUCUAUAGUUGUACAGUUGCAUUAACAAGAUCCAAUGACUGAAAGCAACAGUAGUACCGAACUACUGUUGCAACAUAGCUGGAGCCUAUUAGUUAUUUCAAAGGGAUAAAUAAGAUUGGUUACAACAAACCUACUAAUUUUAUAAAAUUCAAGUAACAUAGAAUAAAAUAAAAAAAUAAAUACAAAAUUGACUUUUAUUUUUUAUGGUUGACUAUAUUUUGUGUUCUCUUCGGGCACUGCUACAAUUGUUCCCUAUAUAUCAAUUACACCACAUACUAUCGACACAAGAAAUGAAAUCUAAUAUCACCUGUUUAGUUAAAAAAUCACUCAUGAAAAAAUUUUACCAUUUUGAUUUGAGGAUCCAUAUUUUAAACUACAAGCUAAUGUUCAUCAAGAAUUACUGAUGGACAAAUUAUUUUUUUUGAUAGAAGAAUUUCUUUAGGAACUACUAAAUUAUUAAUAAAAAUAUCGAACACACCCACAUAUCAUCGACACAAUUGAUUUUGAGGAUCCAUGCUUUGAACUACAGCCUAAUGUUCAUCAAGAAUAGAGUAUGGCUUAUGAGUAGAAAAUUUUCUUAUUUUGGCCCAAAAUAAAAAGAAAUUAAAUUGGAUGAGAAUCUGCCACUUUCUCAUGAAGAAAGGCAUACGGAGCAUACCAUGGUACCAUACAAUAUAAGAAGCCUCCGUUCUUUGGUUUUUCAAACUCUGAAGGGGCUAAUAUUGCCAAAUUCCCCCUUGAAAAUUCUGAUUACGACAUUAUUCAUCGCUUGAUGCAAUCAAAGUAGUGACAAAGUUAGGAAAAAUAUGAGUCCUAAGUAAUUGCUAGGCAGGGCUCCUGAGAGCAAAAUUGUCCUAAGCAUUAUAUGCAUACAUAGUGCAGUACAUAGAGCACGUUGAAUUCCCCACUAUAACACAAACCCAGAAAGACAAGUAAUAACUCAACUGAUAUAAAGACAAAAAGAAGAUAAAAUGAUAUAGAAAAAAGAAUUUCAAAGAGACAGCAACAUACAAUAGACUGAAGCCACUUGAUCUGCUCAUUGAUUGCAGCCUUAAACUUGCAAAUAGUUACUGUACGCUAGUGCUCUAAGAAGUGAAAAUGAUGCGAGCCCUGAUUCCCUUUUGACUUCCAUUUACUGUCAAACAUUCUAGUAAUACAAAAAAUUGUUUAGAUAUCUUGCUAUAAAUAUAGCCGUUUGACUGUCAUAAUAAAGUCACAAAUAACCAUUCAUAUUGAUCUACUGUCACACAGCAUGCUUUAUGCAUACAACAGCUGUAUGCAUACCAACUCCUAACCUUAUCAAUACAUUUGGCAAAAACUUAAGAAGAAAGCUAUUUCUCCAUCUCUUUUUUGAAAUUUCACAAUAACCAGCACAAUGUGAAAGCUAUGUUCUAACCUUAUGAUAAAUGCUCCAGACUCCAAAAGGGUUUUAUAUAUGAGAGUUUGUUGCAGCAGAUAUAUUGACUUAUCAAGUAUGAAUCAUUGUCUGGAUGAACUAUCUUUAGAUAAAAGAAUAUUAGAACCACUGUAGAAUAUCUUUACCCUGCUGGUUCUAACAGGAAUCUGCAUGUGGCAACAAUUGCUAGACCCACAAUUCCCCAACUUGAAAUACAUAGUUGCACACCAUGAGAUAGUGCUACAAUCUACUGAGAUCUAACUUAUAUGGUACUUUAAGCUACUAAUGUUUGCAUAUUUCUACAUGUUAAAUUAACACUAUCAUCUAUAAUCACUCCAAAACAACAAAUGAUAAGCAGCUUUUGGCCACUUAUUACUAGCAUACACAAUUAUAAAUAAGAGAUCAUGGGUUUACUUGUUGCACCUACUUAAUUAUCUGCAGUUGACAUCCUGACACAAGGUUUAAAUAGUGACUGCUUAGAACCCUUGUAGUUGGAUCUUGACCUCUCCCAUUGUAGCCAAGAUUGGUUACUCUGGUAAUGAAUCAACACUCUCCUGCUCAGGGCCAUGAAGAUCUGAAAGCUCAGCACUAGUGGAGAACUUCAUCAAUCUCUUCUUCUCAGCAUACUUGAGACAAGGCUGCAUUACGAGACCAAUCACCACAGCACCAACGCUUAAAACUGCAACUUUUAAAGAAGAAAGAGCCAACACAACACAACACAAAUCAAUAUGGUUGGAGGAAUACACAUGAUAAUGGCUCCAACAGUGCCAGUGGGUAUCUUGUAGGGAUGAGAUGCAGCAGGAUAUUGUAUCCUUAACCAUACAAAUGCUAUGAACUCCAUAAUCAUUCCAAAACAGUACAGGAAGUUCUCUGCAGCUACAAUAUCUCGAAAGCUCAGCCAUGAUAGCAAAACCACACCAGAAGCUGAGAAUAUGAUUCCAAUCAAAGGAGUCCCAUAACAAGACCUCUUAGCAAAAAACUGAGGUAGCAUUCCACGCUCAGCCAUCCCCAAAAGUUGGAAAGAGUCGCUGCUCAUCUCAGCCACAAACAUGCCCAUAUUGGACAUUGCUGCAGCCCCCUGGAUGCACCAUCUCAACCAAACUCCUCCAAGCACUUUAGCAAUAUCUGAAAAGUAACCAUCGGUCCACAAGUCGCGAUCUAAUGGAAUAGCUCCAGUUCAAACUAGAAGGGGAAAGAAAUACCCAAAAAUGACCAAGAUCAAAGCAUAAAACAAAGCCUUUGGAAGAGUCUUCUUUGGGUUAUCCACCUCUCCAGCUAGUGUACUUAUUGAGUCCCAGUAGUUGAGAUUCCAAAACAGGGUGUUCAAAUACAAAUUCCAAUCCACUUCACCUAAAUUUACUACAAGCCAUCUUGAAGGCUCUAACUUGGGAAGGGACACAAGUCCCAUAACCCCAAAAGGAAGGAGUGAGAAAAUCCCUAAAAGAACAGCAGCCCAUCCCACAAUGGUUAGACCCCUAUAGUUCAUGAAAGUGAGAACAAAAGUCAAAGCUAACGCCGCAAAGGCUCUAGGUAACCCAUUGCCCAACGCAGGGAUACCAGACUUCAAGUAGUCAAGAAACAGAACUGGGUAUAAAGCAUUAUCAAUAACCCCACUUAGCCAUCCAACCUUGCUGAAAACCCCAAUAUGGGCCUAAGGCAGAUGAAACCCAAACCACAUAACCACAAUUUUCAGGAAACACAGUACCCAUUUCGGCAGUAAUUAAAGCUUCAGGGACACUCCAUAUAAUCGGAAACACCAAGAAACCAAGAAGUGCUAAAAGAGGACCAGCUGCCUUUACACUAUCCUCAACACCAAACGGCCCCCCAGAAACCUCAUAGAAUAUAAGGAAAAUAAGUGGCAAGAUUGAUACUUUUUUAGUGCCAUGGACUCGAGGAGAAGAUGGUUGGUCAUUGAUAUUAACAUAUUCAACAGCAUCAGACUGCCCUAUUUCUACUGAAACUUGCCUAUUUACAGUGUUCCUCAAUUUCUGCAUCAAGUUUAAGCAUAACUAUCAAAAGGGUAUCCGCAUCUAAAUUAUGAAACAAAAUGAGCAUUUACUUAUUAAAAAAAAUCAAAAAACAGAAAUGGAUUUCGCAGAGCACAUGAAUUUAAGUUCAACAUUAAACAGGCGCUUAAGAAAACAAAAGGGUCUGUUCGUAAAGCCAUCAGAUUGCAAGAUUGAACAACAUUAACGGAAUCAAUAGAAUAGAUGUAAAGAGAUCUGAAAAGAAAAUAAAAUAAAAGAUAAAGAGAGAUAAAACGAACCAUCAAAUAAGUGCAUGCAGAGCAGAGAGGCAGAUACUAGAGAAGCUCCGUCAUGUUAGAGAGAGCCUAAUUCAAUCAGAGCUCACUGAGUUUCUUUUCAACCGACCGGCAAAUUUGGAGUGGCACAACAUAAUAUUUUUACUUUUAAUUUUUGGAACACUUUUGAAUAGAAUUUUUUGUUUUUAAAAAAGGUAAGGGAGAUUAGUAUUUAUUUAACGGAUCAGGCUACGGUGCAACUGUGGCACCGUGCCACAGUUGCAUCUAGCCGUUGGAUGCAAUUGGAAUGGUGGAGUCCACUGACAUCCAACGGUUAGAUACAACUAUGACACGGUACCACAGUUGCACCUAAGGUUCCCUUAUUUAACUUUAUAUUUUUUAAAAUACCUUAAAAAUAUUUUUAUGUUAAAAUAUUAAUAUUUUUAUUAAUAAUUUUUAUAUUUUUAAUUUAUUUUUAUAAUAUUAUUUUUUAUAAUAAUUUUUUAUUUAAAUAUUAAUAAAAAAAUAAUUAAAUUAACAAUUUAAUCCUAAAAUAAAUAAACACGUGUUUGGUUUUGGGCUUUUUCUUUUGUUCGUUUAAUAUCAUCUGGCUCCCUGAUUUGUGACUAAUUAUCAACAGAAUCCCGUUGGUUUCUAAAUUGAAAUAAUAGAAGGUCAUGAGACUAUUUACUCCAUUUAGCACUGCAGACUUAGAGUAUAUUGAAAAAGCUUUGUCAAAUAGUAGUAAUAGGGGCAUAAGAAAUAAAUUAUAGCUAUCACAAAUUCGUUAGGAGAAUUUCAAUUUUUUCCAUCAAUAAUGGCUAUGAAGCAAAAUUACCUUAGGUUAUAUUGCAAUACUAAUACUUCAAAUCCUGAUAAUAAAUUUGAUGACAGUCGUUUUUAUCAUGGUUUUAACAGAUAUAAGAAGAGAAAAUUAACUGUUCAAACAAAUUAGAAGCAAAUUCUUUCAUAUCUUUCUUUUAUUUUUCCGCUUACUUUCUUAGCAUCCAAACAAGUUAAAGUUAAAACGCUGUUAGAGCCAACAAUAUGCAGGCAUCAAUAAGCAUAGUAGUUUUGUAUAUGUAUUCUAUACGAUAUUCUAGGGAUGUCAAUUGUAGAACAUUUUGUGGUAACUUUUUUACAUUAAUUAAUGUUUGAAGAACUUGUUAAAAAGAAAAUGGUAAUUUUAUCAUUUUGAAAGACAAAAAAAAAAAAAAAAAGAGUGAAAGUGGCGUUACCUCAUGGUCAUUAGAGACUUGUUGCAAUGAUAGCUCAAAAUUAAAAAUUUGUGAAGAAUUAGUAGACAACGACGAUACUAUAUUUAUACAGUCACCAACGUGUUGAUUUUUGUUUAAUGUUUGAUCGAUAGAAACUUUCGUCGUCGUCGCCGUUGUUGAAUUUGUGCUAAGAAUAUCACAAGAGAAGAAAAAAGGAUGAAAGGGAAGAGAAGAAGAGAGAAGUGGUGGACAGCAAAUAUGAUAUGCUAGCUACACACAGGCCUUAGAGAGUUUUUUUUUAAUAUUUAUUGUAUUUUUGUUUUUGUUAUUGGUUUUUCAUAUGCUUCCAAGGCAGCAAUGCGUUACAUCAUAAAUUGCACCUUUUAGGGGAGGUGGUAAAAAACAUGAGAGCAAUGCAUUCUAGCGCAUACAUGCAGAAAGAGUUUCCAAAUUUUCAAAAGUUUCUUUAUUUCUUCCACCUUUUUUUGCUUAAAAUAAAUUUUAAUUGUAUUUUGCAUUAACUUAGAGAAAAAAAAAUCCAGUUCUAUACAUAAACGCAUACAUUGAUUAGAAAAUGAGUUUUAUGGACACAAAGGGACAAUAUAAGAGAUUCUUUUUGUUUAUUAGAAGUAACAUAACUAGUUAGUGUAACAUGUAAUUAUAAGCUACCAAUAAUUUGCACUAAUGAUAAUUAACGGUAUAGAUUUUGAGCUAUGAAUGUCUUGUGGCUAGUUUAAUUAGAUUUUCGAGUUUUCAGCAGAUCUAUUUUAAUGAUUAUUAAAUUAUUUUCACUUCUUAUGCCUUAAUAAAAAAAAUCAAUAUUUUUUGCUGUAUUCUAUAUUUUAAAACUUAAUUUUUAGUUCUUUAUAUUGCAAACCAAACUGAGUCAAAUAGAGUAUGCUCUUCAAAUAAUUUUUCCAUUGCCUUCAAGAAGAAUUCAUUUUAUUUUUAUAUAUUAAUUUAACACUUGUAAACCGGGCCGUCAGAUUGCACAUAAAGCAAAUGAUCAAACCGUUACAAGACCGGCCCAGGCCCACCGACUCUAUUUUCUUUCAUUUGACCAUUAAAAAGCUUUUGGCCACCCCCACCAAAUAAAUAAGCUCUUGUUCUCUUUUGUUCCCUCUCAAAGGAAAAUAUCUGAUCACCGGAUAAUGAUUCCGGCGACACAAAAGAUCGAAACACCCCCCUAAAUUCCCUAAAUUUACGAUAAUACCCCACCAUGGAUGAUUCCGUUGAAAUGCCGCCUUACGAUGAAAGGCCUAAAAAGGGUUUUAACUUCACCUCCAUGCGCUUGAUCUUAACCCUCGUUUUCCCAAUUUUAACUUGCUUUUUGUUGGCAUUUUUUAUUGGAAUCGUAGCUGUUUUAUUCGGUGAAUCAUCAGUUUCCAGUUCCAUUUUUGUCCCUUCCCAGUGCAAGAUAGUGUCCAGCAGUAAGCUUUUUUUAACAUUUUCAAUUUUUUUUCCAUUUAUGAAGUCCAAAAAUUUUAUUAAUUUUGACUUUUUUGAAUGAUUUUGCAGGUGUUGAUAUAAGGUCAUCAAAAGUUUGUGAACUUGGGGUGUUGAAUUAUAAGGCGAAGCGUGUGUUUUAUCCAUUUGAAGCAAGUAAAUUUCGCUGUCGGUAUGAUUACUAUUAGGCUUCUAUCUUCAAGGUAUUCAUACAUUUUCCCCUGUACUAUAAGCUUCUCAGUGGCGGUCUUGUGAGCGGAAGUGAGCGGUGUGGUUGACAGCUUCUUGAAAAUUAUAAGUUUGAACCAAGCAUGUUAGAGCACCACCAAAAGCCUCUUUAAAUAAGAUUUUAUUAUUUAUUUAAAGAGCCACAUCAAUAUUGAAAGCUCCAAAAGACACUUCAAUUAAAAUUCUUUAAAUAAGAAUUGAUUCUCUUCAAAUUUGGAGAGUUAAUUUCUCCCUCUUCAAUUUAUAUUUUAUUACUUUUCAUUGAAGAAAUAGAGAAAUGCUUUAAUUGCUAUUAACUUUUCCUUUAAAAAACUAAUUAUAUGAUUAAAAUAAUAUUAACUUAUUUAUAUUUGAAGAGUCUUUUGAAGAAUAUCAUAUUUUUUUCACCAUUCUAUUUGCCACAUAGGUAAACAAAUAGAUAUUUAAAGAGUAAAAUUUAUAGAAACUUUUGGAGAUGCUCUUAGACUUUUGUUGACCAAAUUCGAAAGCCAAAUGGCACAGCUCAGAAGCUUUUGAAUUGAAUAACUUACUAGGAAGCUCCAAUUUUUUGUUGGCUACAGUAAAAGGAUGUUGUUUUAUUCUUCUUAUACUUUACGCUUGCAUCAGCUUAAAUCACUUCUUAAACGCUUUGCUUUAACUCCACUGCUUUGCUGGGGCGGAUUUACCUUGGAACAAGUGGGGACUUAAGUCCCCACUGAAAAAAAAAUUGUUUUAAUAAUUAAUUUGAUUUGCCAAAACUUCUCAAUAAAUUUUUCUUAAGCCCCCAUAAUUUCUUUCAACAAGCAAUUGAUCUAAAUGAGUUAAUUUCUGUCAGUUGUAUCCAAAUGAGUUCUCUGCAAUUGAUAUCAUGGCACUUGAAAUUCAACUUGAUACAUAUAUUUUGGAUAUGCGCACUAGUGCGAGACUAAAAGACAUAAGGUAUAUCCAUUGGUUUACUUGUUAAUAAUAUUAGCAUUGACUUUACCCGUUGCCAUUGCUAGUGUAGAGAGUAUUUUCAGCCAUGAACAUUUUGAAGAAUUGGUUAUAAAGCUGUGAGUAAUAGAUGAAUGAUAGUUUAAUUAUUUACAUAGAAAAAUACUUAUUUAAUAAUAUUGAUAAUGAACUUGUAAUGCAACAUUUUUAAUGUAUGAAAACUUGAAAGGACAAUUGUAAACAUAUAUUGAAGUAUGAUAAAUCUUUCAAAUUUAUAUAUUUAUUACUUUUUAAAUUUUUUUAUAUUGCCGUUGAAUGAGCCCCCAGUCAAUCAAUAUGUUGUCUUCACCCUGCUUCGUACUCUUCUAUAUAUGUAUCGGGUAUGCAGUUGUAGUUAAUGGUUGAGACUACGUGUUUGUUUGACGUGGUAGUUACGUUACGAGUCUGUUAAACAUUCGAUGAUUAAAGUAUUAUCUGUUAUUUCAAAGGGACAAAUAAGAUUAGCUACAACACACCCACUAGUUUUAUAAAAUUCGAAUGAGAUGGAAUAAAAUAAAAAAUAAAUAAGUAAAUUGACUUUUAAUUUUAGUGGUUGAAUAUAUUUUCUAUUCUCUUAGGGCACUGCUGUAAUUAUUCCUUAAACGUCAGUCAUACCCACAUAUAAUAGACACAAGAAAUGAAAUCUAAAAUCACCUGUUUAGUUAAAGAAUCAUCAUGAAAAAAUUUUGCCAUUUUGAUUUGAAGAUCCACUUUUUGAACAACCAACUUAUGUUCAUCAAGAACGGAUCAUGGCUUGUGAGUAGAAAAAUUAUUUUUGGACAAAUUAUUUUUUUUAAUAGAAGAAUUUCUCAAGGGACUAAUAAAAUUACUAAUAAAAAUGUCAGACACACCCACGUACCAUCGACACAAUUGACUAUGAGGAUCCAUGUUUUGAACUUCCACCUAAUGUUCAUCAAGAACAGAAUAUGGCUUGUGAAAAGAAAAUUUUCUGAUUUUGGCCUGGAACAAAAAGAAAUUAAAUUGAAGGAGAAUCUGCUACUUUCUCAUUAAGAAAGGCAGACAUGGUAUACCAUGGUACCAUACAAUAUAAAAAGUCUCCAUUCUCUGGCUUUUCAAACUCUGAAGGGGGCAAUAUUCCCCAAUUCUCCCGUGAAAAUUCUAAUUACGACAUUAUUCAUCGGUUGAUACAUAAGUACAAGUAGUGACAAAAUUAGGAAAAAUAUGACUCAUAAGUAAUUACUAGGCAGGGCUCUUGAGAGCAACAUUGUACUAGGCUUUAUAUGCAAACAUGGUGUGGUACAUAGAGCACGUUGAAUUCCACACUAUAACACAAACCCAGAAAGACAAGUAAUAUCUCAACUGAUAUAAAGACAAAAAGAAGAUAAAAUGAUACAGAACAAAGAAUUUCUAAGAGACAGCAACAUACAAUAGACUAAAGCCAGUUGAUCUGCUCAUUGAUUGCAGCCUUAAACUUGCAAAUGUUUACUGUAGCCUGGUGCUCUAAGAAGUGAAAAUGAUGCAAACCUUGAUUCCCUGUUUACUUCCAUUUACCAUCAACACAUUCUAUUCAUAAGAAAAAAAAUGUUUAGAUAUCUUGCCGUAAAUAUAGCCAUUUGAUUGUCUUAAUAAAGCCACACACAACCAUUCAUAUUGAUCCACAUUGCCACAUAGCCUGAUUUAAGCAUACAACAGCUGAAUGUAUACCUAACUCCUAACCUUAUCAAUACAUUGGCGACAACUUAAGAAGAAAACUAUUUCUCCAUCUCUUUUUUGAAAUUUCACAAUAAAACAGCACAAUGUAAGAGCUGCAAUGAAAAUGGACCGUCUGAAACUAUGGCGGAAGCUUCAACUAGUGUAGUGAUUUGACCUUCUUAUUAACCUAGCGAGAUCAAACACUGCCCUUGAUCUUGAACAGAUCAAUACGAUACGCACAACUUAUGAUUGAAUCCAGAAACAAUCAAAUCUUUAGCAAGAAUAAUUAAUCAGAAUCAAGAAACAAGUUUAAUGAAUAUAAACCUAUAAUUGGAACAAACACAGCCAAAGAACCCAAGAAUGACACAACGAACACCAAGGGAGAAGCUUUCCAGUGAGAUUAUAUUGAUGAUCAAAGAAGAAUCUUUUUACAAAGCUAACAAAAGAGAUUUCAGAGAAUAAGCUAUGACCCUCUCUCUCUUCAAUCUCUGUCUAGUUUGUUAACAGUGAUGACCCAAUCUGCUUCGUUAGCCAGCUUCAUAACUGCGUCAGUGACAAACCAGCAAACCCAGAUUGAGCAGACUAACGACACGUGCAUAACGGCUUUAACGAACUUGGUUAAAGAACUGCUCACAUGUUCGUCACGCGUGUUGCUUAAAUGAUAGCCAAAACGACUUCAACCAGAUGCCGUUUUGAAGCUUAUGAAUUAUAAGUGAAAACACGUGCUUGUCUCGUGACAUUUAAAUGCAACAACAAGCCCAAAACACUGCCGUUUCACUAUGUUGAGUUUGCCAUCUCUAAGCUUCACAACUAGCAGCGGACAAGAUGAUAAUUUAAUUGACAUGGACAACUUUUAUAUCACUUUUACAACAUUCUAUAUAAUUGUGAUAUUGGGAAUCGUCGGUGUUGUAUAUGUGAACCCUCGUUGGCGACACUGGUGGUUUUAUCUUUGUUGAAAUAUGGAUGACUUUUUGUUACUAUUUUGUUGUACAUAGUACAUAACCUUAUUCCCAGGAGAUUUAAUCAUUGAAAUUAACAUGUUAGUUUCAUUAGAAGGCUGAGUGGUUAGGGCUGCUACCCUCCAACUUGGAGGGCAAUAGUUUAAACCCACAAGCGCAAUGUGGGGGUAUUUCAUUCUUUAAUUACAUUGUAUAAUUGAAUAAAUGUAAUCUUCUCUCUUACACAAGUGUGAGUGGAGUAGACAUCUCUCGAAUAUUAGCGAGGGUUAAAACUUGGACAGAGCUCAAUAAGUAUUUAUGUAAGUUGGUCCUAGUAAUAAUCUGAUUUGUAAAUAUCAGUUAUAGUCUCAUGUUUCCUUCCUUAAUUAUAUUGUAUAAUUAAGUAAAUGUACUCUUCUCUCUUACCCAAGUGUGAGUGGAGUAAACAUCCCUAGAAUAUUAGUGAGGGUUAAAAUCUGGACAGAGCUCCAUAAGUAUUGAUGUAAGUUGAUCCCAGUAAUAGUAUGAUUUGUAAAUAUCAGUUAUAAUCUCAUGUAAUAUGAGUUGUAAUUUGAGCAACAGUUUCAUGUAAUUACAAAAAAAAUGCUACUUUCAUUACAUUUUUCUUCGUUAAAAUUCUCAAGUAUCAAUUAUGUUUGCUUAAGAAAUAAAAUUUCGUUAUGAAAAUUGUAGUAGUAUUUCCGAGCAUCUCACAUUUUCAAUGAUUUUUCAUAAAUCAAUUAAUCUGUCGUACCAAUAUCAUGUUUAGUUUUUCAGACUAAAUAAUCAAGAAAGCAAACAAAUUCACAGUUUAGAGGGGUAAACUAGCUUUUAGAUUUUAGAACUAGGCUAGAUACCUCACCAAAUUCCAAUUUGUACAGUGAACUACAAGAUUGAGAAAAUAAUGUAUUUAUAGUUUAAUUGAAUCAUGAGAAAACAAUGUAGUCAUAGCUCAAUCGGACAUGAUCACGGAGAGGCAUAUUCUUUUCAAGUUAAUUUGAUCCAUUUAUAAGAAAUGAAGUGGAUCGAAGUUAAAAGUUAAAAUAAAAAAUCCUUAUUCUUGAGUUUUACGACGUCGUUACUCCUUCAAGAGGCUGAUUGUGCAAGUGAAUGGAGAAACAGAAUGCUUUUAUAAUUUUUUUAAUAAUUGUAAAAAUAAUUAACCAUAACAAAUCCCUUGCGUAAAUACUAAUCAUUAUUUAAAAGGUAGAAAGAUAGUUAGUGCACAAUCAAAUUUUAAGCCCCUACCUCCUCGGCCCAAGAUUCAAACUUAGAUGAUCAGCCAAAUAAAAUUAUUUGAAAAUCAUUCAAUCAGGUUCCCGGAGUAAAAAUACAAGAUCCUUAUUAUAAAAGUUGUCCCACCUGCUGGUGUAUAACAACCACUUCAAUUCAAACUAGAUUCUUUUUGUUUUUUUUAAUGUAAUCCUGAUAAUAUUUAUGUUAUCUUAAGAAUAGGUCAGCUUGAUUAUUGCUGAAAUAUAGGAGGAAGUUAGCUUUGAUUCAUUGUAUUAUUUAUACGCUCUGAUACCAUAAAGAGAUUGAUAAUUGAAAAUGAACUCACUUCGUUACUGGUAUGUCUGGUUCGGUGGUUGGCGGGGAAGGUGGAAGAGAUGGUUGGCGGGCAGGUAGAGCUUCCUGUGGGGUUGGGUCAGCUGGUUGUGAAGUAGCCUCAGGCAGAGAUAAUUCUUGAGAGCUAGCUGCAGAUGGAGUGUUGGCUGCCUGCUGGAGUGAUGUGGGAAUGGACACAGUAAGUACAGGAGGAAUCCAAGUGGAUAUGGUAGUGGAAGUAGGACGUGGAAGAGUGGUGUGUAGUGAGGUGUAUGGAAAGACUGAUUCAACAAAUUGAACAUGGCGAGAAACAUGUUGCUGUUGAUUAUCAUUUUAUCAGAGAUCAAGUUCAAUCUGGUCUACUUCGAGUAGCUCAUGUCUCCUCUGCUGAUCAGCUUGCCGAUCUUCUCACCAAGCCACUGCCCACUUCUCAGUUCUUGCUUUUACGGGACAAGAUUGGCCUCUCUACUCGUGGCCUAUCUUGAGGGGGCAUAUAAAAGUUGUCCCACCUGCUGGUGUAUAACAACCACUUCAAUUCAAACUAGAUUCUUUUUGUUUUUUUGAAUGUAAUCCUGAUAAUAUUUCUGUUAUCUUAAGAAUAGGUCAGCUUGAUUAUUGCUGAAAUAUAGGAGGAAGUUAGGUUUGAUUCGUUGUAUUAUUUAUACGCUUUGAUUCUAAUGGAACGAAGUGAGUUCAUUUUCAAUUAUCAAUCUCUUUACUUAUUUGCAUGAUAUAUAUGAAUUAAUGUAAUUUAUUUGAAUUAUCCAAAUUCAUUAGAGAUAAAACUAUAAAAUAUACCAAAAACGUUAGAAGGAAGGGUGUGUUGGGAUGUUUUACAAACUAUAGGAAUCUGGUGAGAUUUUGAGCCAAACUGUAGGGAGUUGAAGGCAUUUGCCCAAUAUGUUUAGUCGUACACUAACCGUUAUUUGAUCUUGUUGUUGGUCCCGGAUGAGCUGUAGUCUUAUUUUAAUUUUAUUUAAACUCACCAUAAGAUUCGCGGAGCUCCUAACUAACUUAAAUGACUCUGCAGAGCAUGUCAACACAUAGCAUGUUUAACCGUUUUAUUUGUAGAAGAAUUUAUGAUUUCCCAUUAGCAUUAUUAUUGAAGUGGGGCGGGGGCGGGUCAAAUCUCAAUUGCUUGAAAAUUUUAUUUAUUAUUAUUAGUCUUGAAGUGAGGUGGGUAACGGUUCGCUCCAAUUCGAGGGAAUCAAAUAUAUCAUCCAAGGUAGAAUUGUGGAAAAUUAAAGCAAAAUAAGAAAUAUGGAAAGAAAAGAAGAAAGUUAAGGCAUGAAAGACAUAUACAGUUGAAAUUAUAAUCAUGUUUCUAUUUUGUUAACUAAUCAAAUGGAAAGCUGAACUGUAAACAAACAUUAAAACGUGUGGACCAAGCUAGCUGCCCUACAAGUCCACAAUAAUAAUUGAGUACUUUGAUUCAUCCUUCUAUAAAUUUCUACCCAUAUUGACUCCACCGAAAUUUCCACAAAAUUAAAAAAAAAAAACUGAAUUUCCACAAAAUACAAAACCCGUUGAACUUAUUUUUUGGUCAUGUGAACUAAGAUGUAAAUUAAAAAAAAAGUAUAAAAUUAAAAAAGAUAAGAUUUCUAAAAUGUGUGGAAGGUGAUUCAUGAUUCACUGAAAUUACUUACCCCAGAUAUAAAAGUAAACCUAUCUAAUUUCAUUAAAAAUAGUUAGAAAAAAUUAACUAAUAAAAAGCUACGGAAAUUAACCCCCCACAAAAAUGACUUUUUAUAGAAGAAUUUAUGUUUUUUAAAAUAUGUUAUCAAAGUGUAUUUGAUCAAAUCUCAAUUGCUUAGUAUGGUUAGGAUUUUGUGAACAUCACUAAAAAGUGAAAAACUAUGAAUGAUAGGGGUGAUGCUUGCAAUAUGAAUAAAUAAUGGACUGAUUCAAUUGAUGAUUACAUUUAUAUAUUAUUGAUUAUUUAUGAAUUUUCAGACUUGUUAUGAUGUAUAACUAUGUGAUUUUGAAACUUGAAACCGUGGCAAACAUUGAAAGGAAUUAUAACUUGAAAGCAUGACUCACGGGGUAUGUCAUGAUUCACGUGCACAAAAAAGGUAGAAUUGUGGAAAUUUACAACCCAACGACAAAUACGGAAAGAAAGGAAGAAAAUUAAAAGACUUCGGGCCUAGCCUGCGUGUAUUAAUUAUUAGAUUACUUUUUUUUUUAUAAGGGUAAUCAUCAAUUUACUCCAUAACAAUCUUUAAUUCAUUUUUAAAAAAUAUGAAAACUUUAAUUUAUCUUUUAAACAUCGUUACCUCUUCAUUGGUUUUAAUAGUUCAAAGGGUAAAAUUAUAUUUGCAUAUUUUCUUGACCGCCAACUAAAUGAUAAAACUCAAAAUUCAAUCUUGUUAUCUUGUUUCAAUCCUCUAUCAAUCAAAUAAGAUUUCUAAAAUAUGUGAAAGAUAUUGCAUGAUUUCCUCAACCUACCUGGCCCCGAACAUCAAGGUAAAUCUCUCUAAAAUAGUUGAUUAAAUCUCAGUUGCUAAGUAUAGUUAGGAUUGUGUGAACAUCACUGAAAACUAUGAUUGAUAGAAGUGAUCUUUGCAAUAUGAAUAAAUAAUUAACUGAAUCAAUUGAUUUAUAUAUUAAAGUUUAUGAAUUUUCGGACUUGUUGCGAUAUAAUAAUAGCAUAUGAUUUGAAACUUGAAACAGUGGUAAAUAUUGAAAGGAAUUAAUUUGAAAGCAUGAUCCGUGGGGAAUGUGAUGAAUCGUGUUUACAAAAAAGGUAGAAUUGUGGAAAUUUAUAACAGAACGAUAAAUAUGGUAAAAAGGAAGAAAAUUGAAAGACUUGGGGCCUGGCCUGGGUGUAUUUUCUAACUGUCCAAUGGACAAAAUUAUAUUUGUAUACUUUCUCUUCCCUAGCUAGGUUUCAUAGAAUAGCUCAUUUCAUUUUUAUUUUUUAAAUAAUAGCCCAAAACAUCCUUAUGUUAAUUCACUGUUAGUUGAAUAUCAUUUGUUAGUAAUUCAUUAAGGGUAAAAAAUGAUUUUCUAUCAAAGAGAAAAUUAGAAAAAUAAAUAAAAGUUGACAUAUAACUAAAAAUGAUCUUAUCUAAUCCCACUAAAUAAGAAAUGCCAAAAAAGAUGAAAAAUUUAUAUUUCAAGCAAUUCUUUUUUCACUUAUUUCUAUUUUGGCGGCAUGAAAGCCCUAUAAACCCUAGAUCUAAAUACCAAAAAUAUCACAAUUUUCUUAUUCAUAUAAGUAUACUCUCUAAUUGCAUUGUAAAAUGGCUUGAAUUGAAUUGAAGAUAAAGAAAAUAUUCAGCACAUGCAAGCACAUAAAAAUUGGUGGCAUUUUUGAGUUUUUCUUCCAAUGAUUUAAAGAUAUUGUUUUAAUUACAGUUUGUUCCUUAUGACAAUUAUUCAAUGGCUAUAUCAAACUAUAUCAUCGUUGAUUUCAUUUAAGAAAAAGUUAAUGAAUUUUGCAUACUUUGUAGUGUUAUUUAAUUGUGUAAAAAAAUUAUUUUAAUAUAGUUUGUAUCACUUUAAUGAAAAAUCUUAUUUUGCUCUCAAUGAAUUACUGGUUAAUAGUUUUACACUCACGGUGAGUUAACGGAAGGAUAUUUUAGGCUAUUGAUUGAAAAGGAGGGAUAAAAUGGGCUAUUGCAUUAAACUUUAGGGAUGAAAAAUGCUUUUUCUCCUUUCUUAUCAAUCAACUAACUGAUAAAAGUCAAAACUCAUAUUUUUUUUUUCCUUGUUUCAAUCCCCUCUCAAUCAAAAAAGUUUCCUUGUCUAAGCAAUGAGGAAUAUGGCUAGAAAGAUUGUUAUUAGAAAGAUUUAUCAAUAGUAAUUGGUUCACAACUGAACAAUUUUAGAUUAUUGUGAGUCAAUAUAGGUCUUGUUUGGAAUUGAAGUGUUGUAGCUUUUAAGCUACAGCUGCUUUAGAAAAAAAACUAUAAUUAUGAAAUAAGAGUUAAUAAUAUAUAAUAAAUAUAAAUUUUAAAUAAUAAAUUUGACAAAAUUAUUAAAAAUAUAAUAGAUUUUUGAUAAUACAAGUAAAAAAAUCAUAUCAACAUAGCUUGCAAGUUACAACAGUUAGUGUUUACCUAAUACUUUAAUACUGUAGCUUUUAAGUUACAGUUGUCCAAUACCUCAAUUCCAAACGCACCUAUAAAAUGGCUUGCUUCAAAAGUCUAUCAACCCAACUUGGAAUGCUCUCAUUGUUGCGGAAACGUGGGUUGAGCAAUUACUAAUACUGCAACUUCUGGAGAAAUAUAAAUGUGGUGAUAAACAAAUGCAAAGAAAAUAGAACACAAUAUUUUACGUGGUUCGGCGUAAUGCCUACGUCCACGGGCAAAAACUGGAAGAUAAUUUUACUAACAAUGAAAUUUACAAAAGUGGGAAAAACUCACAAAACCCACAACCCCAAUACACCCAAAUGGAACCUCACUAGAACACUCAAGUGGAAGCUCUCUCAAAUUCUCUCAAAGAACUCACUUGCAAUUGCUCUCUACUUCUCUCAAAUUGGGAUGGUUACAAUAGCAAAAUGCUUCUCUAUUUAUAGAUUGCAUUCUGCUCCAAGUUGGGUUCAAUUUGUCAAAAUGUUGAGCUGGAUCUUGUAUUGCAUGCACGAGCUUUUCAACACCUAACUUUGUCUUUUGAAAUUGCUUAGCCGACCAUCUUUGCUUUUUUGAAUUUGGCAAGCAAUUCUUUGACUUUUCAACAAUUCUCCACCUCGGCGAAGAUUUAGUAAAUCUGAGCCGAUUAUCAAUAAAUUAUCCUCCAGCCUUUGCCUUCUCCGACUGCUUUUAAACUUGCAGGAUAUUAAUCAAGUUUAGACAAUGCUCAAACUUGAUCGCUGUCACCACCUUGGUCAACAUAUCUGCGGGAUUAUCUAUAGUUUUAAUUUUCUGAAGAAGAAUCUUCCCCUCAUCAAUAAUUUCCCGCACAAAGUGAAAGCGUACAUCGAUGUGCUUCGUACGCACAUGAUAAACUUGGUUCUUCGUUAAAUGAAUAGCACUCUGACUAUCGCAAUACACAUUAAUGUGCUCCUGCGCCAAUCCCAAGUUUUCAAGCAAACCUUAUAACCAAAUAGCCUCUUUAAUAGCCUCUGUAAUUGCCAUGUACUCGGCCUCUGUGGUCGAUAGUGCAACUGUAGACUGUAGUGUAGACUUCCAACUAAUUGGCCCUCCAGCAAAAGUAAAUACAUAUCUGGUGGUUGACCGUCGUUUGUCCAAAUCACCAGCAUAAUCAGAAUCAAUGUACUCGAUCACACUUUGACCAAGUGUAUCGUCUCUUUCAAACAGUAAACCAACAUCCACGGUCUUCUAAAUGUACCGUAGAAUCCAUUUCACAGCUUGCCAAUGUCCUUUACCAGGAUUAUGCAUAUACCUGCUCACUAUACCAACUGCAUGUGAAAUGUCAGGCCUUGUACACACCAUUGCAUACAUCAAGCUACCCACUGCAUUUGAAUACGAAACUUGUAACAUGUAUUCUCGUUCUGCAUAUGUUGAAGGAGAUAAUUGUGCAGAAAGCUUGAAAUGAGAAGCCAACGGGGUACUCACAGGUUUUGUCUGCUCAGUCAUGCCAAACUGCUGUAGUACCUUCUUCAAAUAUUGCUUUUGAGACAAGCUUACUUUGCCACGAGCUCUAUCUCUGCAUAUCUCCAUGCCAAGAAUCUUCUUAGCUUCACCUAAAUCUUUCAUUUCAAAUUCUUGAUUGAGUUGAGUCUUCAACUUCUCAAUCUCAUUUUUGCUCUUCGAUGCUAUUAGCAUAUCAUCGACAUACAAUAGCAAAUAAAUGAAAGAGCCUUCUUGUAGCUUGCGAAAAUACACACAAUAAUCAAAUUUAUUUCUUGUGUACCUUUGUCUUUUCAUAAAUCGAUCAAAUCGCUUGUACCACUGCCUCGGAGAUUGUUUCAACCCAUAAAGCGACUUUGUCAAUUUGCAAACCCAAUUUUCUUUUCCAGCAACCUUAAAUCCAUCUGGCUGAGUCAUGUAGAUUUCCUCUUCCAAAUCACCAUGUAAGAAUGCAGUUUUUACAUCAAGUUGAACUAGUUCAAUAUCAAAUUGCGCAACCAUGGCUAGCAAAAUUCGAAUAGAUGAAUGUUUCACAACUGGAGAAAAUACCUCAUUGUAGUCUAUUCCUUCCUUCUGAGCGUAACCCUUCGCUACCAAUCUAGCCUUGUAUCGAAUUUCAUUUUUACAAGGAAAUCCUUCCUUUUUUGCAUAUACCCAUUUGCACCCAAUUGCCUUCUUUUCCUUGGGCAGUGUAACUAACUCCCAAGUUUCAUUUUUGUGAAGAGACUGCAUUUCUUCGUUCAUUGCUUUCUUCCACUGUAUACUUUCUGGAUUACUUACUGCUUCUCUGUAAGUGGAAGGAACAUCAUCAUCUACAAUUGGAAGUGCAUAGGCCACCAUAUCAACAAAGCGAGCAAGUCUGCGAAUCUCUCUAUGUGGCCUUCUAUAUGCAAUUGAAUCAUGUUGCUGUGAAGGUUCCUAGGUCAGAACCUCUUCAUCAUUUUCGGUCGAUGGAGAAUCAUUAUCCAUCUCAUCGACACCAGCUGGAUCAGCUUUAACUUUUUCAAACUCCACAUGCUGCAAACUGCUACUGGUCUUGUCAUUCUCUUGAGAAUCUUUUUGUUUCAACAUGGUUGAUUCAUCAAAAGUUACAUCUCUGCUGAAAAUAAUCUUCUUCGUUACAGGACACCAGAGACGGUAUCCUUUUACUCCACCAGUUAUACCCAUGAACAAUGCUUUCUUUGCUCUUGGGUCUAACUUAGAUUCUUUUACAUGAUAAUAAGUAGUGGAACCAAAAACAUGUAAAGAAUUAUAAUCAGUAGUAGGUUUACCAGUCCACAUCUCCAUGGGUGUUCUGCCCUCAAUUGCAGUUGAUGGCAAACGGUUGAUCAAAUGGCACGCAUAUACAACUGCCUCAGCCCAAAACUCUUUGCCCAAUCCAGCAUUGGAUAACAUACACCGAACUUUCUCCAGUAUAGUCCGGUUCAUGCGUUCUGCCACCCCAUUCUGUUGUGGUGUAUCUCGAACAGUGAAAUGUCGCACAAUACCCUCAUCUUGGCAUAUUUGAAGAAAUGGAUCAUUCUUGUACUCACCACCAUUAUCUGAGCGAAGUCUUUUGAUCUUUCGACCAUUCUGAGUCUCGACCAUUUUCUUCCAUUUCAUAAAUAUGCCCAAAACUUCAUUUUUGUUCUUCAUCAAAUACACCCACACUUUUCUUGAAUAAUCAUCAACAAAAGUAACAAAAUAGUGCAUACCUCCCAAAGAAGCUGUUUUGGUAUGUCCCCACACAUCACUGUGAACAUAGUCCAUAAUUCCUUUUGUAUCGUGAAUUGCUGAACCAAACUUUACCCUUGUCUAUUUGCCCAGAACACAAUGUUCACAAAAUUCUAAUUUGCAAGAAUUUGUACCUUUCAAUAAGCCUUGCUUCGCUAAAGUUUGCAAAGCUUUUUCACCAGCAUGUCCCAAACGCAUAUGCCACAAUUUGGUUGCUUCUAAAUCUGCAUCUUUUCCAGAAACUGUUGAUGCUGAUCCAAUAACUGUACUUCCUUGGAAAUAGUACAAGUUAUUUCUUCUUGUGCCUUUCAUUACCGUCAGUGCCCCAGCUACUACCUUCAACAAUCCAUCUCUUAAAGUGAUUGUGAGUCCUUUAGAUUCUAGGACUCCUAAUGAGAUGAGAUUUUUCUUCAAGCUUGGUACAUAGCGAACAUCUGUCAAAACUUGGAUUGAGCCAUCAUGAUUCUUUAAUUGGAUUGUACCUAUUCCCAUGGUUUUACAAGCAUUGUCAUUGCCCAUAAAAACAACUCCACCGUCUAGCUCCUUGAAGUUAGAAAACCAGCCCUUGUUAGGACACAUAUGAUAAGUACAACCCGAAUCCAAAAUCCACUCAUCUGAGUGACAUAUCAAUGUCAUGCCAACCAGACUAAAGUCUGACUCCUCAUCAUGCUCUGCUACACAUGCAUCAGAAGUAGCCUUGCCCUUUUGUAACUUAGGACAAUUCUUUUUCCAAUGCCCUUUCUCGCGACAAAAAGCACAUUCAUCUUUGGCAGGUCUCCCUUUAGACUUGUUCCUUUUUCCAGGUUUGUGGCUUUGCGAACGACCUCUCGCUGUCAGUGCUUCUGCAACUGUAUAUCUGUGAUCCUUUCUAUCUUUCUUUCUGGUCUCAGAGUUGUACAAUGCACUGCAUACAGCAUCGAAUGUGACACUGUCCUUCCCAUGAAGCAAAGUAGUGGUAAGAUGAUCAUAUUCAUCAGGAAGGGAAUUCAACAACAAUAAUGCCUUAUCUUCAUCUUCAAAUCUCUCAUCUAGAUUUAGCAAAUCCGCCAAUAUCUUGUUGAAUGAGUUCACGUGGUCAUUCAUUGACAUGCCAUGUGUAUAUGUAAAUCGAUAGAGUUUCUUUUUCAUAUAAAGCCUAUUUUCAAGACUUUUCUUCAUAUGCUUUUCUUCCAGUGUCUCCCACAAUUUCUUUGCCGAUGUCUCCCUCAUGACAGAGUAUUUCUGAUCUUUAGCCAGACAUAGGCGAAUAGUACCACAUGCCUGUCUAUUGAUUUUUAUCCACUCCUUGUCAUCCAUCACGUCAGGCUUUUCUUCAAGAGCAACGUCCAACUCUUGUUGACAUAAGACAUCCAACACCUCACAUUGCCACAUACCAAAAUUAUUGGUACCAUCAAAUUUCUCCACUUCAAACUUUGCAUUAGUCACAGUAGUUCUCGCUGAUGAAGACGACGACGGUGCCUCUGCCAUCCUUUUUAUCUCAAAUGAUCAGUUUCUUCAACAACUAUUUACACUUAAAAAACAGCCUCUAUGAUGUUUAUUUCGCGUGAAUAAAUGCACCAGGAAAGUUCCCAAGAGACUGGACGGGAACUCGGUCCCAAUUAAAAACCAGAAUCCUUAGACUCUUAUCGCCUUUGUUGACAGAACUUUCCUAGACAUGCAAAAAUACACACUACUUACAAUAGACUGCCUCCCAAGUAUAAAUGACCGUCUCCACCGUAUUUGUGAACAGUACCGUUUAUAGGAAUAGUACCGUAUACGUGAACAAUACCGUAUCCCCCCAAGUACGAGCCGUCGGCUCUGAUACCACUUGUUGCGGAAACGUGGGUUGAGCAAUUACUAAUACUGCAACUUCUGGAGAAAUAUAAAUGUGGUGAUAAACAAAUGCAAAGAAAAUAGAACACAAUGUUUUACGUGGUUCGGCGUAAUGCCUACGUCCACGGGCAAAAACUGGAAGAUAAUUUUACUAACAAUGAAAUUUACAAAAGUGGGAAAAACUCACAAAACCCACAACCCCAAUACACCCAAAUGGAACCUCACUAGAACACUCAAGUGGAAGCUCUCUCAAAUUCUCUCAAAGAACUCACUUGCAAUUGCUCUCUACUUCUCUCAAAUUGGGAUGGUUACAAUAGCAAAAUGCUUCUCUAUUUAUAGAUUGCAUUCUGCUCCAAGUUAGGUUCAAUUUGUCAAAACGUUGAGCUGGAUCUUGUAUUGCAUGCACGAGCUUUUCAACACCUAACUUUGUCUUUUGAAAUUGCUUAGCCGACCAUCUUUGCUUUUUUGAAUUUGGCAAGCAAUUCUUUGACUUUUCAACACUCAUUCAAGUGGCUAUAACUAAGAUAAAACGUCGCAAAGGAAGAGUAAUUAAAAAAUGUAACUUCUUUAACAUGUCCAUAUAGCAUUUUUGUUUACAAGUGAAUUUGUGUGAUAGAGAGAGGAUGUAAGCAAGAUAGUAAACUCCUAAAUAUAUUAUUGUUUGUAAUGUCUAAAAUUUGAAGAGAAUCAAGCUAAUAAAACUCCAUUGAAAUUAGACCUUCAAGAGUACGGUUCUUGGGCAUUAUAAAAUGUUGUAAUGUUGAGAGAUUACCCAACCAUUAUGGAAUCCUACCAAGAUGAUUGUUACCACUAAGAUACAAUCCUUCUAGUGAACAACAAUUAGACAAAUUUUUUGGAGAUCUCUCUUACAAAGUCAUUACCAUCCAAUCGCAAUUUUGAAUGAAAAUAAAUUUUUUUUAUUGGGAGUUUGACCUUAACAUUAAAUUUAGACAAUGAAUUUUAACUUUCUUCAAUUAUUAAGCAGAUUACGGACAUUUGAGGAAUUUGAAAACAUUUCAUCCAUCGAAAGUUAAAAUUAGAGAUGGAAGCUAGGUGCUACAGCUAAUGGGAACAUUAAUUCCUGUCCCUCAUCACACUUUAUUUUGGGUCUAAUAAUUUUACGGCAGCAUUGACCACUGCUCAAGGUAAGUAAAACUUACAAAUGUGUGGCAAAAUAAAUAAUUAAGUGGAUAAACUGUUAACUAAUUUUCUUGAUAUAUACAGCUAAUGUAGUUGUUCCUCUGUUAAAAAAACAAAUGCUAAGCAAUUUCGGCUGAGCCUGCUUGUGGUGUUGAUAAAAACGAGGGCUGGCUUCAAAUAUUUGAAUAGACACCUCCACCGUACCUCAAACAAAUCUGUCAUUAUUUGUGCCAUGAAACAUGUUUCGGCCGUCAAAGUCAUGAGAGGGUUGAUGACGCUACUACGUAUGAUGACACACCAGCCGACAGUGUAGUAACAGCUCAAAAACAAAAUCUACCAAAAUCAACGGAAGUUAAUAAAAAAUUAUUUUAUUAAUAAAAAUAAAUAAAUAACUUAUUAUUUUUGGAGACGUGUGUAGUUGAGUCUGUGGACUGAAAUGGAAAAUAUGAAGAAGUUCAGAGUCGUUGUGCAGAUUGACUUCAGUUAAAUGGGACUAGUAGAUAUUUUAUGCUGACGUGGCACGAAUUAGUUAUAAUCUGUUACAACGUUUCCAGAAACAUCAGUAUAAAUAGAAGCUGAUGAGCAGUGCCUGUUGUACUUGUACGAUCCUUUUUCUUCUUCAGUUGUUCGUCAAUUUGCAUAGAAUCUGUUUCAUUGUGAUCUGUGCAAAGUCUUCUAUAAAUCCACUUAUGUUUGAUUAGUUAUUGAUCAAUAUCGAGAACAUUAUCCACCUGGAACGACUUCAAGUCCAAAGUAAAAGAGAGAGUGGCUCCCCGCAAUUUUCUUGUUUUCAGUAUAUUUUCUUUUUUUUUUCUUUUUUAAAAUCUUUUGACGCAUGCAUAAUCUACCCUUGUUUAUUAUCUCUACUUUGCUCUGCUCAAGUCCAUUUUUUCAAAUCUUAUUUUAAAUAAUAAAUUGAAUAAAAGUACAUUUGUGUAAUUAAUUAGUAUCUGAGGGGGGCAGCAUAUUUGGUGGAGUGUUAUGCUAUGUAAGACUCAGCUAUUAUCAAACAGUCCCUUAACCAUUUAAUUUAAACCAACUUCUAUUUGGUUUAUUUGCUAUCUUUGUGGAUCUCAUAGGCGUGGCAGAGUUUAAUAAUUUUAUCGUCUGAAGAAUAGGAUAUUGGCUUCAAUAAAUUUAAUUUAAACCAACUUCUAUUUACUCCAUCAAUUAAUUAAUGACAUUUUGUUUUGAAAAAUUCAAUAAUUAAAUUCUCACGUUUCAUGUGUUUGAAGUCAAAUUAUUCAUUAACUAGAACUCUGUUCAAAAUUGACUGUCUUGUGGUUCCCAAAUGUAGUUGUAAUAUUGAAUGAAAGUAAAAACUUUCUAUGGCGAGUUUAAAUCUAAAUCUGGACAAUGAAUUUUGAGUUUCUCAAUGCUAUUCUAAUAACAAAAAUUAUGUUGAUUGAUUUAUUGUUACAGUUACUAUCCUUUGAAAAUGGAUGGAUUCAUUGUUUCCGUGACCAAAUUAUGCCUGCCUAACGCUGCAACUAUUAAAAAAUUUAAUAUUUAAUGCACAUGUUAAAAGAUUUAAAAUUUUAUGCAUUUAUUAAUUGUUAUAAUCUUAAAAAAAAUUAAUUAAUUCAGGUCAAUCUGAGUUGGUGCAUCUGCAGGAGCCUUUUUUUAAUUUUUUUUUCCCCUUAUUGACCAUAAUGACAUCUCCUUCAACAUGACUAUUGACAAAGAGCAUGUAAAAACAUGGAAACAGAACUUCCACAGGUGGAAUUUAAGUUUUGGCCAUGUGGCCAUGAAAGAAAAAGGAAAAGACGCCUCUAAGAUUUGUUUCAGUGGUUUACAUUGACUCUUUAAUUUAAUUUAUAGUAACACAAUUUUUUUUGUACAAAUAUAUAUUAUUCAUGUUUUGUAUUAUAUUUUAACAUCAUAUUUUUAUUUAUUAUAAAUAUUUAAAGCUAAUUUUUAGGUUGAUAUUUAAUAAAAGGGUAUAAUCGUUCCAUCCAUUUCUCAUCUCGCGAUCUCUCUCAAUUAUCCUUUAUUGAUAGCUCAAAGCGCGUUGCUGUGGAAAAUUGUAGCAAAAUGAAAAAUUGGAAAGAAAGGGAAGAAAAUUAAUGCUUGGAGAAAGCAAUCCAAUAAGUCAACUGGUCUUUAGUGGGAACAUAUUACAAAAAGGCCUCGAUCAUCAUAUCGUAGACUCGGGGAUAAGGAUUUGGAUCGAGUUUUUGUUUUGAUAUUGAAGGACCUACUUCUCUGCCGCGAUGUAGAAUAUAUGCAAGGAGUUGUCUACUGCUCUUUAGGUCAUAAUAAUGUGAUUGGUGCAUUCAACGUUGCCCCGAAACACUGGAAAGUACUUCCAUAUCCUCCGAAUGAGAACUGAUUUAUAUAUGAUUUCCUAAUUGACUCAGGAUCAGAUGACAACAACAACUUAUUAAUAGUUAUAUCAAAACGGCAGAAGACGUGUUUUGUUUACAGGUUUGAUCCAUUUGGAAUGAAGUGGUCUCAAGUCGAAAGUAAUUUAUCGAAUAACUUUCGACUAAUUAAUAGUUAUAUCAAAGGGUGUGGGUGUUUUACCUCAUCAUGUCUUCAAGUGGAAGAUGAAGACUAGCAAGUGAAUUCAGGAAUAUUGCAUGCCAUUAAAUUUGUAGUUUUUACAUGUUGAUCAGCAGGAUACAACAUUAAAUUUUGUCAUUGACAAUACUGCAUGCCUGUCGUCUAAAGCAUUACCUCACAAGGUUUUAUGAGAAACGAAAGAUGUGUUUGCUUUGAACAAUUAAAGUUACUGCUACGAACCUCCCCAAAGGUCAAGAAGACAGAACAGGAAGCUAAUGCCAUCAAUGUCUUGUUCAUUAUAGCUGCUGGGUAGUUAGGUGUAGUUUCCUCAUUUGAAGCUGUCUAUACAUGGGCAUUUCCCCUGCUUAUGUACAAAUAAAUGAACAACCUUGAAGCUUUAUUAUUCGCAACAAAAAGGGAUUACUAAUUGGAGAAGACUAUACAGAGUUUCUCUCACACUUUCACUCUGUCAAUUUCAUCUAGAAGUCCCUCUAAAAGCAUCUCCCAAAACAGUUAGUCAUCUUUUAUGCUCUGUUUGUAAAAAAUGUGGGCUUUAUUCUUUCUAGAAGAGAUGGAAUUCUAGAAGAGAUGGAUUUGCACGGUCAAAAAGAAAAGAAAAGCCGUAAAAUAAACAGUAGCCGCAAAAUGAACAGUAGCCGCAAAAUGAACAGUAACCGCAAGAUGAACAGUAGUCACUGGUGGCUAUAAAUAGAGGAGUGCUCCUCCUUAUUGUUUGUAUCCAAAAUCCCAGAGAAGGAAUCCAAGUUUUGGUGAGAAAUUGAGAAAGAAAAAUAUUCUUAAGCAUGUAGUUAUAUUGAAGGAGCAUUUGUCUCCUCAAUAUGGGUAUUACGAGUUUGCUUUGUUAAGAGGUAUUUCUCAAGAUUAUGUAUUUGGGGUUUGGGUGAGAGAAAAUUUAUGAGAGUGCGGUUGUAAUAAUUUUCCACAUAGUGAAUAUUUUUUCUCUGGUUGUCUUUUUGACAACGGCCGUGGUUUUUUCUCCGGAUUUGGAGUUUUCCACGUAAAUCUUGUGUUGUGGGAUUGAUAUUAUUUUUCAUUUAAUUUUUCUUGUUAAUUUGUUAAUUGACAAAUUGCUUGGAGAGAUCUUGGGAGGAAGCUCAAUUUCCUAACAGUGGUAUCAGAGCCAUUGAUUGAAGUUUUGGUGUCGGGGUACUAUUCACGUAUACGGUACUGUUCACGUGAAGCAGUUUGAGCCAAUCCGAAUAAUCUGUGGUGAAGAGAAUAUGAAGCAAAUAUGUCAGCAGCUGGUGUUUUUCAAACUUGGUUGAAGUUUGAUGUUGUUGAAAAAUUAAUGGGAGAAUGAUUUUAUUGGCUUGUGGAGAAUUCAAGUCAAAGGUGUAUUCAAUCUGGGUUACACAAGGCAUUGAAGGGGAAGCCAUCCCCUGCGUCCAGUGGUGGCUCUGGAAAAGCUAGUAUAAGUGAUGAAGAUUGGGAAGAAUUAGAUGAUCGAGCUGCAAGUGCCAUACGACUAUGUCUAGCAAAGAAUGUUCUUGCAAAUGUAGGAAAAAUUCUUACAGCGAAAGAACUUUGGGAGAAGCUAGAAAAGUUGUAUCAGACAAAGAGCAUCUCAAAUCGAUUGUACCUGAAGGAGCGAUUUCACACACUGCGAAUGGCUGAAGGUAUAAAAAUUUCCGAUCACCUCAGUGUUCUCAAUGGUAUUGUGUCAGAACUAGAAGCCAUUGGAGUUAAAAUUGAAGAUGAGGACAAGGCGCUUAGGUUACUAUGGUCACUUCCAACUUCCUACAAACACUUGUUACCUACUUUGAUGUACGGGAAGGAUACAGUAGAUCUUGAAGAAGUUACUAGUACUUUACUCUCAGAAGAAAGAAGACUGAAUGGUGAAAGUACUAAAACUACAGAUGUCUCGGCUUUGGCAGUUGUAGGGAAUUGGCAGAAAGAUAAAUCUAAGAAGAAAGGAGUCUGCUGGGGGUGUGGACAAUCGGGGCACUUAAAAAGAGAUUGUCAUAGUAGAAAUGGAGUAGGAUCGGCAAGUGGCUCCAGAUUAGAUACUGAUAGUAUUGCUAGUGGUAAGUCUCUCAUCAUCAUGGGAGACGAUGAUCCCUUGUAAAAUGGAUGAUGAUGACAUCCUCAUGGUAUACCGCUAGUACCAUGAAAGGGGAUAUGUUACUACUAGCGGGUCCACAAGAUUUACACACAAGGCAUGGUUGGCAUUGAUGCAGGGUGUGUGGUGGAAUUUAUGUCGAUGAUUGACAAACUUCCAGGAAGGCCAACAUGGAAGUUGCACCAUAAAUUUCAGCAGGAUAUUUCGACAUGUGCCGAUGUAAAAUUCUUAGAAUUGGUAAUUAAUUCUAAGUGGUAUAUUCUUUAUGGUGGAGUAUGAUAAUUCUCUAUGACGAGGAUUAUGACUUAGGUGAAAACAGUAAGGACAGUGUGGAGAUUGAUUGGUUCUUAAUCAAAUCUCCAAGUGAGAGAAUGUAAAAAAUGUGGGCUUUAUUCUUUCUAGAAGAGAUGGAAUUCUAGAAGAGAUGGAUUUGCACGGUCAAAAAGAAAAGAAAAGCCGUAAAAUAAACAGUAGCCGCAAAAUGAACAGUAACCGCAAGAUGAACAGUAGUCACUGGUGGCUAUAAAUAGAGGAGUGCUCCUCCUUAUUGUUUGUAUCCAAAAUCCCAGAGAAGGAAUCCAAGUUUUGGUGAGAAAUUGAGAAAGAAAAAUAUUCUUAAGCAUGUAGUUAUAUUGAAGGAGCAUUUGGCUCCUCAAUAUGGGUAUUACGAGUUUGCUUUGUUAAGGGGUAUUUCUCAAGAUUAUGUAUUUGGGGUUUGGGUGAGAGAAAAUUUAUGAGAGUGUGGUUGUAAUAAUUUUCCACAUAGUGAAUAUUUUUUCUCUGGUUGUCUUUUUGACAACGGCCGUGGUUUUUUCUCCGGAUUUGGAGUUUUCCACGUAAAUCUUGUGUUGUGGGAUUGAUAUUAUUUUUCAUUUAAUUUUUCUUGUUAAUUUGUUAAUUGACAAAUUGCUUGGAGAGAUCUUGGGAGGAAACUCAAUUUCCUAACACUGUUUUCUAGAAACAGAGUCCUAACUAAAUUGAUUGACUGAACAGUGCAUUUCAACAUAGCAUAUUUAACUGUUUAAACAGUUAUUUGAACCGUCUUCAGAGUUAUCAUCAACAAACUCAUUCAUACUGGUCCAAUCUUACGGACGAUAUCAUAUGCUUAAUAAUGAACGAAUAGUCUUGGAUCAGUGUUUUGCGGCAAGAGCAACUCGACACAAUCUGGAUUCAACCUCCUCCUAUCUAACAAGGGAUUUCGAUUUGAGUUACUUGGUGCUCAAGCAAAUUCACAUCAUAGUUUUGAUUCUUUAGAUAUGAAUUCAUCACAUUACAUAUAUCAGAUUAAGUGUAACAAAAUUCUUUAUCUACUGCGAAAAUAAUAUGCGCUAAAAAAUGAUUUCAAGACUAUUUGACUACAAAAAGCAGCUGCAUGGCUCAGCCUCAGGUAAGAAAGCCACAGAAAAGGAAAAUCUCACUGUCACGACUCACGUCACGCAUCAUUCAAGUGAUGGAUUUAACAAGACUGCUUAUGUUCUAUCAAAUUCCUCUGCCUCUCAGAAGAUAACUUUUCUGGGCCAAAUUUCUCAUCUAAAGCAUAUUAUGCCCCAAAGUCAGAGAUAACAAAAUGGGGCACUACCGAUUAUGAAAGAGAGCUAGUAGUUGUCAGAAGCCUAAGUCAAAUUCCGGUAGUAAGAAGAGGCCUUUCUUGAGUUUAGAUUAUGUGUUCGAGUUUUAAUAAAUGCCUAAGUUAAUAAUAAUAACAACAGUAAUAAUAAACUAAAAAGCAUAAUUACUAUUGAAUGGUAAAAAAAAAAAAUGAAAAUGUGUGAACUCCAAUAACCACCCCAGUGGCGAAUUUUGGAGAGGGCUAGGCCGGGCUUCUUAGAAAUUAUUUUUAUUUAAUUACAAAAUCACCUUUACUGAAACCUAUAUAAAAUUUUUUAUAUUAAUUAAUUAUGUUGCCUCUUCAAUUAUCAUUGAAUUCUUGUCCGUUCAUCAUUUGAUGGAUAAAUGUGUAUUUCAAUAAUUUCAAAUAAUGUCUAGAACAAAUAUUUUGAAUGAUAAAACUCAUUAUGUCCUGCAUUACUAGAUGUAUCUAUAAUUUAUUAUUUACAAAUUAUAUUGUAUGAUAAAAAUGUAUUGAAUUUUUUAAAAAAAAAAAAGUUCGGCUCACUCAGAAAAAAAUGUUAUUAGCUUCGCCACUGCACAAAUCUAGAAUAAUAAUUAUUCCUUAUUAUAUUGACUGCACCAAGCAAUAAACUAAUAAGUUCUCAUUAGUGGUUUUUAAUCUUUUUAAUUCUUUUUACCGCACACCUGAUCAAUAAUUCUAUUUUGUUAACUAAUCAAUUGCAAAUCAUAUAUUAGUGUUGAACGGUGAACAAAAUUGAAAAAAAAAAUUCUUAAAAAACGUGUGGACUCGGAUAGCCAGACCAGAAAUCUAUGACAAUAAUUAGCUUUGAUGCUGGGAAUCUUUUAGUUUCUGGCCGUAUUGACUCCACCAGUGAUGCUGGGAAUCUAAUGGAGCUCAUUCUUUGGUUUUACUUGCAGGUCUAGAAGCAGGUGUCAUCUUGUAAAGAAGGAAAAUAAUAUUUGCCUUUUUGAAUAAUUUUAUUGAACCAGGAGACGCAGCUAUAUACAAGAGAUUUCCUACAAUCAUGCUAAUCUAUUCUAGGUAGUCUAAGGGCCAGUUUGGUAAUGCUGCAGCUUUUAAAAUAAUUACUGUUAGCUGUGCUGUAGAAAUAAUCAGCUGUGAAGAGAAUCAGUUAAGUGUUUGGUAAAUUUUAUUUUUAAAAGUACUGUGAAUUUUGAAAGCAGUUAUGGGUGUUUGGUAAAUCUUAUUGUUAAACUGCUGUAAGAAAAUAAAUGACUAAAAUGUACAUAAUGUAGGAUGAAAUUUACUUAUACAUAUAAAAAUAUACACGUACAAUAUUAUAAUAAAAAUUGCAUAGGCAUAGAAUUGUUUAUAUAUAAACAAACCCAAAUAAGACAAACAACAAAUAUUAUAAUAAAAAAUACAUUGAAUAUGCAUGAAAAGGGUGAUGAAUCACUUACUGUUAUUGAAUAUGGUUAUGGAACACAUACUGGAUCUUGCUUUGUUGCACUAGAGAAGUUUUGAUAGAACACAAAAUAUGAAGAAAUAGGGUAAACGAAAGGUGUGUGUUAAUUAUAAUAAAAAAUUAUUAAAAUAUUGAUUUUAUUUCCAAUUUAAAUAAGGAUAAUUUCGGGUUUAAGUAAUAAUUGUAAGGAUAUUUAUGGAAUUAUAUUAAAGGAUAAAAUUGAUUCUCAAAAUCAAAAUCUAAAAGUUACUCCUUCCCUGCUUUUCAAAAUCAGCUGUAGGAGGAGCUGAUUCUGGCAAAAGUAAUUUUGAUUUUUUUUUUACCAAACACCAAAAUUAGCUUUUAGAUUUUUAAAAUCACUUUUAACCCUCUCAAAAGCAAUCCCAAACGGGGCCUAAAUAUAAAAGGCAACUAAACAAAUAUACAACUAAUACAAUAUAUUCGUCAAUGAAUGGUCAGAUAUCAUUGACCUUUCCUUCUCAACACUCCCCCUCAAGUUGGAGAGUGGAUGUCAAGAACUCCCAACUUGCGUAUCAUAGUUGAGAAAGCUUCCUUUCCCAAUGGCUUGGUGAACACAUCUGCAAGUUGAUCUGUUGAGGCAACAUGUUUGGUUACAACUGAACCAUCUUGUAUUUUGUCACGAAUAAAAUGGCAAUCCAUCUCUAUAUGUCUGGUUCUUUCGUGGAAAACGGGAUUGGCAGCUAUAUGUAAGGCUGCUCUGUGUUAUCACAAUAUAAUAAUGCUGGCUUCGGAUGCAAUAUUCUCAAAUCCUUCAAUAAUGAGCGUAGCCAGGAUAAUUCACAACAUGUACCUGUCAUGGCUCUAUAUUCAGCUUCUGCUGAGGAGAGAGAUACGGUUUUCUGCCUCUUUGUCCGCCAAGAAAUAAGAGAAGAUCCCAGAAAAACACAAUAACCCGUAGUGGAUCUACGAGAUAUUGGACAACCAGCCCAAUCCGAAUCAGAAAAAGCUCGCAAAGAUAAAUCAUUCUGAGAAAGGAAAAACAAACCUUGCCCUGGACUAUUUUUCAAAUAACGCUAUACACGCAAGACAGCUUCCAUGUGUGGUCUACGUGGUGCAUGCAUGAAUCUGCUUAACACAUGGACCGAAUAGGUGAUAUCCGGUCGGGUAAUAGUUAAAUAAAUUAGGCGUCCAACAAGUCGUCUAUACUGAGACGGAUCUUUAAGCAAUUCACCUAAAUCCGAGAGCUUUAUGUUUUGUUCCAUGGGAAAGUUCACAGGUUUAGCACCCAAAAAUCCACCAUCUUUUAAAAUUUCCAAAGUAUAUUUUCGUUGCGAGAUGGAAAUACCUUUCUUCGACCGAGAAACUUCGAUGCCCAGAAAAUACUUCAAAUCACCCAAAUCUUUAAUUCGAAAAUGACUAUGUAGAAACUGCUUGAGGGAUACUAUGGCAUUGACGUCAUUACCCGUAAUAAGAAUGUCAUCGACAUAUAUCAACAAAGCUGUAAACGAUUUGCCUUUCCGACAUGUGAAUAACGAGUAAUCAGCUUUGGAUUGAACAAAGCCAGCAGCUUGGAUAGCUGUAGAGAACUUGGCAAACCAUUGUCGGGAAGCUUGCUUUAAGCCAUAUAACGACUUGUGAAGGCGACACACUAGAUUCUCCCCCUGUCGCCGAAGACCAGGAGGUGGAGACAUAUAAAUUUCUUCAUGGAGAUCGCCAUGAAGAAAGGCAUUGUUGACAUCAAGUUGGUGAAGAGACCAAUUCUGGGCAGCUGCUAAAGCCAAUAAACAACGAACAGUAAUCAUUUUAGCAGUGGGAGAAAAAGUGUCAUGGUAAUCUAUACCUUCUAGCUGUGUGUAACCUUUUGCAACCAAACGAGCUUUGAAACGCUCAAUACUACCAUCCGAGUGUCGUUUGAUUUUAUAAACCCAACGACAACCAAUAGGCUUCUUACCAGGAGGAAGAGAAGUGAGGGACCAAGUGUGGUUGGCUUCUAAAGCAGCCAAUUCAGAUUGCAUUGCUUCUUGCCAAUGGGAAUGGGAAGCUGCUUUGGCAUAAGAUGUAGGCUCAAUAUCUUGACUGACAGCAGCAGUAAAAGAGCGAUGUUGUGGUGAGUAACGAUGAUAAGAGACAAAAUUGCAAAGGGGAUAUCGUGUACCUUUUUGUAGACUUGAUGACAAAGGCGGCAAAUGGUUGGGAGACGUUACUUGGUUACAGACAUAAUCACGUAAAGCCAUGGGAGGGUGAUGAGGUCUUUGGGAACGACGUAAAAUGGGUUCGGGAGGAGGACUAGCAGGUGAUAGCUGAGUAGAAACUAAAUUCGGUGGUAAUGGUUGUUGGAUGGGAGAAAUUGGUUCCGGUGGUAAGGGUUGUGGAACUGGUGGGGAAGGAGCGGAUAUAGAAAGAGGAAUCACAUGGUCUGAAUUUAAGGAAGGGGAUGGAAUAGACUCAUAAGGGAAAAUAGUUUCAUGAAAAACAACAUCACGGCUAGUGAACAUUUGGUGGGUGUCAAGGUCAUAGAGCUUGUAAGCUUUUUGACCAACUAGAUAGCCAAGAAAAAGACAUCGUUUAGCUCGAGGAGCAAAUUUAUGGGGGACGUGCACAUUAGUAGCAUAGGCAAGACACCCAAAAACUCGGAUAUGAGAAUAAGAAGGAAGCUUUCCAUAAAGUCGUUCAAAAGGAGUUUGGCGAGAAAGGAGUGGUGUGGGCAAACGAUUAAUUAUAUGAACAGCAGUAGAAACACAUUCUGCCCAAAAAUGUAAAUGAAGGUGGGUUUGAAAACGAAAAGCUCGAGCGGAAGCAAGAAUAUGGCGGUGCUUGCGCUCUACAACCCCAUUUUGUUGAGGGGUAUAGACACAAGAAUGUUGGUAAGUGGUCCCUUUUUGUUUAAAAAAUUCCCGCAUAGAGAAGAAUUCUCCACCAUUAUCAACCCAAAUGUUGGCUAUAGAUACAUGGAAUUGGGUUUGGACAAAUGAAAAAAAAUUGACAAGUAAAUGUUGUGUUUCACUUUUGUGAUGCAUAAAAAACACCCAUGUGAAUCUAGAAUAAUCAUCCACAAUAGUCAAAAAAUAUUUCGCACCAGAAAGAGAGGCAAUUUUAUAGGGACCCCAAAUGUCACAAUGAAUUAAUUCAAAAGGUCUAAUAGAUGAAAUUGAACUAAUAGAAAAUGGAAGUCGACUUUGUUUUGCAAGUGCACAAACAUCACAAGCAUUAUUAGACUGGGAAGGGAAAUUUAACAAAUGUUUUGCCAUAAAAUCUAAUCUAGAGGAAGACAAAUGCCCCAAACGGCGAUGCCACAAAAUGGUGGAGGAGGUGACCUGAGAACUGGGUGAACAGCAAGAAGUGGCUGCUGCGGAUGGAGUUUGAGGUUUUGGUUUUUCUGAUGCUAACGCAACCAAGUAAUAAAGUCCGUCUCGUUGUUCACCCAAACCAAUUGUCGUCCUCGUCGUCAAGUCCUGCAAAAUACACCAAUGAGGGAAAAAAGUUACUGAACAAUUGAGAUCUCUGGUAACUCGACUCACAGACAUUAAAUCCACCUUAAAAGAUGGCACACCAAGCACAUUUUGUAAAGUAAUAGCAGAAUUCAAAGGUAAAUUCCCAAUGGAUGUAAUCGAAGCCUGUUCUCCACUUGGCAUAGCAACUGGUGGCAAAAAAGUGUUCUUAUUGCUGUUGACAAGCAAAGUUGGUGAUGAAGUAAUGUGGUCUGUUGCACCACUGUCGAUAAUUAAUCGAUGGAGGCGCAACAAUCUUUGUAACAAACCUGAGGCAGCAGCAUUAGCUUUAGGAUUGGUGGAUUGUGUUGUCCCUUUACCCUGCAUGAUAGAUAAGAUUUGUUGGAUUUGCAAGUCAGAGAGCCCAUUUGUCACUGAUGGCACUUCCUGCAUUACUGGACUUUCCUUGACAUUGUUGGCUGAAGAUUGAUGGUUAUUGUUGCGCUUGAAAUGAGUGCUUCCUUGAUUAGAUUUGUUUGAUGCAUGUUUAGGGUGUUCUGGUGGGUACCCAUUCAGCUUCCAGCAUUUUUCUCGUACAUGAUGGUCACGAUCACAAUAAGAGCAAUGCAAAGGUUUUCGAUUAGAUGGGUUGGAACGAGAAGAAGAACCUUGUUCAUGUCGAACAGCUAGAGCUACCGGUUCAGCCCUUCGAACAAUCAUGGCUGAGUUCUCCAUCAUCUCACGUGCAACCCCCAGGCUGCGCUGCUUCUCCUCUUGUACAAUGGAAGAGUAAGCCUUAGCAACAUCAGGUAGCGGAUUCAUCAACAAAAUCUGCCCUCGGAUUGCACUGUAGGACUCAUUGAGUCCCAUGAGAAAUUGCAUCAAUCUGCGUCUCUUAUGGUCUGCCCCACAAGAGCAAACGGUGUCAUUAUAGGAUCCUAGUUCAUCCCAUAAUUUUUUUAGCCUUGUGUAAUAAGCUGCAACAGUCAUCUGAUCUUGAGCAAGACAAGCAAUGUCCCUCUCAAUCUGAAAAAUACGAGGGGCAUUGCUUUGAGAAAAACGAUCCCGAAGGUCUUCCCAUACCUCCUGGGCGGUGGUCGAAAAUAUGACACUGUCUGCAAGGUCUUGUGUGAGUGAAUUGAGAAUCCAAGACAGGAUCAUAUCGUUGCAUUUUUUCCACGAAGCACAUUCGUCUGGUUUGGCUGUGGCAGACGGCAUUGUGGUGGUCCCGUCUAUGAAACCUAACUUGGAUUUGGCAUUCAAAGAAAUCGUCAUGGCUCUACACCAUGUCGAAUAAUUAUCCCCAUUAAGGGGCUUGGAAACAAGCACCAUUCCUGGAUGAUCAGAAUGAUGAAGAAAAUAUGGAUUGGCAGCAUCAAGCUUGCCUCCAUUCGAAGGUUGCUGUUCCGUCAUGAUAAUGAGUAACAACGAAAAAAGAAAGAGGGCAGAGAGCUAGGGUAUCGUUCCCUGCUCUGAUACCAUGUAAAGAAGGAAAAUAAUAUUUGCCUUUUUGAAUAAUUUUAUUGAACCAGGAGACGCAGCUAUAUACAAGAGAUUUCCUACAAUCAUGCUAAUCUAUUCUAGGUAGUCUAAAUAUAAAAGGCAACUAAACAAAUAUACAACUAAUACAAUAUAUUCGUCAAUGAAUGGUCAGAUAUCAUUGACCUUUCCUUCUCAACACAUCUAACAGCUGCUUUGAUAAUUUCCCACACCUUCAUCUUUGAUGGAAAUAUGAAAUAAAAACAAAUUGGUGAAAAUGGUUUUGGUACCCGCGGCUCUGUAAUCUAUUUCAAAAACUACACCAUCAAAACGACUGCAUAAGAAUCUAACUUCUCCUCUUGAUUUUUAUGGGCAUGUUGUGUAGUCCAUGCAGACAAAAAUCAUAUUUUAGUUUACUCUUACUCAAUGCUUGGAUUAAAGGUUUUUUUUUUGGGGGGGGGGGGGGGGGGGGGGGAUUGAAGCAGACUAAAAUGACACAAAAAAUAGUUGAACGAGUGUGGGUUUUGUCUUCAUUUUAGGAGAUCUUUAUAAAUUUUAGGAUUUUUUUUCCCGAGAAAAUUUAUGCCAACUCAUUCUUUGCUUCUUUUAUGAAGGGACAGAUGCAACUGAAAGUAUAUUCUUGAAUUCUAUAAGAGACAGCAGUUUAGAUUCUCGAGCCUUCAAAAAAAUAUCAAAUUCUAGAUUGCUGAAAUUUUAUAUAUCCAAGUAUGAUGGUGCACCAAUUAUUAACUCCAGGGUGCAACUUCACCGCGGAUUAGAAUGUCUUCCUGCAGAAUUGAGAAAUCUCCAUUGGCAUAAAUAUUUUUUUGAAAAUACUGUCAUUAGAUAUUUUUAUUAUUCAUACUUCAUUGCACAAGGCACCACCUGGCUUCUAUUUCAAGCCCUAAUAAUGAUCCGCUGCUGGAAAAGAAUUUGUGCAGCAUGUACGCUCCUUGACCACAACAGCAAAGUUUAUUGAUGUUAUUUCAUAUUCUGCUGUGAGUCAAAUAAAAAUUUACUAUGCCCUUUCGGCAUGGCUUGCCUUUCAGCAAAAAAAGAAAAAAAAUCUUUCAAAUUGUGGAAGCAUGCUUACAUUAAUCAGCUCAGUAUGUUAUGUUUCAAGGGAUGCAAAAUUCGUUUUGUUUCUCAUGGAAGAAUUGACUUGUCUGGAUGUAUUAAUCUCAUAGAUUUUCCACAGAUUCGUGGGAAUAUAACAAAGCUAGACUUAAGUGAGAUCCCAAUAGAAGAAGUUCCGUCAUCAAUAAAAUGCCUAGCUGAUCUUAAAACGUUGCGUUUGAGUAAGUGCACGAGGCUGAAGAGGCUUUCCAUCAAGCAUUUGUAAAUUGAAAUCUCUUCUUGAGCUUUAUCUCUAUAACUGCUCAAACCUUGAAAGUUUUCCAGAAAUCAUGGAGAAAAUGGAACGUUUAAAGAUAUAAAUUUAGCAAGGACGGCCAAUUACAGAGCUGCAAUCUUGAUAGCCUUCGGGAUAACAUUAGCAAUUUAAAAUCUUUGAGGUACAUCUCUACUAAUGGAUCAGCCAUUAGUCCUCUGUCGCAGGUUCGGUUGUACUUAAAUAUCUAUCAUUUUCUCAAUACAGAGGUUUGGUAUCAUUGCCUCCAAUAUUAUUGUCAGGUUUAGGUUUAUCGAAUUUGUUACAGCUAAAUUUAAGAGACUCUGCUAUAAUGGAAAUUCCCCAAAAUAUUGUUCGUCAAUCCUCAUUGAAAAUUUUAAAUCUAAAGGCUUGUUUGUUAACUACUUGAAGUAUGUAGUUAAUGCUUUUUUUUUUUUUUUUGUAAUUUAUGUUUGAUUUGAGAUAUUUACAUUUGAAUAAAAAAAUUAAACUUUUGUUACAUUUAUCUAAAAAAAAAAAAGGCUGAAUGGGAAGUAAAUAAUUCCCUUUUUCGUUUUAACUUACAAAAACAUAAAUGUUAACUAUGUUUAAGAAAUUUUUUAUUUAUAAAAAGAAACCAAAUACUACUUAUAUUCGUAUAUCAAAAAAUGAAAAACAAACAUGUUAUUCAUACGUUCACAUACAAACUCAUUCAGACCUCAGCUAAAUACAAAUCCAUUUACAUUUCAAAAAAAUAAAUAAAUACUUCCUAAGCGGGAAUAACUUUGAGAGUUGACUUGCAAGGCUAGAAUAUCUUGACUUGAAGGGUUGCAAUGAUUUCUCAUCAUUGAGAGUUUAUCAUUGUGCUUCAUCAUCAUCAUCAUUAUUAAUAAAAAGGUAAGCAAUUAAGAGUCAAAUUAAACCAGAAAAUCACUCAUCCACGCUUUUGGGACAUCAUUCUGCUCAUUAUUUUUAUUCCGUAUCUUCAUUGUUUUAUUUGGUAAUUAUUACCAUUAGUAAAUAAAGGGAUUAGUUGAUUAUUAUGAACUAACUAAAUGGAGCUCACCCUUAAAUGUCGGCUUGUAUCAGGGAGGUGCCUUAGGGUUAAUAAAUCAACUAAUCCCAUAAUUUGUCGAUGUAGGUGAUGGUUGUUAAAGCCAACAAAAACAAAUACCUACUCUAAAUAAAUUGUGUAUAGUGAUUGAGCAGGGUCGUGUUUACAGAGAUCGGUAAUUAUUUAAAUCCUUUUAAAACGUAAAACAUAAAAUGGGGGUUUUGUUGACAAUAAUAAAAAUCAAAUUAAAAUAACAAGAAUGCAAAUUAAAGUUGUAAUUCAAAUUUGGAGAAAGCUCUGGUUGAAGGAAUUAACUCAGCUUAAUUCGACUACUGAUCAUUUAUUCAAAUAUAAAUUAUUACUACUUAUGAAUAGACCGGUUAUGGCUACUGAGAACCUCUAAUAGCCAAUAUCUCCUUAACUAGUCGAUAACCAAGGUACGACCAUUGAUUAUUUCCCUAAUCAAUAGACAACCCUAGAUACGAUCAUAUGAUUUAAUCAAUUGACAGCCUAAAAAACCAGAGAGACCCAAAUCCUAAUCAACAAACACAUACGAUGGUUCAUUUAAAUUAGAUUGUUUAUUCUCAUAACACAACUCUCUGCUAUGUUAUUUGUCACAAACAUUAAAAUCUUCAUACAAUGAAUCCUUUAAUUGACAAUAGAUUAAGUUGAUAAUUAAAUAGUGGCCAAUUACCUAAUUAACAAACAUAAUCAUGAAAAUAAUUCAGAGAAUAAACAAAUACCCAAAAAGCAAUAAAACAAUUAAAACAUAAGAAAGAUCUCACAGUAGUGAUGAAUCAAAGCUUCAUUAACCUUCAACUAGAAAAAUAGGUUUAGUUCUUCAUAGAGAGAAGAGAAAAGUUUAGAUCUAGCGUUUCUUUCUUUUUCUCCAAUCCCCCCUUUUUCACUAUAGAUUCCUCCCUUAAAUACUCUCUCUCUCUUCUCCUCUAGAGUUCUAUUUAAAAUAAAAUACUAAUAUAUGAAAUAUUAAAUUCGUAAUUACAAAAAUAGCCAAAAAUACAAAACAUGUUAAACUAAAAACUGCAGGUCCGUAGUUGACAGCACGCGCCCACGCCUUAUCAAUAAAGUUCUUCUGACGCUCUAAAUUUCUCCAAGAGAACAAUCAUCUUUAAACAUCAUCUUAUAGCUCAAUUUUAUCACAAAUCAAUAAAAUUGCACCUACAAAAGUAAAACACAAGUAAAUCAUUAUUAUUAAGUGCAAAACAUCGAUAUUAAGGGAAGUAAACAAUGCAAAACUAGUGCAUAAAUUGCACUCUAACAGUAGGGUAGCAAAUUAUUGCCAUAGAUCAGCACACAUCUCGAAAACAUAUUUGAUCCACACAGUGAAGAUGAUUCAAUAUUAAGCAUGUCAUAUAAUCUGGAGUUGGAUAUUGGAUCAAUUUGAUGAUAAUGAGUUUCUUUCAAUCUCAAUAUGUAUCUUCUUCGCAACAUGACUAGCCAUUGCAAACUCAAACUCUGACAAUGAUUUCUCAAUCGCUUUCUAAGACGAUGAGCAUGUAUGUAUAUAUAUGUGUGUGCACGUGCGCGUGUGUGUUUGUGUACGUAUAUAGAGAGAGAGAUAUAUAUAUAUCACACAUGUGCGCUUUCCUUUUGUCAAUAAGAUAUGCAGAGAGCUUAAUAAUCAUAGAUUAGCUUAUAUCCUUCAAACCAUGUGCUAUGAAGUAAUUUCACAAACACUUGUUGAACGUUAUUGAAUCAGUAGUUCACAGUUCAAUACAAUGUAGGUUUCCUAUUUGAAGUAAAUGAUUAUGGUGUGUGCAUUUUUCAUAAAGCUAACUACUGAAUUUACCAUUGAAACUUGCAAAAUGUAACAGAGAGAUGCAGAUAGCAGCCACGAAACACUAAGAUUGAAAAUCAGGACUACUGAAUUCUAUUACAAGCCCUUAAAAUAGACAACAAUCAUCCUCAAAUGUAUAUACUGAAAGUAAAAAAUAUUAAUCGUAAAGUUAUGCAUUAACAAAACUAUUGAAUACUUAUCUUUAGCUAUAUAUUUUUAAUUGUAGCUCCCUACUUUGUUCUAAGAACUAGGCAAAAGUAGCAUAUCUUCAAUCCAAUCAGCAUAUAUACCGCUCAUCUUCUCCAGUUCUUUCCACUUUGAUUUGCAUUUCAUACCCUGCACUUGCUGCUUAGAAAUAGUCAUAGUUUGCACAUUGACAGUAGAAAAAGUACUUGAAACAAUCAUUGGCAUAGCAUGGGAUUCCAUUGAGUCGCGGUCUCCAAGCUUUCAUGGUUCUGUAAAGAAAAUGACAAAAACAUCAUGCUAUUGGCAUUCUACUUUUAGCAAUUUUCCACAAGCUGAGCUUUUUCAUAUCUCUCUAUAAAUUAUGCUGGUUCAACCUUCAGAUAAGUUUGUGAUAAAGGCAUCUAUGAUUACAAUGGGAAAAUUACAUGAACUUAUGUUAUCAAUCAUUGUUUUGCCUUCUCGUGAUAGAAUUCUGCGCAAUAUAAAACAUGACAUAUCUGUUACUUACCAUGCCAUGUCGUGAACCUAGAAGCAAUGCAAAUUGCAAGGAACAUAUUAAGCUAUCUACUGUAUAUAACAAAUUCUUAUUAGCCCACAAUCUUGUGCCCCAACAUUGAUCAAGUAACACUAUUAUUUCAUUUCCAAAAUGGCAUAUAUAAUCUGAUGUUGAACAAACCAAAUUGGGAAUCAUCAUUCCUUACAUUGAGCUGACAUUCGUACCUGCUAGUCCAUGAGCAAAGUUGCUUAUAUUUCCACACAGGCAGCUCCCCUUAUCUCUCGGUUCCGACAGAGCUUUGUUUUCCCAUCACCAGCUUUGGAUUCAUUCGAUCACUGAUGCUCCGAGUUAGCAAGCCCCUUGUUGUGUUCCCAUUUAACAGACCCACUUCUGUUAUCCACAGAAGAUCCACCACUCAAAAUGCUUAUCACCGAACUAUUCCUAAACUGAGUAGAAACUUCCGCACAUCUCUCGGCAUUUACAUGAAGAAAUCGACACCCACCCUCAUAUUUGUAAGUUUUCUGAUAAUAGAAAUGUCUACAAAGCUGCAUUUCGUUAGGCAAUCUAGUCUCUCCAUUCCUAGCAAAGUGACAUUGAUUCCCGUAUUUGUAAUUGCCUAAUUGGGGUUUUGGCAAUAGCCUGGUCUUAAAAUUACCACCCAUUACUUUGUUCAAUGCCACUGGCAUCCUCUGAUUAGGAACAUUUUCACAAUUUUUAGCCCUGUUAGUCGAAUCACAUUCAAGGGGAUAGUGAGACAGUAUUUCACUAAAAGAUUCAAUUUGACUACACAUAUAAGAAUUUGAAAUCACUUUUUCUUGGAAUAUUUAAUGACCCACCCAGGGUGAAAGUUUUUGAAUGGAAAUUAUUUAAUUUGAUUUGUUUUCCAACAAAUUCAAGAAACCCCAGAUAGUAACAUAAAAAAAAAAAAUCAACCAAUAAUACGCAAUGGGUUUCUUUCUUUUUGCUUUUGGAGGGCCAUGAAGAUCUGGAGUGGGCUGUAAGUAAUAGCCUUUAUCACUGGAGUGACAAAUUUGCAGAAGAUGAUGCAUGGGGAAGGAUUGGGCGAGCAUAAAAAUGGCUUUACACUCUUUGGAUUAGCGCCUCAUUUAGGUUGUAGCGAGAUAAAGAUAUCAUUUAAAGUUUUAUAAUCCUUGUUAUGCUUAAGGCUUCACUUAGUAUAGCAUAGAGCUUUUCUAGUUUAGCAUUUUACAAGUAGAAUUUUUUUAAAUUAUUAUUUAUUUGGUUGUUUUGUUCAGAAGAGCUUUUAAAGCUCCAAAAUCUUUGAUAGUCAGGUUUUUUUUUGGUAAGUAAAACUUUUAACAAAAAUUUAUUAUUCACUUGAUCGUUUACAAGAGUUUUCAUUAGAAGUUAUGUAAAGUUCUUUAAUUUUUUUUAUCAGUGCAUCUUUUUACAAGUAUAAUUUUUAUUUUUUAACAAAAAUUAAUUCAAUAAUAUUAAUAAUCUCAAUAUUUGAGUUUUAAUAUCAUAUGUCACUCAUUUAUUGGAUGACAGAUUUCAUAACUUAUAAAAUUAUUUAACUAACAUCCACUAAGCUAAUGUCACUAUAGUGAAGAUUGAAGUUGAAAUUUAGAUGUUACGUUGGGUAAUAUUGCGCUUAUUUGGUUGUUUAUGAGAGUUUUUUUGUACAAAUUUAUUUUUAUACAAAUUGAUAUAGUCUAAAUUCAUUAAUUAGAUGAAAAUAGAAAAUAAUAAAAAUAAAUCUUGUGUACUAAAAGUUAUUUAAUCUAUUUAAUUGAAUUAUCCUACGUUUGUUUGUACUAAAUAAAUUUAUAUAAAAAUUAAUUCUAUUUUUUGAUGUGCAACUAAACUUUUAGUCUCUUAUUAUUCGUAAAAUUCAAAUUCAGUGGCUUAUCAAAUAAAAUUAAAACUAUUGGUUAAUCAAAUAAAAUUAUUUGAAAUCAUUGGGUGUGGUAGCUGGAGCUCUUGAAAGUUGAAACUAUGGAAGCCAUGAAAUAUACCAGCGAAAAGAGUUCUAAUUUUUAAAUGUCUAUUUUAUAAAAAUUUUAAUAAUAAAAGUGUCGCAUCGACAUUGAACAGUAUAAAAAUUUUUAAUAAUAAUUUUUUUACGUUUGGGGUAUUUUUGUAAUUAUACGAAGGUAAACUAAUCGCAAAAUUCAUUUGGCUUACACUUGCUCUGUGUAUGGUUAUGGCGGUAUCAUUAUCAUCUUCUCCAUUCGUACUGACACCAAACCUUAACCGUUCAGAUUCCCUUUCUCGACUGUCAUACCCUACGCCCCGUCUCCGUGUCUCCGAUAAACAGUGCUCAAUUAAGGCCAUCAGAUUAUCCCGGACCCACAUUGAUCCAACGGCUCACAAUGACCGACGACCUCUCCAUCUCCAUUACAAGCUUCCUCUUCAACUGGCUUCUGCCUCUAUCGUACUCUUUCUCGGAUUCGGAGCCCGUAUAUGCUCGGCUGGUCCUACGGAGCUACCUCUCACUCCAGCUGUCAACCAACAAGACCAAUUGCUUAAUCCAGACACAGAACAACAAGAGGGUGAGAAAUUGAAUCAAGAAUUUGAGAAUUGGAAAUCGAAAACGUACGCAUUGACCGUGCCUUUAAGGGUCGUUUCUCUUCAGAAUUCAGUGCCUCAAUCUUGGGUUAAGGAUUUUAUGCGAAGUCAAGGAAAGAGAUUGAAGUUUCAGAUGAAUUUUUGUGCUAGCACUGAUGGGAUCGUUAAAAAUUUAUCUAUGCCCUCUAACAAAGUUAAGGCUAACUCAGCUUCGUAUAUGGCUGCUGAUUUGGUUAGUGUUGGUGAUUCAUGGCUCAGUUUUGCGAUUAAAAAGAGAUUGAUUGAGCCAAUAGCUGAAGCUGAAGAUCAAGAUUGGUUCAAAUGCUUAAGUCACAAAUGGAAGGUAACAUCUUUGUCUUUGACCGGAUGAUUUUUAUUGUCUUACAUUGAAAUUUGGUAAUGUAAUUUGUUCUCUAUCUGUGUUACCUUUGUAGUGAUUUUUUUUUUUAUUUGCUUUUAUUUGCACUAACAAAGUCUUAGGUAUAUCUACGCAGGAAUGAUGCAGAAGAAAUUGAUCCUCGAGGUAAAAUAUGGGCGGCACCAUACAGGUGGGGCACAAUGGUGAUAGCCUACAAGAAAAGUAAAUUUCGAAAGCAUAAUUUGGCUCCGAUUGAGGUAAUAAUUGUCUUUAAACUCAUUUAGUUUUAUAUGAAACAAAAUCAAGACUGCCUUUCUCUUCAAUAUUUUUGAUGAUAAUAUCUUUAGAAGCAUCUCAUUGACAGGUAAUAAUGGUAUCCCUGAAAGAGUCUAUAAACUCAAUGAUAUUAUCUUCUACAAAUGGUUCAUUAAACUUCUUCGUUGCAGUCAAAUGUACACUAAGAACAAUGAGAAGCUAUGCCACUGUAGCAUGUAGUGAUGGCACUUAAUAAGUGAGUUGCUAGGAUGUGAACUAGAAAAAUUAAAUAUUGUCUCCUUGGGUAUGCUAGCUCGUAAGUCAGGGUUAAUAUUAGAACUUAUGAUACUAUAACCAUGAGAAGCUAUUGACUGCCAAUUAAAAUAUCCAUUAAAAUGUCUAGGGAGUUAUGAAGGUGGAGGUAACUUCCAAUUUCUAAGGCCACAUAGUAGACAUCAUGCAGGAUCCUAGGAAAGUGCAGUUAACCUCCUGGUCGAUGCCAUUAAUAAAUUUGAUCAAUGCCACUGAAACCUGCUAACUGAUGUCACAAUGCGACAUGAGCACUUCAAAAUGGGACAGACGGUCAGUAGCACUAAAUUUUUCUUGUCUAAGAUUGAGCAAUUGGUCUAACUACUAACCCCUAUUGUAGGUUGAUCAUUAUGUUUUUCAAUUAUGUUCAGUUUGACCCAAAACAUUACAGAAUCUUGAUCUGAAUAUUGUCACUGAACACUGUCAAUGUCGUUUGGCAUAGCCAACUAACUUGAGUUUGGUAAAACAAACACACAGUGUGUCUCAUGUCUCACAAUUCAAAUUAUCAUCUGUAAUGAUGGAGAAUUUUUCCAAUGUAUGAAGUAUGCUUUGAUACGUGGGUUACCUUGGGGAAGGUAUCUCAAAAUAAAGAAUAUGGGGAGAAAACAGUGCAGUAGUUUAUUAUUCCGUAGUCAAGUUUUGUCUCAAAAAUGGUCAAAAUUUAAAUGAAUAAGGACAGGGGAUCUUCAGUCUUUUUUCCCUUUUUUUAUACCAAGAUAUCUCUCAACCUUUAUAUAAUCCCACUGGAUAUCUGCUUCUAAUAAUUAAAAUAAAAUUUCACCCACACAAAUAAGUACUGACCAAGCUCUAACAAUAAAAAGUAACAUCUUUAGUCAAGUAAUUUACAGUUCCUCAUCAUCUUAGUGUGAGACUAUCAGUACGAUCCAAGAGCAAAAUAAAACUGGUUUGACCCUGUUUAUUGAUGUUUAAAUGUUGUUCAUUGUGACAUGUAGAAAUGAUGAGGUGAAGUUUCUUUGGUCAUCAAUUAGUAAGAUCUCGUUUGAAGUUGUUUUCUGAAAUGAACUGGCAAAUGGUAGUUUUUUUGGGGCAUUUGAUGGCUCUUUUUCUUUUUUCCUCAUUUUAAACAUGUGCCUGCUUGGAACGGGAUGGAUUAAGCUGCAGGUUAUAUAUUUUGACAUGCUCUGGUCAUUACACAAUUUGUUCACACUGGGAAUUAGGAUGAGAAAUUUGUUGAUGCUGUUUUGAGAGACCUGCAUUCUAUGCACAAUAACCUGAUUAAUGAAAAUGGAUUGUAGAACUGGAAAGAUCUGUGGCGGCCUGAGCUCGCAGGAAGAAUUUCAAUGGUUAAUUCUUCCCGAGAGGUUAUUAUUGGUUCAGUUUUUAAGUAUAUGGGAGCAUCAUACAAUUCAAACAAUAUUGAUUCGCAAGUUGCUGGUGGGAAGAUUGCUGUUCAGCAGAAUCUGGCAUUACUGGCAAACCAGGUACUCUUAAAGAAACGAUAUCUGGUCAUUGCAUGUUAUUGCCUGACAACUGAUUUUGUUUGUAAAAGUCUGCUUCUUCAUACAUAUGAAUGCAUAUGUUAGUGUUUUCUUCUCCUUUUCAUAAUAUAUGAAUGCAUAUGUUAGUGUUGUCUUUUCCUUUUCAAACAUAUUAUACAGAUGUUGGUGUUCUCUCCUGAGAUGGAUGCAAUAAAGGCAUUUGCUGCUUAAUUUAGCUGAAGAAAUGGCAAGGGAUGUGAGAUUCUGUCUCAUUAAAUUAACAAAAACCCAAAACAAUGAAAGCCCAUAAUAAUGUAGUGUGGGUAAAUUGGCGCCAUUUGGUUCGUUUCCUUAAUGUGAAUAUGCGAGCAAUAGAGACUAACAAAAUGAAGUGAGAACAGCAAGUCAGUGUCCUUUGAUGGAUGCUUUUUUAAGCAGAAAUAGGUUUGUAAUUGACCAAAUUUGUCUGGCAUGCCAAUUUCAAAAAAAUUAAAUUGUGUGGUUAUUAGCUGUAAUGAAGGGGCAUAGUAGGUGCAAUUAGGCGGAUCCAGGAAAGUUCAACAAAGUUCUGGUAUGGCCUAUUGAAAUUGGUUUUUGCAAUUCAAGAGUCUUUCAAGUGAACGAUGAGGGGUUUUGAUUUAUAAAUGUUAUAAAUCUACUGUGCAUAGUAUUCUAGUAGAAUCAUCUAUAAGUUCUAGUUAUUGAAAUUGUCUACCUUGUUCAGUUUGAGUUAAGGGCAUAUGUAAUAUGAAAAAUAGUUGUCGCAUCUUUUAGGUUACCUAACAUUUGAUCAAUCCUAUUAUGAGGGCUUCAAGAUGUCUAACAAUAUGCAGAAUGCCCAUGCUCCUCCCCAUUGUUUAUCUUAUACAAUAAUUUGUUUUAGAUGCUAAUAUCUUUGUUGAUACCGGUAACAAUAUUGCAAUAUCUGCGUUUAUUGGGUUUUACAUAGGUUCGACUGUUUGACAGUACACACUAUCUGAAGGCAUUUGGAAUUGGAGAUGUAUGGGUUGCUGUUGGGUGGAGUAGUGAUGUUCUUCCUGCUGUCAAACGUAUGUGAGUAUGUCUAAUGUUGCAUUGUUAUCUCCUUCAUAUUAGCGAUCAGUAAACACGAUAAUGUGACUAAUAAGUUUGUAUUCUCUUUUAUAGAUAAAAAAAUAUUAGAUGACUAGUAAUUAACAUUUAAUUAUAGUUGAAAUAUUGUUUAUUAAAUUAGUCUAUUGUCUAAGAACGGUUAUAAAAUUAAUUUCAACAUAUAAUAAGAACUAUUACAAUAAUUUAUUUAGAUUUAUAUAUAUAGCUUAACUAUGAAUUAUUAAAACCAAUAUAGCUUCAUAGUUUGUGUGUUAAUAUCUAUUUUAAUCUUUUGUUUAUCUUAUUAAUUUUUCAUUUAAAUUUAAAUCUAUGUUAAAGAUGUUCUAUCAAUCAAUUUGGACUAGAGAGUAAAUAAACAAUCUAGUAAUCACACAAUAGAUAUUGUAUAUAAUUGUUCAAUUAUAACAAACUUUAAAUUUGCAUUAAUAUGAUUAGAAGUAUUGUUUUGCAAUUAACCGAAUCAUAGGCUAAUAAUUUUCAAUAUGAAAUAACUAACUUAGGAUAAAUUAAUUAAUUGACUGAUUUUUUUUUUAAUUUGAAUAUCUUGUGUUAUCUCUAGUAAACAAUUAAAUUUGUCCUUCAAGACUUGAAACAAAACAAAUUGGAGGGCGAGUCAGAGGUCCCUCUCCCUUAAUCCAUCAAUGGAUAGAGUUCUGCUUGCAAACAGCAAGAGCAUUGCCUUUCAAGCAAGAGGUUAUGCCGGGCGCAUCUCCCUCUGCCCUUGAAAGACUCUGGUUAAGUUGCCUGAAGAACUUCUGAAGGGUAAACCAAGCCUGGAUACUAACUUAAUUGCUGGAGUACCCCCGGCUGAAAUUCUGGCCAGAUGUGAGUUUUUGGAGCCAUUAUCUGAAGCUACUUUGUCAGAUUAUGAGUAGCUGGUUGCUAAUCUGCAAAAACCUGCUCCUGUCUUGAUGAAAAGGGUGCAACAUUACUUGUCAUCAUUAAUCCAAAGCUUUCCAGCAAAAGCUACACUGAAAAGUUAAUGGCACUGCAUGCCAGUCAUUAUAAUGCUGUCAGGGCAAUUGGUUCAGGGCAACUGGGUCAGAGCAUAACUUCAUUGGGAAAAAAGGCUUCAGCUAGUUACCUAUUACAGUGCGCACUGAGAUGGCAGUUCUUGAGGUUUUAUAAGAAAUGAAAGAUGAGUGCUUGUUUGAACAAAGUUGUUGCCAAUCUCGCAGAGUUCAAGAAGAAAGAUCACAGAGCUAAUGCCACCAAUUUCUUCAUCAUUGUAGCCUGCAUAGUUGAAGUUUCCUCACUUGAAGCUGUUUAUGCAAACGCUUUUUCCCUGCUCAAGUACAGGAAAUUGAAGAAUUAACCAGAUAUGAUAUGCUGAAAGAGGGAAUUUCUUCCUUAGUGGCCUUUUGAUUUGUAGUGAAGGAGUAGGAUGAUCACUAGCAAGAACCCUAUCAAGGUAGAUUUUAUGAUGUUAACAUAUUAUUAAGCAUUUGUCACUUAGGAAUGAUACAUUCAUAGCAUGAAAUUAAUUAUAUGAUCCUGAUUAAUCAAUUAAUUUUCAUGAGUUUUAACCUAGGUAAAACUAAGUACAAUCGUCGUUAACAACUACUGAAAUUGGGUAAGUAUGAUCUUGACAUUGAAGAAUUUGAAAACACAACCCACAGAGGAAAUUACCUAUUGCAUGGGGAUGGAGAUGUUUACCGCAGCGAUACAGAGCAGUGUUGUCCACUGCUCUUUGGGCUAUGGUGUCACUAAUUCUGAUUACGUAAUUGACUCUGGAUCGGGUGGAAAUAAUAACACUUUAUUAACAUUGCAUAGUCCGAGUACUUUUCCAGGAUCAGAUACGACGUGGUCUAAUGUUGAUAAUAAUAGUUUAUUAAAUGACAAAUCGUUGUUCAAGUAGAAGAUGAAGGUUGUGCAGGUGAUUUCAGAAAUAAAAUACAUUCUAAGAGAUGCUGGUCUACUAUUGCAUGCCCCCAGAUUUAAGAAUCUUUUGAUUGGGGCAUUUGGCAACGAUUCGACAAAUUCUAGAUUCAAGCUCCUCCACCAAGGGAUACCAACUGAGUUAUCAAUUAUCGUAGCAGUUUCUAUGAACUAAAAUUUGCAAAAUAAUUUCUAGCCCCGUUGACUCCACCAACUAAAGUUUACAACUCUACAAUAAUAAUUUCUAGCCCCGUUGACUCCACCAACUAAAGUUUUUUAAAAUUUAAAAAAGUACAUAGAAUUCCACAACAAGCAAAACGUGUGGAAUUUAAUUUUUUGCCGAAAAAGGACAAGAAAAAUGAUAAGAUUUUUAAAAUGAGUGGAAGGUGAUCCAUAUUUUACUAAAACGACUUACCUCGAACAUUAAGAUAAUUGAUUUUUAUUUUUUAUUUUUUAAUAAUAUCAACUUCCAUAUCUUUCUAGCGGGUCCAGCUAUGUUGCAACAGUGAUACUGUACCAUUGUUGCUUUCAGCCAUUGGAUCUUACUAAUGUAACAGUACAACUAUAGAUCCAAUGACUGGUUGCAACUGUAAUACCAUACCACUGUUGCAACAUAAUUUUGCCCCUUUCUAACCCCCAGAAUAUGCUCACGUUCAAGUCUAUCUUGCUAAUUUAAAAAAAGAAAAUCAAAUCAACACCAAAACAAUGAAAAGUAAAGCUUUUGAAUUUCAACUCGAGCUAGCAAACGUAUUCAGCUUUUUCAAAUUCUUCCCAUUGCAUAUCUUCUUCCUCCAUCAAUGCAAUAUUUGAACGAUUAUGAAAGAGUUUAAGAACAUAAAAAAUCUCCAAGGUUUAUACGGUAUAACAAAUUUAAAUUCUCAAUUACAAUAGAUAAUAAUUAAACUAAUAAUUUUUUAUGUACUUAUUUUAGUAAUUUCACCUAAGAAUAAUAUUGUAAUUAGAAAAAAAAUCUAAUAAGUAGGGUGGUCUUAUAAAAAAUCAACUGGUCUCCCCCCCAUAUAAUUAUAAUCCUUCUAGAAAGCUAAUUUUUAUUAAAUAUUUGCUUUUUAAGUUAAUUUCAAUUAAAAAAUGUUUUAAGUUAUAUAUACUCUAAUGAGAUUCUGAAUUCCUUUAUUCCAAUAAUAAUGAAAACGUAUUAAAUUAGAAAUGAAAAAAUUGGUGUUGACGAUUCAACCUAUUUGGAUAGAUUACGUGAAUAAAAUUGAAAUUUUGAUUUAAUUUUUGUUUAUUGUUAAUUCUCAGGCUAUCUUAAUUUCAAGAAUUUAGAAUGUUAAUUUGGUCAUGGAUUUCAGCCCGUGAGUGUCAUAUUCUAGACUUAAUGGUAUCAUUCUUUGAUUGAGGGCAAUGACUCUCACUCCUCUUGUAAAAAAAUAUUUUCAACUAUUUUGAUGACUUAAAAAUUGAUAGAUUUAUUGUUGUCAUGACCAAAUUAUUCAUUUUAAUGAAAUAUAAUUAAUGCAUCAAAGUUACCAGGUUUAUGUUCUAUCUUAAUGCGCUUUUUUUUUUUUUUCAGUUAUCAGCUAUGCCCCUGAGGCAUUUUGUAGAGUAUAGCUUCUGCUUACCUCUGUUUCAUUUUUUUUUAAUAAAAAAACAAGGGAAGGUUUUUCCGAGUCAUCCAUUAUUUGAUUACCGUCAAUCAAGAAAACGACCAAAUUAAUUUCUCUCCAAAAUUUCCAAAAGCUAGAAAAUUUUGUUAUUUGAAAAUAACAUCAUUAAUUAUAGAGUGGAUCAAACCGCGUUAUUGUCUUUUAUAAAAUUGAUGUCUUUUUAAGAGUCAAUACAUUUUAUUUACGCAAACCAGUCGACAUCAACUUGAACUUCCAUAUUUUUAUUAUUAUGUUAUUUAUUUUAAUCCCCGAUUAUUUGAUUAGCCACUAUAUAUAUCAAGAAAGCGACAAAAUUUAUUUCUCAUGACUUCCAAAAACUAGAAAACAACAUCAUUUAUUAUUUUUUUGCAACCCUAAUUGACAUCAACUUUAACUUUAUUAUGUUAUUAUUUCAAUCCCCCAUUAUGACCUUUCUAAUCCUCCAUUAUGCAUCUUUUAUAGUGCAAAUUUAAUUGCACAUCUAAAUAAAUUGAUUAUUGUCACUCCACCACCAAUAUUUCAAAUAGUCACUAGACCAUUUCUGCCUUUAAUUUUCCCUUAAUUUUAACUGUUGACUGUUUUUAGCAUCUUAAAAUAUACAUUUAUUCCUUGAUUAUGUGAUAAAAUUAUGAAAAUAUCCAUUUUAGCUUAAAUUAAUUGGAAUAACCAUAAGCGUAACAUAAAUUAAUAGAACAAAAUUAUCAAGUGUAUGUUCUAUCUUACUUUUUGAAGAAUUUAACAUAUAUAAUGCUAUACUAUUAAUAAAUUUAUCAUUUACUAUAUAUGUUCAAAUAUUUUAUAUAUUUAUUAAUUGUUAUAUAGUCAAAGGAUGAAUGAUUUUUCAGGUCUACAUGAGUUGGUGCAUCUGCAAGACUCAAUUUUGACAACAAUGAUCUAAGGGGUAAUUUACCUUGGCGUUUGACAAAUAUAACCUCUCUUCAAGAUUUACUUCCAAUCUACUUACUGUAAAUAUCUCCUCAUCUCCUCUCAUUUAUAUGAUAACCCUUGAAGAUCUCACAUUUUCAAACGAUCAUAUUAGGGUUUUUAUUAUUAGCAUCAUUGUGUCAAUAAUAUAUGUUGCAGUAAGAUUUUUUCAGACCAAUUCCCUUCUUCAAAUAAUAAUGGAAAAGUAUUAAUUUAAAAAUAAAAUGAAUAUGCAUUGAUUAUAUCCUGAUUUUCAUCGAUUAUAGAGAGAGUUUCUCCAAAUCAACUCCCUUAUUCAAAUAAUACAGAAAAAAUAGUAAUUUAAUAGUAAAAUUAACAAGUGUUGAUUAUAUAUCCUAAGUUUCAUCGAUUAUGUGAUCAAAGUGGCAUUGUUGAUUUAUUUCUUCUUCAAUGUAAAUUUUUAGGUUAUCUAAAUUUCAAGGAUUUAAAAUCUUUGUUCAUGGAUUACACGCUUAUUAAUUUUUCUGCCAUUGACUGUCAUAUUCUAGACUUAAUGGUACCUUCCUUGAUCAAGGAUAAUUACUCUCUGCUCUCCUCUUAUAAAUUCUUCUUCCAUUAACAUCACUAGGAGUAUGUUGAUCUCUCAGACGUUAACUUCAGUGGAGAGUUUCCAAAUUGAUUGUCACAAAACAACACAAAAACUAGACACACUUGAUCUGUCUAUUAAUUCUCUUUCGGUAAAAUUAAUUAAUUUUAGGGGAAUAUUCGACCAACCUAUAUAAUUUUAGAUUGAUCAUUAAUUAAUUGGACGAAAAAAGUGCUUGUGCUUUUGUGGCGACAAUUGAACCAGAGAAGUGAAGCUGUAAAGAUUUGGCAGUAGUAAAUUGUUAGAAAGACAUAAAGACGAGUUCCCAUUAUUAUAAUUUUUUCAAAAAACUUUUUUACAACACAUGCACCUGGCCAAAAAUUUUAUUUUGCUAACUAACAAUAAUUGAGUAGCUGACCGUAUUGACUCCACCUACUUGCUAAAGUAAAAAAAUAGAAAUAGAAUUUCCACAAAAUGGCAAACAUGUAAAAUCUAAUAUUUGGCCGUGUGGAACAAAAUACAAAUAAAAAAAAAAGAAAAGAAAAAAGGCCUAAAGACUUUUAAAAUGUGUGGAAGUCUUUCGGCCCUUUUAUAAUGGUGUGUUUUUCAAAGGAACAAAUAAUAAUAAUGACACUUCUACGGUUUGUUUUGAUAAUCACACAUAUACUCUUUAAUUUGAUAAAUGGUUACACAAAUUUUGUUUACAAAAAUAUAUUAUUCAUGUUCUGUGUUAUUUUUUAACAUCAUAUUUUUAUUUAUUAUAAUUGUUUAAAGUUAAUUGUUAGGUUGAUAUAUAAUAAAAACGUAUAAUCGUUCUCUUACUAAACACACAUACUCAUAGUUUCUGUUCAUUUGUCAUCUCAAUCUCUCUCAUUUAUCCUUUAUUGAUAGCUCAAAACGCGUCACUGUGGAAAAUUAUAGCAAAACGACAAAUAUGGAAAAAAAUGGGAAGAAAAUUAAUGCAUGAAAGAGUUGCAGAAGACAACCAAAUAAGUCAACUAUACGCUAGCUGGGUGUAUAAAUUGUUAGAUGUGUUAUAAACAAAUAGCAUAGAGCCCUUUGGUUGGUUACAAAGAUAGAAAGAGUGUGUGUGUUUUUUAGAACUUAAAGAUACAGUUAGAAUGGGUGGUUCAAAAUAAAAAAUGGUGAUAAUGUUUGUUCUGUUAUUAAUAAUAUUAGAAGGUGGGGGGAGUGAGGGAUGUUUGGAUCAUGAGAGAUUUGCUCUUUUGCGACUUAAACUUUUCUUUGAUGAUCCUUUUAAUUAUCUUCACGAUUGGAUAGAUGAUGAGGGAGCAACUGAUUGUUGUCAGUGGGAAAGGGUUGAGUGCAGCAACACCACAGGCCGAGUGAUAGCGCUAUACCUUUUUCACACGUAUGGGGGAGAGGACAGCUGGUAUCUGAAUACUUCUUUUUUUACUCCCUUCCAACAACUUGAGUCACUUGCUUUACAUGGCAACAACAUAGCCGGUUUUGUUGAGAAUGAAGGUGCUUCGUCUAAUUCAAUUAAAUUACAUUUCGCUCUCGUAAUUUAAGACGAAUAUCAAGACUGAGCAGCUAUAUGCAUAUUCAUUCAAUUGACAAUUUUUGAAAUUACACCAAACAUCAUAUGUGAUCUUUGUUUUGAUUUUACUUGCAGGUCUAGAAAGAUUGAGCAACUUGAAGGGGCUUGAUUUAAGAGGAAACUUGUUCAACAAUAGCAUCUUAUCAUCUGUGGCUCAUCUUUCAUCACUAACAUCAUUAUAUUUAUCUGAAAAUAGAUUGGAAGGAAGUAUUAAUGUUAAAGGUACGUAAUUAAAACGUCAUCGCUUCUACCAACUCUUUCAUUAACAUGCUAAAAUAAGAUUCAAGGCUUUGAAUUCAAUUUUUUUUAUGAGUAAUAUUAGAAAAAUAGUUUUAAGCAAUUCAUAAAUACAAUUUUCAAUGUUUCUCAUAAUUUCAUCUUGUACUUUUGUAUGUCUUGACUUUAAGAUUAAAAAAAAAAUUACUCUAACUGUGAAGCAAAUACCCCAUGACUAAUUUACAAUUUUGUCCAGUUAAAAAUGAUAAAAUUUAUCAUUUGUUUAUAUUGAUUUAUUAACUCUAUUUUAAGUCUUAAGUCUUGGCGUCUUGGCAUGUUUGCAGAAUUUGAUUCCUUGAGCAACUUAGAGGAGUUGGACAUGAGCGGCAAUGAAAUAGACAAUUUCGAGGUUCCUCAAGGUACACAAUUAAAAUAUUAUUUAAUUAUAUUAAUUUAAUUCGUUUGAUUAGGGAAGGCCCAAAAUGUACAAAAACAUAAUUAAAAAAAAAAUAAAGAAAUAGAGAAUUCAUAUUAUUUCAAAAAACAAAAGGUAAUACUAUUAUUUCAAAAAAAGAAUGUAAUAAAGAUUUGAUUCCGGUUCUUUAAUCUUUAUAGCAAUUGAAAAACAAUGUUGCUCUUUUCCUAAAGCAUAAAAUAUGAAAUGAGUCAUAAUUGAAUUAGUCAUUUAUUUUGUUUAGAUCUAAAUUUAGACAAUAAAUUUUGAUUUUUUUUUUCAAUCCUAUCCUUAUUAUUAUUGUUAAACAGGUUACAGAGGUUUGAGGAAGUUGAAAAGCCUCUAUCUAUCGGAAGUUAAAAUUAGAGAUGGAAGCAAGUUGUUACAGUCAAUUGGAUCAUUCCCAUCCCUCAACACUCUUUACCUUUCAUCUAAUAAUUUUACCGAUAUAGCGACAACUACUACUCAAGGUAAGUAAAAGGUACAGAUGUGGCCAAAUUUAUAAAUAAAUUGUUAAUUAAUUAAUUUUUCCGUAUUAUUAAUAAAGCUAAAUUCGUCGCUCCUUCCUUCUAAUUCUAAACAGAGUUGGCAAUUUCACCAACUUGGAGUAUUUGACAUUGGACUUGUCCUCACUCCAUUUAAGCCUUCUGCAAUUGCUUGAAGAAUGAAUUUAUAUAUUUAUUUAUUAUUAUUAUUAUUGUUAUUGUUGUUGUUGAAGUGAGGUGGGCAAGCGUUCACUCAAUUAAUAUGUGGGGAAUUAAUAAUUACAAUCCAAGGUAGAAUUGUGGAAAAUUAAAGCAAAAUGAGAAAUAUGGAAAGAAAGGAAGAAAGUUAAGGGCAUGAAAGACUGGGAGAAGACUAAAGACCACCAAAUAAGUCAACUGAAAACUAGCUGGGGCCUGGCUGUACAAAUUGUUAGAUGUGUUUGUUAUAAAUAACAUAGAGCCCUCUUGUUGGUUGCAGAGGCAGAGAGACAGAGAGUGUGCAUUUUGUUAAUUAAAAAUAUAUAUAAAAUGGGUGGUUCAAAAUCCAAAAUGGUGAUAAUGUUAGUUUUGUUAGUAUUAAUAAUAUUAUAAGGGAGGUGGCGUGAGGGAUGUUUGGUGCAUGAGAGAUUUGGUCUUUCGAGACUUAAAACAUUUCUUUAAUUCUCCUUAUAAUUUUUGUCACGACUGACCAUUGUCAAUGGGAUGGGGCUGGGUGCAGGGUUGAUUUACGUUAGAACAAUAUAGCCGGUAGUGUUGAGAAUGAAGGUGUUUCAUUUAAUUUAAUUAAUUUACUUUCUCCCUCCUAAUUUAAGUGGAAUAUCAAGACUGAAUAAUUAUAUGCAUCUUCGUUCAGUUGACAAUUUUGACAUAUUUUUUUAAGUGAUUAAUUUUGAAAUUACACCAAACAUUAUUUGUGAUCUCUGCUUUGACUUUACUUGCAGCGCUAGAGACGUUACCAAGAUUGAGCAACUUGACGAUACUUGAUUUAAGAGGAAACUUGUUCAAUAAUAGCAUCUUGUCAUUUGUUGCUCGUCUUUCAUCAUUAACAUCAUUAGAUUUAUCUUACAAUGGAUUGGAAGGAAGUAUUAAUAUUAAAGGUACGUAAUUAAAACGUCAUCGCUUCUCCCAACUCUUCCAUUAACAUGCUAAAAUAAGGUUCAAGGCUUUGAAUUCAAUUUUUUUUAUGAGUAAUAUUAGAAAAAUAGUUUUAAGCAAUUCAUAAAUACAAUUUUCAAUGUUUCUCAUAAUUUCAUCUUGUACUUUUGUAUGUCUUGACUUUAAGAUUAAAAAAAAAUUACUCUAACUGUGAAGCAAAUACCCCAUGACUAAUUUACAAUUUUGUCCAGUUAAAAAUGAUAAAAUUUAUCAUUUGUUUAUAUUGAUUUAUUAACUCUAUUUUAAGUCUUAAGUCUUGGCGUCUUGGCAUGUUUGCAGAAUUUGAUUCCUUGAGCAACUUAGAGGAGUUGGACAUGAGCGGCAAUGAAAUAGACAAUUUCGAGGUUCCUCAAGGUACACAAUUAAAAUAUUAUUUAAUUAUAUUAAUUUAAUUCGUUUGAUUAGGGAAGGCCCAAAAUGUACAAAAACAUAAUUAAAAAAAAUAAAGAAAUAGAGAAUUCAUAUUAUUUCAAAAAACAAAAGGUAAUACUAUUAUUUCAAAAAAAGAAUGUAAUAAAGAUUUGAUUCCGGUUCUUUAAUCUUUAUAGCAAUUGAAAAACAAUGUUGCUCUUUUCCUAAAGCAUAAAAUAUGAAAUGAGUCAUAAUUGAAUUAGUCAUUUAUUUUGUUUAGAUCUAAAUUUAGACAAUAAAUUUUGAUUUUUUUUUCAAUCCUAUCCUUAUUAUUAUUGUUAAACAGGUUAUAGAGGUUUGAGGAAGUUGAAAAGCUUUGAUCUAUCGGAAGUUAAAAUUAGAGAUGGAAGCAAGUUGUUACAGUCAAUGGGAUCAUUCCCAUCCCUCAACGCUCUUUACCUUUCGUCUAAUAAUUUUACCGAUACAGCGACAGCUACUCAAGGUAAGUAAAAGGUACAAAUGUGGCCAAAUUUAUAAACAAACUGUUAAUUAAUUAAUUUUUCCGUAUUAUUAAUUAAGCUAAAUUUGUUGCUCCUUCCUUCUAAAUCUACACAGAGUUGCACAAUUUCACCAACUUGGAAUAUUUGGCAUUGGACUAUUCCUCUCUCCAUAUAAGCCUUCUGCAAAGCAUUGCAUCAAUAUUCCCUUCGUUAAAAAAUUUGUCGAUGUAUCACUGUGUAGUCAAUGGCGUCCUACGUGGUCAAGGUAAAAGAAAAGUGUUGAUUGUGAACUCGCUCAAUGGUGUCCUACGUGUUCAACAUUUUUAUUUAUUUAUUUUAUUGUUUAAUGUUUCUGCUAGGUUUUCCUCAUUUCAAGAGUUUGGAACAUUUGGACAUGGAUUUCGCGAGCAUUGCACUCAACACCAACUUUCUUCAAAUCAUCGGAGAAUCAAUGCCUUCUCUUAAGUACUUAUCACUAUCAUAUUCUAAUCUUAGCACUGACAGCAAGACUCUUGAUCGAGGUUAAUGAGAUGCUUCAACCCUCCCCUUUAAAUCUAUAAUAUUAAUUUUCGAUUAAAUAUAUAAUUAUAGAAACCAAUCACUUAUAAAAGAAUGCUAUGCAUUUGCCAAUUUUUUUAUAUUUUACUGAUUGAUGAAUUAAUAAAUUUUCAGGCCUCUGUUCGUUGGUGCAUCUACAAGAGUUGUACAUUGCAACUCUUGUAGUAAUUAAUUAAUUAAUUAAUUAAGUAUUAGUUAAUUAAUUAAUUAAUUAAUUUUUUGUAUUAUUAAUAAAGCUAAAUUUGUUGCUCCUUCCUUCUAAUUCUGAACAGAGUUGCACAAUUUCACAAACUUGUAAUAUUUGGCAUUAGACUCUUUCUCUCUCCAUAUAAGCCUUCUGCAAAGCAUUGCAUCAAUAUUCCCUACGUGGUCAAGGUAAAAGAAAAGGGUUGAAUGUGAACUCACUCAAUGGUGUCGUACGUGUUCAACAUUUUUAUUUAUUUAUUUAUUUUAUUGUUUAAUGUUUCUGCUAGGUUUUCCUCAUUUCAAGAGUUUGGAACAUUUGGAUAUGGAUUACACUCGCAUUGUACUCAACACCAGCUUUCUUCAAAUCAUCGGUGUAUCGAUGCCUUCUCUUAAGUACUUAUCACUGUCAAAUUCUGAUCGUAGCACUAACAGCAGCAGGAUUCUUGAUCAAGGUUAAUCAGAUGCUCCCACCCUCCCUUCUUAAUCUAUAAUAUUAAUUUUCGAUUAAACAUUUAAUUACACAAACAAAUCACUUAUUAUAAAAGAACAAUACGCAUUCAUUAAUUUUUAUAUUGUAUUAAUUGAUGAAUUUAAUAAAUUUUCAGGCCUCUGUUCGUUGGUGUAUCUGCAAGAGUUGUACAUUGAUAAUAAUGAUUUAAGAGGUAGUUUGCCUUGGUGCUUGGCAAAUAUGACAUCCCUCCGAAUAUUAGAUGUUUCUUCCAAUCAACUUACUGGAAGCAUCUCCUCAUCUCCCCUCAUUCAUUUGACAUCCAUUGAAGAGCUGAUGCUUUCAAACAAUCACUUCCAGAUCCCAAUUUCACUUGAACCACUUUUCAAUCACUCAAGACUCAAGAUUUUCAAUGCUUACAACAAUGAAAUAAAAGCUGAAAUAACUGAGUCACAUUCUUUGAUCGCCCCAAAAUUCCAAUUAAAUACACUCUUGUUGUCUUCCAGUUACGGAGACAGUUUCAUAUUCCCUAAAUUCCUUUACCAUCAACAUGACCUGGCGUAUGUUGAUCUCUCACACAUAAAAAUGAAUGGAGAAUUUCCAACUUGGUUGUUGGAAAACAACACAAAAUUGAGCCACCUUUCUCUCAUCAAUGAUUCUCUUGCAGGACCUUUUUGGUUGCCAAUUCAUUCACACACGCAGUUAAUACUGUUGGAUAUAUCCAACAACAACAUCCGAGGCCACAUUCCACUAGAAAUUGGAGAUGUUUUACCACGUUUAUACGUUUUCAACAAUUCCAUGAAUGCUCUAGACGGUAGCAUUCCCUCUUCAUUUGGUAAUAUGAAAUUCCUCCAAAUUCUGGACUUAUCCAACAAUCACUUGACUGGUGAAAUCCCCGAGCACUUGGCCGUGGGUUGCGUCAACUUGCAGGCUCUUGCAUUAUCAAAUAACAACCUACAAGGUCAUUUGUUCUCUAGAAAUUUUAACUUGACAAACUUGAAAUGGUUACAAUUGGAGGGCAAUCGCUUCGUAGGUGAGAUCCCACAAAGUUUGUCUAAAUGCUCCUCACUAGAAGGAUUGUCUCUUAACAAUAAUAGUCUUUCGGGUAAGAUUCCACGAUGGUUGGGUAAUCUCACACGGUUAGAAUAUAUUAUAAUGCCCAAUAAUAAUCUUGAAGGCCCUAUUCCAGUGGAGUUUUGUCAGCUUGAUUCGCUUCAGAUUUUGGACAUUUCAGACAACAACAUAUCUGGAAGUUUACCAUCUUGUUUCCAUCCUCUCUCUAUCAAACAAGUUCAUCUUUCAAAAAAUAUGUUACAUGGACAGCUAAAAAGAGGUACAUUCUUUAAUUGCUCUUCCCUUGUGACAUUAGAUCUUAGCUAUAACCGCUUGAAUGGCAGCAUUCCGGAUUGGGUUGAUGGGCUUUCUCAGUUAAGCCACCUUAUCUUAGGUCACAAUAAUCUUGAAGGUGAAGUGCCAGUUCAAUUGUGCGAAUUGAACCAACUACAAUUGUUAGAUCUUUCUAAUAAUAAUCUUCACGGUCCUAUUCCUCCUUGCUUUGAUAACACCACACUUCAUGAAAGUUACAGCAAUAGUUCUAGUCCUGAUGAGCAAUUUGAAAUAUCUUUUUUCAUCCAAGAAACUCAGGGAUAUGUAAAAGAGCAAAUCCAUGAAAUUUUUGAGUUCACAACAAAGAACAUUGCGUACAUUUACCAAGGAAAAGUGCUUAGCCUCCUAUCAGGACUUGAUCUUUCUUGCAACAAGUUAAUCGGUCAUAUUCCUCCUCAAAUUGGAAAUUUGACAAGGAUUCAAACAUUGAAUCUAUCACACAACAACUUGACAGGAUUGAUCCCAUCAACAUUUUCAAACUUGAAGCAUAUCGAAAGUUUGGAUCUUUCCUACAACAAAUUGAAUAGAAAAAUCCCUCAUCAACUAGUGGAGUUAAAGACAUUGGAGGUUUUCAGUGUGGCAUACAAUAACUUAUCAGGCGAAAUUCCAGAAUGGAAAGCACAAUUUGCAACCUUCAACGAGAGUAGCUAUGAGGGAAAUACUUUUCUUUGUGGAUUGCCAUUGCCCAUUUGCAGAUCACCAGCAACUACGCCAAAGGCUUCAAUUGGCAAUGAAAGAGAUGAAAAUUUAAUUGACAUGGACAAUUUCUUUAUCACAUUUACAACAUCGUACGUAAUUGUAAUAUUCGGAAUUGUUAUUGUUUUAUAUGUAAAUCCUUAUUGGCGACGUAGAUGGUUUUACUUUGUUGAAAUGUGGAUAAUUUCAUGUUACUAUUUUGUUGUAAACAAUCUUAUUGCAACAAGAUAUUGUCAGUGAAAUUAAUUAGCAGUUUAAUUACGAUUCUUUAAGUUCUAAUCAAGUUUGCUUAGGAAAUAAAUUUAUUUUUAUUUUUUAUUAAAAUUGUAGUAGUAUUUAGCGCUAUAUAGCUUCCAACUUCCAAGCACUUCACAUUUGUCUCUACACUUCCAAACCCAUAUCUAUCCAACAUAACUUAUACUUCCCUAUACUGUGCAGCAUACUUAAAUAAGAGAAUCAUCUCCAAUGUUAAAACCAACCACUCUAUAACAUUCAUUUAGAAACUAUAUUUAGAAUAGUUUUAUAAUCAUACACAAGAAAUGAAACACCUAGAUGCACUUGAUCGCCUAUUUUACUUUAAAAAAUAAUGAUUAUGGUGCUAUCAUCAUCUUCUUCACUAGCAACAUUAACACCAAAUCCAGCGAUGGACCCAGACAUUUAAUCAAGAAAGGUAUAUAUAUAAUAAAGUUGAAGCUUGACAAAAAAUUCAGGAAGAUUAAUGCAUCGCCACAACAAGAGGCACAACAGCAUCAAAGUAGAGAUGAAGCAAUAUUCUCAAAGCUAAAACUCUCAAAUCCACCCACCAGAAUUUCAUAUCUCCUCAACAAUUUUAAGAACUAAAGAUAAUUAGGAUCUAACAUUAGUUUUUUAUAUAUUAGUUUCAUAAUUUACAAAUCAAUGAAGAUGAAGAUUAUGCUAAUGAAUUCAAAUUAUACCAUACAUUCUCGAGAUGUUACCAAAAAUUUCUAAGUCAAUCCCACAUAUUUCAUAAUUUUAAGACUAGAAAAUUUCAUUAGUUAGAAGUUUCAUUACCUUCAAGUGGAAGAUGAAGAACAUUAUACAAUUGAUUCAGAUUAUAUCAUACAUACUCCAAAUGCAACUAGAAAUUAACAAGUUCAUGCACACAGAUUUCAUAACAUUAUGAUUGGAAAGUUUCGCAAAGAGAAAUUCUAAAUUCAAUCUCUUGCAUCAAGGUAGUUUGAUUGAUUUGAGUUACUUUCAAGUCAGGGAGAAAGUAAAUUAAAACAGGGAAAAAAUAACAGUAAAAAUUUGUUGCUAAACAUGAUGUGUAUUUUUUUUUUAAGGCAAUUUGGAAACACAGUUGUUACUACAGAUAUUCUCAACUUAGAGAUAACUACAAAUAUUAAAAUGCAUAUGAUCGCACAUAUUACUUGGAGCUUAGUAGGAUUUCAUUAAGAGAAGCAAUCAAACCACUUAUCAAUUGUUGCAAUCGUUCUAUAAGCUAAAAUAGCAAUAUAAUACAAGAAAAAGAACAUAUAGAUACUUGGCAAGAGUUCAUUAAGAAGUCGCAUCACAUUCGGGUGAGUUUGCUUCUGAUAUCUUGCUAGCUGGGGCUUUUUCUUGUCUUUCUGCGUAUGCCGAAGGAAACCAACCAGCUUGGCCCUUGCAUUCACC
rnacentral:lncRNA from 1 species